GUGGCUUCUCUCCCUUAGGUGGUUUGCCAACUGGGGUUGGUGGCUUGUGUUCCGGAAGUGGCUUCUCUUUGUGUUCAGGAGGUGGCUUCUCCACUGGAGGCUUGUGUUCAGGAGGUGGCUUCUCCACCGGAGGCUUGUGUUCAGGAGGUGGCUUCUCCACCGGAGGCUUGUGUUCAGGAGGUGGCUUCUCCACCGGAGGCUUAUGCUCUGGUGGUGGCUUCUCCACCGGAGGCUUAUGCUCUGGUGGUGGCUUCUCCACCGGAGGCUUAUGCAAUGGUGGUGGCUUCUCCACCGGAGGCUUGUGUUCAGGAGGUGGCUUCUCUACCGGAGGCUUAUGCUCUGGUGGUGGCUUCUCCACCGGAGGCUUAUGCUCUGGUGGUGGCUUCUCCACCGGAGGCUUGUGUUCAGGAGGUGGCUUCUCCACCGGAGGCUUGUGUUCAGGAGGUGGCUUCUCCACCGGAGGCUUGUGCUCUGGUGGUGGCUUCUCCACCGGAGGCUUAUGCUCUGGUGGUGGCUUCUCCACCGGAGGCUUGUGUUCAGGAGGUGGCUUCUCCACCGGAGGCUUAUGCUCUGGUGGUGGCUUCUCCACCGGAGGCUUGUGUUCAGGAGGUGGCUUCUCCACCGGAGGCUUAUGCUCUGGUGGUGGCUUCUCCACAGGAGGCUUGUGUUCAGGAGGUGGCUUCUCCACCGGAGGCUUAUGCUCUGGUGGUGGCUUCUCGAAUGGGGGAUGCGUAGGGUAAUCAGCUAGUGAGGGGGCGGUGAGAACCACCAGGCCAAGCAACACUACUAGCAAGUAUGUAGGAGACAUCUUUGGGUUUGGGCUCAGAUGGUGCAAAACUAGGAGAAUUGGCUAGCCUUUUAUAGCGGAUCGUACCCAAUAAUGAAAUGACACGUGUCAUUAUGACCCAUGUGUCAUGUGGUCGAUUUGGGUCCUACAGUGUUGAAAACUUCGACAUCCACUUUUUUGGCCUUUUGCUUUCUCUACAGUCGCCUUGCUUUUUCCCUCUUUUCUUUUGUUUUCCUCCUGCCCCAUUCUAUCAACUAAUCACAAUUAUGUAGUUGUUUAAUUCUUAAAUGAGAUAUUAUCCGUCAAUCAUAUUAUCUUUUAUCAAGAGAGAACGGAGUGAAAAGUGGCAAUCCAAAGAAAGAAGAUCCAUAAUGCAGCUGUAAUUUUAUCGUUUACUUUUAUCUCUAGGACCACUGCAUUUUUGUUGAGAGGUGCAAUAAUACACGUCUUUAUCUGCCAUUCAAUGUUUACAGUAAAGAGAGGGCACAAAACUCUUCACUGCUCUGCAUGUGCCCCAAAAAUGCAAUUGGACAAAUUAUGAUUUGCAUGCUAAAAAGAGGCAAAUGAGGUUAAUUAGCACCAAAAUUAUUUUGUUUUCUGGACACCCCGGGGCCCUUUGGUUGGUUUGGGGGUCAGAAAAUGAACAUCAUAGGGGGUUUUUCCCUAAUGUGCAUUUGCAUUUGUAUCUGAUGGCUUUAACUCGCCUUGUUACUACAAAGAAAUUGUCACAGAUAGGAACUUAUUCCAGGCUGAGUAUCUCCGCAUGGACCCUAUAAAAGAAGACAAGUCAUAAUGAACAUCUAACCUUUGUUCAAUUUGAUUCAAUGCCCCUAUUGUGUCCAUCUCACAAAUCUGAAUUAUUAUAUCCAUUGAAUACAUAAAUUAAUGAAGAAAAUAUGAAACCCAAGAUACAUCUCUGCACAACCUCAACCCUGGUUGCUAUGUUUCACUUCUAUUCACAUGAGGAUAUUGAUUACGGAAUAAGGAAACCUAGCAAGGGUUUACUCGGCUCUGGUUUGAUGCUAAUUGCCAAACUUGCAACAAGCCCUGAGUUUGACACCUAAUCGAUGGGCGAAUUAAAAGUCUCCUCCAAACAUAUAUUCCACAGCUUGAAGCUCACAGAAGAUGCUAUACAGGCAGGGAAAAACCUUCAGAGUUAGCUACCAAAGAUAAUUAUCAAGGAGAUAUCACCAAGAGAAUUCCAUGGAGUCUGAAUCAAAGACAAAUUGCUCGCUCGUGGGGGUUCUUACUUAAUUUCUUUUGGGUAUAACUCACUGAGGGCACUGGCUUUGUUAUUUGCAUUUCGCAUUUAGAGUUCUGUUCUGGAAGGUUUGUUCUGGAAACAUAUAAAAGGAGCAUCAUUUUGUUCUAGGGUAACCCAUAGUUGUGAGUGGGUCCAUUUGCAUGCUACUUAGUUGAAAAGUUGGACAAUUUGCUCCGACGCCUACCUCCUGGAUUCCAUGCUCGGAUAAAGCAAGAAUAAUAAAAUAUUUAUAAUUUACAAAUGGGGGAAAGAAAAAAAUGUCAACAACAAACUAGGAAAAAAGAGUAGUAAAAUUUAUGCCACAUGCUAUUGAUAGAAGGGGCAUGUAUUAGAUCCAUCACCAUUUGGUAAGAUUUUAGUAUUAUAUUUUUCAAGGUUCAUUAUUUGAGGGUGUGUUCUUCAUCUCUGUUGCAUUGCUUCUUACUAGGCCCACUGAGGUGGGUUCUUCACCUUUUGUAUAUUCUCUGCACUAGAUCAAUGAGAAAGGGGGAAUUUUGGUGAAUUUGCAGCCGUUGGAUGAUUGAUUCUAGGCUCAGUCCACCAAUGAUGCUCUCUUCACUCUUUCUCAUCUAGUGUCAUUCACAACUAUGUUUUGAUUCAUAUUUGUACUAUCAAAGAUAUCUCAUUAUUCUAGCUCAUUAGGUAGAGUUCCUAAUCUUCCUCCUUUUUGGUCUAUGGACAGUAUUGGCUUCAUAUUAAGAUCAUGUUUCAAUAAUUGCACAUUAAUGAAUGGAUCAUGACCCACAUAAACAGAGUCAGGGUUGAGUCAGUGAACCCUAAAAUUUCACAAUUCUAAAUUUGGGUUCUUUAACAAUGCAGGGUCAAGGACGCGUGGUGAUGAAGGAAAGCUGGUAAGCUCAGUGUUACUUCAAUUCCUGCCAUGUAGGAUGGUGAGGAGAUAUUCACUAUGCAAUUAAUAAUAGACAAUAUUCACUAUGCAAUAAUAAAGCAUAAAUUAAGUUGAAUGAAAAGCAUUUUCUUUGCAAGGAGUUGAUUUUGGUUUCAUAGUUUGUUCAACUGCUAUUUUGGAUAGGAAAGUGUGAGGAGAAGAAAAUAAAAAAUAAAAAUAAAACAAAAAAUAAAAAAUAGAUUUUAUAAAUUCAUUUAAUUUAUUUUUUUUUUAUAAAAAUUAACUAAUUUAAAAUAUAUGUAAAUUUCUAAUUAAUUUAAUUACAUUUUUUUUUUCAGUUUUUCAUAAUAAACCAAAUAUUAGAAAAUUAUUUUUAUUAAGACACCCAAGAUGAGGUAAUAUGCAAUGAAAACAUGAAUUAUAUUAAAAUUCAAAACAAAUUAAGAGAAAUCGGAAAAUAUACAUAGAUAUCUAAACAAAGAAAUUUAAAGAGAAGGAACCACAAACUUUAUUUACAUAAUUUGAAAAUAAAAAACAUAAAACAUACUUAUAGUAAGGAGAAAUUGAAUAUCUUACAAUGGAAGAAGGGAGAAAAGCUUUGAAGAAAGCUUUUGCUUGGAAGCUUACAUGGUGAGAGGUAGAGAAAGGAGAGAGAGAGAAGAAAAUGAAAAAUGAGAAGUGGAGAAAAUUGGAAGUUUUGUGUGCUUACAACUGAGGAUAGAGCCUCCUUAAAUAGCAAAAAAUGGAAUAUUAAAUAGUACCAAUCAGGAGACAAAAUAUUGUUUGCUUUUGAAACCCGUGCAUGAAUAGUAAUCCCGUGAGUGAAUAGUGAAUAAUAAAAGUGAAUAGUAAAAGUCACUUUCUACUAUAGCACUUUAGACUUUUUCAUCGAGAAUCUUACUUUCGGCUGAGUGAUGAUAGCUGAUAGGUUGCUUUGGAUUGUGGAGUCAUAUGUUUGAUGUUUUCGGUGCUGAAACCGCUUAGUUGGAGAAUAAUCUCGUCAGUAGAGCAUCAUGAGAAGCUUGAAUGGAGAGAGCUUAAUGAUGCCAUAUGAUUGGAAGGAAUCCUAUUUUAAUUUCCUUAUUGGAGGGAGAAUACCCUCACAAUCAUCUUCAUUAUCUUGAAGGUAGUUUGAUAUAGAGUCAUCUGACUCAGCAUAAGAGUCCUCUUGGGAGAAGCUUGAACUGCUUUUGUCAAGGAUUUUCUGAAAUUCUUGAGGGGUUUUUGCUAUUGCUAACAUGGUUUGGAGUUGCUGUUUCUUAAGAAGAAACUGUGCAAUAUCAUAAGAUGAUGAAGCUUGUGUAGGAUGCUUUAGGAAAUAUUGCUUUAUUGCUUGUAGUGAGGUAUCAUUUUUCAAGGCAUCCCACCACUUAGACUUGAAAGUCCUUCCAAGGGUUGGAAAGGCUGCUGAUUCAUCUGCUAUAAUGAUAUAAUCCCACUGGACUAUCCAGGCAAGGCCAAAUUCACUAAAAAAGAAUAAUAAUUGGGGAAAACUGAAAGUUCUCUAGGGAUAACAAAAGAACUUUGGAAUAGCUCAAAGCCAUCCAAAAUGGGUUUUGGGAGAAUUUUAAUAGUUGGACCAAAAUAUGUCCACCAAUUGUGGAACCAAAAUGGAAAAGAGGGGAGUUGAUGCUUAGAUGGGAAAUAGAACAUCCCUGAAUGAUGGAAGUCCUUGUUCUGGAUCAGAAAAGCAUUGAACCAUACUCUUUGGUAGUCUCAAUAAUUGAAAAUUUUAGGUUUUGAAGGCUUAGAAAAUUCUCUUGAAAAAUUAGGAUUCCCACCCCACUGCUUAACUGUAAGGAUUUUAUAAAUAUGGUAAGUGGAGAAUGCCAAAUCCAAAUUGCUGAAUUUAUCAGCAUUGUGCUUGAUUUUAACAGAGCCGGUUUCCAUAAGGAUUGCUUCAUAAAAUUCUCUUGUUUUUAAAAGAUCACCAAAGGGAUAAUGAAAAUUUUCAUGAAAAGCUUUUGCUGCAAUAUCUCUAGGGUUUUUAGAGAAAAACUCUUUUUCAAUAACCAAAAGAGGUUGAUUUAAAUCUUUUUGCCAAUAUCUUGCUUUUGCUGAAAGAGGUGUGGGGUUGGCUACCACCACAAUUUGCUUAUUUGAAAAAGAAGAGCUUGAUGCUAAUUCAUUUUGAGAGGGAUUAGCUUUAGUAACCUGCUUAAAGGUCUGAGACACAGUAAUAGUUGGAUACUGAGUAGCCUUGACUGGUUUAGAAGGAUUCGAAGGAUCAUAGUACAAGGACAAAAUCUUAUUAGGCAUAUGGUCAGAAGAAUGAAGCCUUGCUUCUUCUUCUAGCUCAACUUGUUGGCUCCAAAGUAUUUUAUGGGGAGAAGGUUCUUUGCUGGUUUUAGAAGACUAGGAUUCUGGAAGUUUAGGAGCUUGGGUAUUCUUUUUAGGGGCCAUGGUUUCGUGAAUCCUGUAAAAUUCACAAGUUAAGAAAUCAGGGCUCGAAGAAUGUUCUCCUUUAAUAUACUCAAUUUGUAAAUUAAAAUUGCUUAAAAUAGCUUGAUAUAUAGCAAAAAUAUGCUUAGAAGUUAUAUUCUUAACAUCCUUUUGUAAAACUAAUUUUGCAAAUUUACAAUCAACUCUUAAUAAAAACUUUUGAUUCAAAAGAUCAUCUUGAAAUUUUGAAAUGCAUAAAACAACGCUUAAAGUCUCUUUUUUAAUGAUGUUAUGAAUGAGUUGGGUAGUAUUCCAGGUUCUUGAAGUAUACCUAACUAACAUCUCAAGGUUACCAACACUUUGCUUAAGAAUCCCACCAUAACCUAUGUCUGAGGUAUCGAUCCCAACAAACUCAAAGGUUUCUGGAUUGAUAGAGCCUAAACAUGGUAGGGUCUUGACUUUGGACUUAACAUCAAUAAUGAAAACAAUGGUGAAAACAGAAAACUGGUUAAAGUUUUCAUCCAUUAUAUUCUGGAAUUCUGAGGUGCAUUCUUAAGAUCAAAGGGCAUUAUGAACCAUUCAUAAUGUCCAAGAGAUACCACAAAGGUGGUCUUAUUUGGAAUAGGACACCUAAUCCAACUUAAUGUAUCAUUAAGAGGCAUGUAGUUGACGACUAGUCUAGGUGUUCCUUUUUCUGAUUCAACUUGUUCCUGAACAUAGAAGGUUGAACAACUCCAAAGGGACUUAGACUUCCUUAUCAACUUUUUAUCAAGAAGAUCCCAAAUCUCCUUAUCACAAUAGCUUAACAAACCCUUGUUCAUCUGGAUAGGUCUUGAUUUAGUGGGAAUAUUCUUGUCACUAAAGUCUAGUUCAUAAGGUAAUUCUACCUCAUGUUGUUUCCUAUGCCAAAAUGCAUUAGGAAUGUUAGAGCAAACUUCUUCAACAAUCAGAUUAAUUUCUUGCUCAUGACUUUCCUUAGCUUGAAUCACCUGAUCCCUUAAGGUGUUUAUAUUUUUCUUAUUAGGUGGUUGGCAAAUUCAAAAAUAAUUUCCUUAUCUAAGAGCUUUGUUCUUAUACUUUGGUCAUCUACCCACAUGGGAUAGAUGGAGCUUAAAAAGGGGAUUCCAAGGAGAGCUUUCUCCUUAAGAUCCUUAACUAGAAUGAAGGUUUGCUUGAUGCAAAUGCCUUGGUUAUUUAUGUGAGCAUCUGACAGCUUAUACUCAAUGUCAAGCCUUUUACCAUUAGCUCCAAAGAGAGAUUCUUUGGUUUUCUUACAAAACUUAAUAGGACCUAGACCUUCUUGUAGGCAAUUCAAAGCUGUUCCUGAAUCAAUCAAAGCAACAAUAUCAAUGACAAAUUUACUCUUAAUUACUAUAGUAAGGGAGACUUUCCACCUCUGGAAAAUAACCCUACUAACAGUAUUUAAGUAUCCAUCCGUCUUUUCAUCAUUAGCAUGUGAAGAUUCUAGAACCUCUUCAAGGUUUUCCUAGUUAUCAACAAGAUUUUCUAUAACAAUCCUAUUUAUUUGUUCUUGGAGAUCUGAAAAACCUAAGCUUGUGUAUUGUCUUAAAUCUUUAAUUUCCUUCUUAUACUGUCUUACUUCUUCUUGAAGAUCCUUAAUGGUUACGUCUUUGGUAGACUACUGGUUAAAUCUUCCUAAGAUUUCAUUUAAGUUAUAAGAAUUUACUGUCUUCUUAAUCUCUUGCUUAUCGACAAAUUUCUUAAAAACUUCAUAAAGAUCUUGUUUAGUUUUUUCAUCUUCAACUUUCCUUAAAACAUCUAGGACAAGUUCUUGAUCUUGGCUUAUGACAUUUAUAGUCUUAGGUUGGCAAUCACAAUUAUCCUUAAUGUAUUCUUCUUGGUCACUAGAAGUUUGGCUUGAGAUUUCCUCACCACUACUAUCUAGUUGGUUAAUACCAUUUUCAUUAUCUGAAUCAAUCCUUGAUUCAGACUCUGUGGAAUUUAACAUUACUUUACAAAGCAUAUCUUUUAAGUCUUCUGUGACAUUUAAGUUAUUAAUUUUCUGCUUAACCCUACAAUCUUUCUUAUAGUGGCCUAUCUUACCACACUUAAAACAAACUGGCUUAGAUUGUGAAGGAGCUUCUAGCUUUUUAUGGGCUUCUUUGUUCAUCAUUCUUUGGAUGUGCCUUUGUUUCUUAGUUUCAUUCAUCCUAUAGUUGCCAUGAGUUCCUCUCUUGUUGUGAUAGGACUUUUCCUUACUAGGCUUUGUACUUACUUGUUUCUUACGUUGCUUAGAGGGGGGCUUAGUUUCUUUUUGGUUGAAUCCAAACUAGCUACAAAAUGAACCAAACUCAUUCUUGUAGAUCCUUUGUUCAUUUUUCAUCUGUUGCUUAAGCUUAAAGUCAUUGCACAGUUUAAUUGCUUCUGAUGUGACAAUGCUUAUAAUUUCUCCAUAAGAAAGCUUAUCAUAAGGGAUUUGUCCAUUAAACUGUUCCCUUAUCUUAAUCCUAAUCCUCUCAGAGAAAAGUCUAGGUAGUCCUAAGAUGAAUUUUUCUUUCCAAAAAGACUGGUUAUAGUUUGAUCUUAGUAUGACUUUGGUUAGGAAAACUUCUCUAUACCAUCUAAAGUCAUGAAGCUUGGGACACUUAAGGUUGGUUAAGAGAUCUACAAUCUUAUCCUUAAUCUUUGCAGGAUCUCCAAUGAAGUGCUUUGAAAUUGAAUAGAUUAGAGUAGCCACUACAUCCUCUAUAUCUUGUCCAUCUUCAUCCUUAACCACUUCAUUUUCCUCAUUAAUCCUAUAGGCUUUUAGGAUACCAUUUCUAUCCUCAAAGGUGAGAUAAUUAUCCCACCAACCCUAAAGUUGACCUGUAAACCCAACAACAAUUGUUUGAGCUACAGCAUGGCCUGACAAUCUAUUGUUUAACUUAUAGGUUGUACUAACCAUGGUCAUUUCUUGAAGCUUAGUGAGUAUGUUGUACUCAAUCAUACCAUCUAUGUUCCAUUCAUAGAUAGUGUCACUAGUGUAGGAAGCUUGAGUAUGCUGGUUUCUUUCCUCAUACUACAUAUCAGGAAAAGUUGGUCUAGGGUAGUAAUUCCUAGUUCUUGGUUGUUGAUAAUCCUCAUAACUGUUUGGUUAGGAGGUUCCUUAAAAAUCUUAAUUAGUUCAUCAGCCUCUGCUUCAGAACUAAUUUCUCCUUUAACCAUAUUGAUUCUCUUGUGAGAUGGUUGAGGUGUCUCAGAGACAACAAGGCUAUCCUUAACCUUUUGGCUUAUCCUAUCAAUGAGGGCUUGAUCAAUAUGGAGAUUCUCUAGGAAUUUCUUAGAGAAUUCAAAAGGCUUAAAUAAAGACUUAUUAUCUUUCUUAACAAACGUAGUCUUAAUGUAGUCUUGUGUUUCAAUGAUAUCCUCAAACUUGUUGAGUUGAUCGCCUGUAGUCUUAAGAAACAUGUUAGUGUAGUUGUUUUGUUCCAUGAUUCUUCUAACGUCAACAACACUAUCAAUUCCUUUAUUCUUUGGCCUAGUCUUAAAAGGUGAAGCUUUGACUAUGGUUCAAUUAAUGUUCUUUUAUAUCUUAGCUUCUAGAGGGUGGAUGGAUUCUAUGAUAGUAUCGUCACUAGUUUUCCAUAUCUUAGUUUUUUUGGAUGUGUCAUUGACACGCUUACUAGGGUAAUCUAGAUAUUCCUCUUGUUUGAAGAGUUCAAACCAGAUCCAAUACUUAAUGUUCUUCUUUUCUUGUCUUAAGUAUGUGUAGAAUUCUUCUUGGUAGAGGGUUCUAAUGUCUUUAAGGACCUUGCUAAAGAACCAAACUCUCCUUUUCUUAUUGACUUCAGAAUAGAAGUCUUUCCUUAAGAGGUCCUUGUUGAUUCAAAGUCUUCGUUAAUUAGGCUUACAGUGUUAAUCAACUGAGAAUAAGUAGGAGACAUAUCAGGAGAUUCGUCCUGAUGUGAUUCUUGAGUAAACUCAUUUUCCUCCAUGUAAAAGGGUUUGGCCACGUUGGUGUGACUUCUAACACCUGUUAGCUUAAUAUUCUUAGGAUUUGCUGAACUAGAUCCUUCCUCUAUCCUAGUGGUUCUUAUUGGGAUAGAUGAACUUGAAGCUCUAGAGGGCUCAUAAUAUGAAAUUCUAAGGCUGCUAGAAUGAUGAAAAGAGUUGGAGAAAAUUAGAUCUCGUUCUCCAUCAGGAUAUUGAACAAUCUGUUCAAUUCUUUCAGAUCUUUGCUCUAUGGCUGGGACAACAUUAGCAAAAUGCCAAUUUUCUGGAAACUCAACCUCAUUCCACUUGAUUUUCAUGGGGACUAUGAAAUUAGACUUGUUUAUCAUAUCUAAGUGGAAGAUAGUGGUUUCACCCUUGGGACUGGUGCACAAUGCUCCAAAUCCAACGCUUAUGGUCAUGCUCUUAUAGGCAAAUCUGGUGAUGAUGGAAACAUGAUUGUUUCCUUGCUUGAACUUAAAGUCAUGGGUCUUAACAUGAAGGACAACUGAAUCUAAGAUGUUGACAUCUCUUAGUCUAACUGUGAAGUUAGGGAAACACUGGAAAUAAACAGGACCAUCAUUUAAUCCUGCUUGGGUAGCUCCAAUAAUAGAAUCUCGGUAAUCAAGAUGUCUAUUAUCUCUUAAACACAUGACAAUAAAGGUGUUUAGACCUAGUCUUGUCAAGGGCUUAGCUGCAACUUGAAUCAUGCCAAAGUGUAUGAAGUUGUAGUCUCGCUUAUGCUUAUCAAUGGACUUACUAUCCAAGAGUCUUAUGACUUGAUCGUCGUGUUCUAAACUUACUGACAUUUCAGGGGUUUUAAUGGUGUAAUCUGUAAAGAACUUAAAGGUUCCUUUCUUAUAAAUUUCUUGAUUAGGUACCUUGGGUAACUUCCAAUCAUCUAAAUCAUCUUGGAUCUUAGGAUAAUUGAUCUCUUCAUUGUUUACUCUUGAGAAUUUGUGGAUUUCCUAGACAUGGUUCUGAAAAUCAAACUCAUUUUAAGGUUUUAAUCUAGAGCCUAAUAGCAGAUUAACAGACCUAGUGAGUAAUCACCCCAACCCUUUUCCAACCUUAACAAACGCCUAUCUCCAGCUAACAAUGGGCUCAACUCGGCAAGGAUCGCACUCAGGCACACUACUAUCUUUCCUAGGAUAGAUCAAAACACCCAAAACAAACCCGACUUCCUUUUCCUAGGAUAUAUAUAGUAUUUUGGGUUUGAGUAGGAGUUCAUGUUUUGUAUGUAAUUGUAGUCUACGUUGGACUAGGUUGUUUGCUCCUAAUUGAAAUAGGAAUGGUUGGUGUCACAUCUCAUUCAUUUUCUCAUCUAUUUCCAUGUUUAGAUAACUCAAGUAAUCAUAGGAAUGAAAUUAAGAAUGAUUUGAGGGAAAUGAAAUCUCACUUGUAAGUGGGAUCUCAAUUCAUCAUUAAUAGAAGGUAUUUUGAUUACAUAGUGCAAGUUAUUUUUAAAAACACUUUUCAAAAAUUGAAAAACCAAAAACUCUCUUGGAUAAGUUGUUUUUAAAAAGAAUUUUUGUAUUUUUAUUUUGUAAAAAAAAAAAAUAGUAAUUCAAUUUAUAUAAUAUAAAUAGACUUUAAUUUUAUUAAAAAUAAAAAUAAUUUUUUAAUUACAAAUAAAUUAAAAAAUAAAUAUUUGUAAUAAAAUAUGAAUAGUAAUAUUAUAAUAAAAUCAUAAAUAAAUUAAAAAUAUUUUUAAAAACAAAUAAGUUUAAUUUUUUUGAGGUACAAAUGAGCCAAAUUUUUCAUUAGGUACACAACCAACAAUUUUUAUUGGAAACAUUCCUCAAAAAAGAAUUCGUUUCCCAUAUAGCAAAGAUAUUUAUUAUUUAGUAUCUAACCAUCCGUAGUAAUCAUAUCAAUUCUACUAAGUUAUUUAAUAAUUCAUUUAUAUAUAGUACUCAAUUAUGAAUUUUUUUAUUUGAUGUAUAAUUAAUUAAUCAAUGUUUUGAAUUUUGAAUUAUUCUUAAAAUUUAAAACAUUAAUUAUGUCUAUUACUUUUUAUAGUCAUUAUAUAUAUAUAUAUAUAUAUAUAUAGAGAGAGAGAGAGAGAGAGAGAGAGAGAGCUUAAAUUUAUCUUUAAAAAUUAUUAAAUUUAUUAAUAAAUUCAAUACAAAGACUCAUUUGAUUUGAAAUUCAUUUCUUUAGUGAAAAUUUUGAAACUAAAUAGUACUUUGUUUUACUUUGUUUUUAAAUCAUACUCACAAAUAAGUUUUUAUCAUUUAGCCAAAAAAUCUCAAAGAUGUUUCUAAUUUUAUUUAUUUAUUUAUUUGUAAAUGAAAAUAAAAAAUUAGUUUAAACUAAAUAUGCGGAUAUUAUUGUUAAUUUAUUUCAUUUUUUAUUUCCAUUGUUAUUUAACAUUGAAACGGAAACAAAUAAUCAUUCCAAUCUUACAUUCUUAUAUGCAUCUAAACACAAGAAUUGAAAUCACCAAAUUCAUAUUCAAGGCAAAAUAGAAAUGGAAAAAAAAUAUUCAUUUUCAUUCCUCAUUCUCAUGUGCUAAACAUGACAUUAGUUCUACUACCUAUUUCACCAUUCUUCUUGAUAAAUUUGGUAUAUGCAAUAUUGAUCUAAGUGUGAGGUGAAUAAGAAUGAUGAUGGGAUGGGCUUGGAAAUAAGGGCAAAGUUUCUAGGUGCUAUCUAGAGGGGCAACGCGACUUUUUCAAAUUUCGAAUAUUUGUUCUCAACAUAAAGCAAAACUUUACUCACACAAUAGAUAAGACUCUGUUUGUUUUCUUCAUCCACGACUAUAUAAUGUAUAGCUCUUACUCAAGGGAUGAGCUACUUACUAUUAAGGAUUGGGUAAGAUAUUGCCUAAUGGCCAAGAAGGCAUGUCAAAAAAUAAAUCUAAUCACCAUAAAAAAUAAUAGGGGAAAAUUAAUAUAUUAUGAAUGAUGACUUUACUAUUUCUCUAUAUACAUAAUUAUAUAUUUUGAAUUUUCUCACUAGGUAAUGAGAUUCUAAAUCAACUGAAACAUAAUUAAUAAUUUAUAUUUUUAAUGAAUCUUUUAAUUUUUAAAAAUAAUUUAAAAUUUUAAAAAACAAUUCAAUUAAUUACAUAUUAAAUCAAAACAUUUCAAAAUAUUGUGUUUGUAGAUGAGUACUAAAUGCUUGCAUAUAAUAAUAAUAAUAAAAAAAUUGACUCAUUUAGAUGUUAAAAAAGUUAAAUGUUUUUCAUUAUUCAUUUUAAGUAAAAUAUUAUUGACAUUAUUAUUAUAAAAUUAUUAUUAUUCAUUUUUAACAAAAAACAAAAUAAGUUAUUCUUUUACCAAGAUGUCAAUAUCUAUAUUUUUCUAACAUAUAUUAAAAUAGUAUACUUUUCUUUUAUUAAAAAUAAUAAUUAUUAUUAUAUUAUUAUUCAAGUUUUAUUAAAAAAAUUUAUCUUUUAAUUCAUUUGUAAUUACAAAAUAAUUUUAUUUUAUUAAGAAUUUAAUUUAAUUACGCUUUUUUUUUUUAUAAAAAAAACAGUUAUGCUUUUACCAAGAUGUUAAUAUUCAUAUUUUUCUAGCUAACAUAAAUAGAAUAGUACACUUUUUCAUAUAAAAAAAUAAUUUAUGAUUUUAUUAUAAUGUUACUAUUCACAUUUUACUAAAAAUAUUUAUUUAUUUUAUUUAUUUUUAAUUAUAAAAUAAUUUUAUUUUCAAGAAUUUAAUUUUAAAAAAAUAGAAAUCAUUUAUUCUUUUACCAAGAUGUUAAUAAACAUAUUUUUCUAACAUAUACUAAAAUAAAAAAGUUUACUUGUUCAUUAAAAAAUAUAAUUUAUGUUUUUAUUAUAAUACUACUAUCUAUGUUCUACUAAAAAUAUUUAUUUAUAAUUAAAAAAUAAUUUCAUUUUUAAUAAGACUUGAACUAAAUUAAAUUUAUAAUUUUUUUUUAAAAUAAAAUAGAAAAUUAUUUUUUAAAAACAACUUAUUGAAAGAAAUUUUUUAUUCUUUACUUUUAAGAACUGUUUUUAAAAGCAACCUAUAAACCCCUUUGGGUCUGUUUGGCUAUGUUUCAUGCAACUUGUUUUUAAAAAUUGUUUUUUAUUCUUUAAUUUAAUUUUUUUUAAGUUAAAGAAUAAAAAACAACUUUCUAGUGUUUUAUAAAAAUGAGAGCUUUUGACAAGUUGUUUUUAAAAACCAUUUUUAAAAAUAAAAAAUAAAAAACUUAUUUAGAUAAAUUGUUAUAUAUAUAUAUAUAUAUAUAUUUGUAAAAACAUUUUAAAUUCAAUUUAUAUAAUAUAAAUUUAAUUUAAUUUAAGUCUUAUUAAAAAAAAAUUGUUUGGAUAAGUUUUUUUUUUUAAAUAGUUUAUUAUUUUUGUUUUGUAAAAACAUUGCAAAUUCAAUUUAUAUAAUAUAAAUUAAUUUAAUUCAAGUCUUAUUAAAACCAAAAUAAUUUUAUAAUUACAAAUAAAUUUAAAAAUAAUUUUUUUAGUAAAACAUGAAUAAUAAAAUUAUAAAUUAUAUUAUUGUGGACCCUGCAUUUAUGCUCAUGCGCUUCCACUUGUUGGCGAACUCAUUUUUUAUUUGAAAAUGAUUUAUUUUUUUAGAAAAUGACUUAGAGUCGCCACUUAUUUUUGUUUUAUUUUUAAAGGGCAAGCAAAAUAAGAAAGAAAACCCUAAGUGUGACUCCUUAUUCGAAAAAGGUAGUCUGUGUAAAACCGGAUCAGGGUUCAGGGAUCAGGUUACUUAUUGGGAAGGUAUGACAAUGACCGUAGCACUCCUCUAAGUCCUUAAAAACGGGCCUCUACUAAAAAAAAUAAAGUAAUCAUGGCAAUCAGUAAGGAAAUCACUGGAUACCCAGAACAAUUAUGCACAUGUGAGAAUUAAAACAUGCAUAAGAAUGGACAAAGUGAGAGUGGGUGCGUACCUUGACAACGAACCACAAUGCGUUAUCAAGAAAUGGGGUUAGUGCACGAUCAAUGAACAUAAAACACGUCACACAUGUCACUAAGCAGAGUGAGAAAUCAUCAGAUAUUACAAUUCAAUCAAAUUUAUUUUUAGAAGAAACAUCUGUUGAUGUAGAGCCCCUACCAAAGCCUAAUUUAUUUUUGCAUGAAUCAAUUUCAUAAAUUCAAUCGCUUGGAAUUACAGAAUUAAAUUCAUGCUUAUUUUAAAACAUCUUUUUAAAAUCAUGGAAGAUGUGAAAAUGGUUUUCCAAAGAGAAAAUGACAACUGAUUUUAUUGAAAAUGGGAUUUUGGGGACCUAAACGUUAAAGAGGGAUUAGGAAUUGAAAAUUAAAUCAUUUGAAAAUUGAAUUUUUCAAAAAUCAGUUUUGAAAGCAUGCAUGCAAGUAUGGACUGUGAAAGUGGGCCUAGGGAGGGUGGCCAUGCAAAAUGAGGUCAUACACGUGGGCCUUGGGUACAAUUGGGACUACUUUGCUGGUGCCAGUGGUGCUUGCAGCUGUCAUCCAUGAUUUCUUCAUUGGGAUCAAUUUCCAUUCUUACUGCCAAACAUUCCAUAACAAUUGACCAAACUAGUAACCCUGACCUUGCAUGAAAAUGAACGUUACCUAGAAACUCACUGCCAGUGAGAUUCAUUGCUCUUUCAAAAGGUCUCAUUUUCUUUCUCAUCCAAUUGCUUUAAGGAGCAUUCUAGCGUCACGAUUGGUGACUGCGCAUCAUCUAGAGCCUUCUUUCUUCUCAGAAUCAGGUUUGCGUGCAGAGGCCUGUGCUUGUUCAAGGUUGACCUAAAUUCAUCUAGGUUUAGAACCGACCAGUUGAGCUUGGGGAGCAACGACAAGAAUAUCAGUCACUUGCGAAGAGAAAACUCGAGAUCUUUCAAGUAAUGCCUGACAUAGAUUCCUCCAACCUGUGGCCAAUAUCUCAUUCCUUGUUGGCCAGACGCCUAUUAGGGCGUAUCUCAAUCAAUAAUAUGAUUUUUCGUUUGUUCACAAUAAAGACCGGAAGCCAUGGUUGUGAUUUAUGCAGUACAGAAGAAGUUGCCAUGGCUGGUAUCCUUACAAAUUCUGGUGUUUCUGCUAUCUGUUCAAGUGCAAAACACAACAGCUUUAUCAAGUUUGUCCCUAACAACUGAUAUUGAGCCCUCUGGAGGAAACCUUGAUAAAUUCAUAAUCACUUUUGACUCAUGCAUGGGCUGCCCAUCAAAUUUUCCUAGCAACGAGACGACUGCUGUCAUCUACUGCAAAGAGAAUUUCUUCUCGCAAAGACAAGAGGAGUUUAAGAAUACACACUAUUCUGCCAUUUCAUUUCCUCUUUCUCCACAACCAACAUAAACCAUAGUGUCUACAUUAGAGUACUUAGAAAGAGCUUAACUGAUGACCGUUUUUCCACAACCAAAUGCCCCAGGUAUGGCACAAAUUUCACCGAAAACAGAAGGGAAAAGGGCAUCAAGAACACGCUGUCCUGUAAGUAGUGGGGUAUCAGGACUACUCUAGGGAAGUUAUUUCUGUCAUUUUGAAAAAGAAAAAUUAAAGAAUGUACACAUGCUUUCAAGUGGACUGGAGCAUUCUACAUAUCAGGUGGUCUGUAGCCACAUGUGCCACUUUGUGGAAGUUGGAACAGUCGAUCACUAGGCUAUUUAGUGUGGCCAAGCCACGUUAAUCAAGGACAAGUCUUCAUACUUAAAAGUCAAAUGGUGCCUUUAGUCUCAUUACACAUGGCUAUUUAAAGAUGAACUAAUCUUUAGUGUAAUGUGAUUAAGACAGUACUAACUGAUCAAUAUUUUUUCUAAUUUUGGAUGCAAAUGCUUGCUGGCUUCAUCAUUGGAUGGGAUAAAGGUGCAUUCAUGACUCUGAAUACUUGCAGUAAUACUUGCAGUAAUACUUCAUUCUCUUUUUUCUCGAUGAGACUUCUUGGCACAAUUUUGCUUCUCAGCAACCUACCUCUCCAUGGAAAAUGAGUUGCGAUUGAUGGUACUGGAUAUUUUCUAGGAAGCUAAAUAUAGAUAUAUAGCACUCAAUGUCAACGAUAUAUAUAGCAUUAACAGUAUAUGUCUCAAUGCUCAUCAGCUACAAGCAAGGGACAAACACUUACAAUGAAUAACUCACGUCAACAUUCCUAAACAGGACAUAGAAGUGACAGAUCUAUAUAUAGAACACUGCAUAUGAGUCACAAGAAAAGAUAAUACGGGUGCAUAGCAGCUCUUAUAUUACAUAUUACUCAUACCGUUCAAAUUCACUCAGUUGGGAUGGGUGGGAGAAGGAGGCCUCUGGGGUGGCUUGUGCGUGUGAGAAGUGGAAGAAAGUUGAAUGGAAUGAAACUGAAAAACAGGGUAGAAUAGAGGUUUCUUGAAUCUUCUGAAAUCUUUAUUUUUCUGAGAUUUAUUCUCUGUUUUUGUGAGUCGUGACUCUACAUAUAUACAUGUAUUUAAAGUUAGUUAUGCCUUAUAACUAAUUAUCUAACAGUACCAAAACUAAUCAUCUAGUUGCAUGUUUCUAAUUAAUGCUAUUUAGUUACAACUAUAUAUGGCUUAACAUCCUCUCUCAAACUCAAAAGUCUAGCUAGAACAGUGAGUUUGCUUCAUAGAUUGAGAAAUUGUUGAAUAGGUAAGGCUUUGGUAAGAGCAUUAGCAAUCUGGUCAUAAGAAGGAAUGUGUUGAACCACCAAAGUCUUAUUGAGCACCUUUUCCUGAACAAAAUGGCAAUCUAGUUCCACAUGCUUAACUCGAGAAUGAAAAUAGGAUUGGCAGCAAGAAAGGUGGCUGAAAGAUUGUCAUAGAACAAAACAAAAUAGGAGAAUAAGAAGAUGAGAUAGAAAACUCCUGAAGAAGAUGUUGAAUCCAUUGAAGUUCAAAAGCAACAUUUGCUAAGGCCCUAUACUCAGCUUCAUUGCUGGAACGAGACACAACUUUCUGCUUACUGGAGUUCCAGGAGACUAGAUUAGAGCUAAAAAAGAUGCAAUGACCACUUGUACUUCGACGAUCAUCAGGGCAACCAACCCAAUCAACAUCAGCAUAAGCAGUAAGUUGAAAAUCAGGAGAAGAAUAAAAGGAAAGACCAAAGGAAGUAGUGCCCUUAAGAUAAUGCAACAAUCGUUUAACAACUUGCCAAUGAAGAUCAGUUGGUUAUUGCAUGAAUUGGCAAAGUUUAUUGAUAGAGAAAGAGAUGUCAGGCCUUGUAAUGGUACAAUAUUGCAGGGCUUCAACAAUGUUGCGAUAUUGAGAAGGGUCAGCCAAGAGGGAACCUUUAGAGGCAGAUAAAGUGUGAGAGGUAGUCAUUGGUGUAUCAAUAGGUUUAAAAUAUGGAAGACCAGCACGAGUUAACAAGUCCUGAAUAUAUUUGGUUUGGGAAAGAUGAAGAGAAGAUCCUUGCCAACAUACUUCUACACCCAAGAAGUAAUUCAGAAUACCAAGGUCCUUGAGAGCAAACUGAAAGUGUAAAGACGAAACCAUUUGGUGGACUAGCACGGUAUUAAGACCACUAACAAUAAUGUCAUCAACAUAGAUGAGAAUAAUGAUCAUGUCAGUCCCUUUCCGAAGAGGAGCUUGCUUCAGACCCUACAAGGCUUUGCGAAGUUUACAGAAAAAACCGGGUUUAGAAUGAUCAACAAAGCCUGGAGGUUGAACCAUGUAAACCUCUUCUUCUAACUCACCAUUGAGAAAGGCAUUAUUAACAUCUAAUUGUUCCACUAACCAACCAUGAGAAAUAGCAAGAGAAAGAACAAUUCAUAUAGUAGUUGGUUUAACAACAAGGCAAAAGGUUUCAAAAUAAUCAAUACCAUAUGUUUGAUUAAAACCCUUUGCAACUAAGUAGGCUUUAAAACGAUCAAUUGAGCCAUUAGCUUUGAGUUUCAGCUUGUAUAUCCAUUUACAACUAAUAAUGCGUGUAUUAACAGGUUUAGGAACCAAUGUCCAUGUGGAAUUGGUGAGAAGAGCAUCAUACUCAGUCUUCAUAGCAGCUUGCCAAUUAGGAUGCAAUAUUGCUUCUUUGAAAGAGGAGGGUUCGACAACAGUAGUUUGGAUAGCAAGGCUAAAUAUUUUUUUGGGUUUAAAAAUACCAUUUUGGCUACGAGUAACAAUAGUUCGGUUUGGAAGUGAAAGAGGAUCAGUGGAGGAGGCUGGAACAAGGGAUUGUGGUAAAGUAGGAAAGGAAGGUGGAUGAGAUGGAACAAAAUCAGUAGGGACAAUAAUGGGAGAAGAAAAAUUAGGUGGAGAAUGAUGAGGAUUCCUUGAAGAUGGUGUAGGAAUAGAGAGAAUACCAGAAUCAAGAAGUGUUAAAGAAGAGUUGGAUGAUGAUACUGGUUGACAGGAUAAAGACUUUGUUAAAAAUGGAAAUCGAGUUUCAUCAAAUACAACAUGACGAGAAGCAUAUAUCCGAGAGGAAGCCAUAUCCAAACAGAGGAAUCCCUUGUGUUUAGCACUAUAACCCAAAAAACAGCAAACAACAAAUAUAUUUGCUAGCUUGUGAGAAGCAUAAGGGCGAAGAUAAGGAAAACACAAGCAUCCAAAACUUCAAAGAGAUGUAUAAUAAGGUAAACGAUUAUAAAGAACUCCAUAAGGAGAAUUUUGUGAAAGAACAGCAGAGGGAAGGCAAUUUAUGAGAAAAAUGGCAGUUUGAAAUGCAAAUGACCAAUAUUUGAGAGGGUAUACCAGCUUGUAUUAACAAAGAAAGACCAACUUCCACAACAUGACGAUUCUUUCUUUCAACUCUUCAAUUUUGCUAAGGAGUAUAAUGACAAGAGACUUGAUGAAGAAGACCAUUUGUAGCCAAAUAAUUCUGAAAAGCUGAAACUGAAACUCAUCAAAUUGAUUUUUAGUAUCAAAUUUUCUUCAGACUGAACACAUUGAUUUUUAGUAUCAAAUUUUCUUUCAACCAUGGCUUGAAAAUGUUGGAACAUAAGUAAAGCUUCAUCUUUAGUUUCCAAAAGGUACAACCAUGAGAAUAUGCUAAAAUCAUCAAUUAGCAAGAGGAAAUAUUGAGCAUUACCAUUGACAGAAACUAUAGGAGUUGCACCCCAAAGAUCAACAUGGAUGAGACCGAAUGGUUUUAUUGCUCUAGAAGUGGAUAUUUCAAAUGGAAAACGAUGGCUUUUAGCCAACUGACAAGACUCACAUACAGAGUUAUUAUUGUCAUGUUUCAAAGGUAUUUUAUAAAGAGAUAAGAUUUUGGAAACUACAUUAAUAGAGGGAUGACCAAGUCUAUUAUGCCAAAGCCUCAAAGAACCAACGGCUAAAGUACUACUAGUAGAGUAAAAUACUAGUGGAUGACCAACAACUCUUGGUGUAGCAAGAAGUUUAUAGAGACCCUUCUCAAUUUUUCCUUGAAGAAGAGCAAGUCUCGUUUCCUGAUCCUUUACCACAAAAUGAGAAGAACGAAAUUCAAUAAAGGUGCCAUUGUUUGAGUAAAAUCGUUGCACGCUAACUAAGUUGGUGGUAAUAGAAGGAACAUGUAAGACAUCAUUGAAAAACAAAGAACCACUUGAAGAGGCAAGAGAAAAUUUACCAAUAUUUGCAAUGGAUAAACCCUUACCAUCUCCAACAAUUACUUUGUCACCACUGGUAAAUGGAUUAUGGAUUGUUAAAUUGUUAAGAUCAGAUGUGAGAUGAUGGGUAGCCUUUGUAUCAAGAAACCAAUAAGUGUCUCCCAUUGUUGCAGAAGUUGUAGUCAUAGCCUCAGGAUUGUUAGAGGUGGAAUGUUUAGAAUCUUUUGGCUGAUAAUCAGAGUUAAACCGAUACCAGCAUUGUAAAGCGGUGUGUCCGAACUUACAACCGAGAGAAAUAAUCUUUACUUAUUCUCUAAAAACUGUUCUUUAUUCCACACAUUAUUUCUAAAAACUGUUUCUAGAUAACAAUGACAAAAUAGUAUUAGGAAUUUUUAAAAAUAAAAAUUGUUUUUAAAUUACAUGAUCUAUAUCAUUCACAUUUGACCAUUAUAGCUUUGUUCAGGAAAACACUUGAAAGUAACCUUAUCGUGAUAAGAGAUAUAAGUUGGCUGUAGUUUCAAACUGAAAACAGAGGAUGGCAAUAGAAAGCAAAGCAUUAGUUAUCUGCAAUCAGUGGUGAUCAUGCCCCAUGUCAAUUUCGGACCCAUAUCUUAAAACCGUAUAAUUUGCAUUUCAACAUUUCUGAUUUCUCAGAUGUUUCAUACUCCACAGAAGAACAUUGUUUGUGAAAGCAUGCAUUUAUGCUGGAUUUUGGAUGAUGUGGGAACUGGGGCAAGGAUCAUAUGGAAGAGUGGUCGAUUUUUUCUGUACUUUAACAUUUGAAAUAGGAGCAGCACGGGCAUUUGUGGGGCUUAAUUGAUUUUGAAGCCUGAAAUUGCGUUUCUGUCAUUUUGUAAAAAAUAUGGCAGAUUCCAUGCUCUCAUAUGUUUGGUCUGUGGCCAUGUAUAGAUGCCACUUAGUGACCAGUUUGUAACUGUCAAUCAUAGUGUUUUGACUCUGGCUCAACAACAUCAGCCAUUGACGGAUUUUCAUACAUGCAAAUCAAAUAGUCUUCUUCCUCCCUUAGGAAUUUCGGUUUAAAUGUUAUUAAGCAUACAUUUGGCUGACAAUUAUUAACCACUUCAUGAUAUGGUUUCUUACCCUUAAUCAAUGGUUUCUAAGUGAAUAUAUGCAGAAGGAAAUCUGAACUGUAGACAGCAGUAUUGAUAAUUAUCAAUAUUCUUUAUAUAAGAGAAUAAACAACGUCAUAGUGAUCGUCGCCUACAAGAAAGGUACAUUUCCCAACAAGAUGUAGUUGUGACUGGUACAUGGACGUAAUUAACUCGUAGAAAAGGAUAAGACCAGUGCACGGCAGCUCUUAUUUUACAUGCUAAUUAUGCUAACCAAAGUCACUCAGUUGGGAUGGGAGGGAGAUGGAGGUUUGUGCGGUGGCUUGUGGGGCGGAGUUGGUGGCUUCUUUUCAGGAGCUUGUGGCUUUUUCGGAGCUGAAGGAGGCUCAAUCUUAUGAGGCGGCUUGUACGAGUCUUCUUUACUCUCGACAGGAGGGUGGCCAGGGUUGUGACCAUAAUGUGGUGGCUUCUCUCCCUUAGGUGGCUUGCCAACUGGGGUUGGUGGCUUGUGUUCAGGAAGUGGUUUCUCUCCCUUGGGAGGUUUACCAAUUGGGGUUGGUGGCUUGUGUUCUGGGAGUGGUUUCUCUCCCUUGGGAGGUUUAGUGGGUGACUUGUGUUCUGGAGGUGGCUUCUCCACCGGAGGCUUGUGCUCCGGUGGUGGCUUCUUGGUUGGAGGGGGCUUGGGGUAAUCAGCAAGAGAUGGGGGGGUGAGAACCACCACUCCAAGGAACAACACUAGCAAGUAUGUGGGAGACAUUUCUGAGUUUGAGCUGAUCAGAUGAUGCAAAACUAGAAGAAUUACGUGACCUUUUAUAGCAAGUAGCUCCCAAUACCCACAUGACACGUGUUACUGUGACCAUAAAUAUUAUAGGGUCCAUUUGUGCCCUACCGGGUUGAAAACUUGGACGCUUGGCCGAGGACACACCGAACUAUGGAGGACUAUUGACGUGUGAUCACAGCUUUUGGAUUUUUCUUCCUGUGCAGCUGUCUAGCGGUUGGCAUUAUUUUUUUAAUCUUAAAUAAAGGCAUAGUUAUAGAGUACAUUUAUAUAUCUUCAGAUAGCCAUUAAUAUAUUUGAUGAAGAAAGACAAGUGCAUACAACAUGUAUACGGCUUGCUUCAAUCGAGUACAUUUAUGAUCAGUUUUCCAGUGCAAGUAAACCAGUUUUUUGUUCCACAACUAUUUUGGAAUCUUGUUUAUCAGUUUCUAUCAUUAUAAUGUCACAUAGGCUGCAAACUUGGGCACCCAAAGAUCUAGUUGGGCAAAUUUGUUUCAGAAUUUCAAUGGUGGAUUCAGUAAUUGUUAAAAGGUGUUUCUUCAUUAAGGAAAGAGUCCUGUAAAAAUAUUGUUAAAAGGUGUCAUAGAAACUAUAAUAAUUAAAUAACUUCUUUUCCCCGUGGGUGGUGUUUCUUCUGGGGAUACCCAAAAUGAGUUCAGAUUAAAAUUGGUUCGAGUCAAAGCUGUCUCUUUUGUCCAGAAAUCAACUAUUUUGCGCAUUGCAUGAAUCGAUAAAGAAAAAAUGAAAGCCAAAUCACACCUCCCCUGCAAAACCUAAACCCCGGUUGCUAACUUUCUAUGUUUCAGUCCUAUUCAUACAGGAAUAUUGGUUCAAGUUUGAGAAAAAUGGCAACUUACCUAGGGAUUACUUGGUUGUGGUUUGCGACGACUAUUUACGCAACCAACCAUGAGUUUGACUUUAACGUCAUGGGUUGAAGCCUCCUACAAUCGUGUAUGAUAGUUCAAAGCUCGUAGUAGAAAUUAUACAGGAAGGAAGAAACCUCCAAAGCUAGCUCCAAAAGAGAAUUAUCACAUCGAUAGCUCCAGAGAUUCCCAAGGGGACUGAAUCAAAGACAAGUUCCUCACUUUUUCUUCUUUUGAGGCCAAAUAUGAACCAAGGAUCACACGACCUCAUUCAACUUCAUAAGUUUGAUUUCAUGCAGUUGAACACUGGGUGAAGGCCAUGACAAGAAUUGAUUAAAAAAUUCUACCACUGUUUUAAGUAAUGGAAGAUUAUUAUCUCUGAUUGGCACCACAACAGCACAUGCUGCUAGAUCUUUCUAGACACUCCAUGCAAUGAAAGUACAAUGGAUCUUGUAACGAUAGAAACUAAGCCAUGCUACAGUACUAGAUGACGAGGUAAAACUAUUAGACAUGGGUGGCAGCCUAUAUGGGAGGGACACAAGUCUAAUUGAUUUGCAUUUCAGCGUUCUAGAUGGGUAUGUUUUGGAAGAUUUGUUCUGGAAAUACCGCACCAAGUAGGAUUCUUUUUUCUCUUGAGUGGGUCCACUUGCAUGCCAAUUAUCGAGUUGAAAAGUAGAGCACCUACCUCGUGCUCGUGGAACCGAAGGUCAGUGAAGUGGGGCUCCUUUUGGCCUCUUGUGUUUCUGUUCCAACCAAGGCGGCGGAGGGAAAAACAGCAAUAUGUCUCCGCUAAAUAUCAACGCAUGAUAGCGAAUGAGGGAGAAAAAAAGUAAUUGGCAUCUCAAUCUCACAAACUUGGUACAGUAGUGACAUUAAUAGUCUUCCACAUGGUUUUUAUUUUAUUUUAUUUUAUAUUUUAUAUUUUCCAUUUUUUUAUUUUUUUGUAUGUCAAGGCUAAUGAAUAAAAUGCGUUAGCUUGUUUUGUGAUUGGAACUGCAAAUGUCCAAAUUGGAGUUUCUCCAUUUCUCAGUUCGGAUGGUUAACUUUAUAAACAAGAUAUAGGAAACAUGUGAACGUCUUGAGGAACAAUUCGAAUUAUUGAUUAGAACUCCUAGGUUGAGUUCCAAGAUUUAAAUCAGACCCCUCUAGCAGCUUCAGGGGUACCUAGCAAUUAGAACAUAUUAAUGAAGAUUUAGGAUUUAGACUCCGGAAUACAAAUUAAUAUGUAUCUUAUGCUCUGACUAGCUUCCCUGCAUAUGCACAAAAUGGAGAUGACCCAAAAAAUAGCAGAAUCGCCUUAGUUUAUGUGGUUAAGGUGAUUCUCCGGUUAAUAUCCACAUUGGCUCAUUAUGCAAAUCAACUGAGCUAUUUUUUUUUUAAUGUCAAAUAGGAACUCCUAAUUAACCUAACCAUUGGCCUGUGUAAAUUGAUUUCACAUGCACAAUGUUGUAGUAGAAGUCCACAUUUUGAAUUUUAUUUUUGGAAAGGUAAGGAAAAUGAAGCAUUGUGUAAUUAUAAAAAUAACUUCAUUGGAAUUCACAAGGUUCACCCAAAAUGGAGCUACAUCCGUAUUCUAUCUUACAGUAGACUAUAUAGAUUGUACAAUAGUAAAUUGCAAAUACAAUUAAUAAGUCUUGUGUUUCCUUACUAAUAAUCCUUUGACAUAAACAUUGCAGCACUAAGGUCCUCUUGGGCAGACACCUUGCACCCAUGAGAGCACUAAGAGGAAGCAAGGCGGAGUCAUGGGUGCAAUGUCAUGACUUGUUGCACUAAGAGAGGCUUGGUGAUGGCAUAGUGCUGCAGUAGCAAGAAUGUUGCCUUGGCAGGGACACGAUCUAGGGACAGAUGCCAAGAAAGGCUUAGCACUCACAUGAGUUGCACAAAGAUGAAUGAAAUAGAACAUCAAAGAGACAUCUUGGCAAGCUCAAGAAAGACAUGUGGGUUGGUAAAUGAAUGGAUGCAAGAGGCAACAACAUGAGGAGUUUCAAAUGGAUAGGGAAUGAGUCAAAGACAUUUGAAAGCUACAAGUUGGAUUCUAAUUACGAUUGCAAUUUGAGUUUGAGUAGGAGUUUAUAUUAUGAUUGUAAUUGUAGUAUGAGUUGGACUAGGAUUGCUUAUCCCUAGUCAAAAUAGGAGUUGUUCAUGCCACACCCUAUGAAAAGAGUUUGAGUAGGGACUAGGAUUGCUUGCUCCUAGUCAAAUAUGGAGUAGGUGGUGCCACACCUAUAAAAAAAAAAGGGACAACAUGAGAGAGAGAGAGAAUGAAUUCACCAAAGAUAUUGUGGGAGUUUUGCUUUGUUACAUCUUGUAUUAUUAUUUAGAAUAGUAAUAAAAUACAAGUUGGGGCUAGAGCCCCAUAAUCUCGUGUGCCUUUGUGGGUUAUUCUUUAUUUGCCAUCUCGUGUGGAUUGGAUUAGAUUGAUGAGGCGAAAUAUUAUGUGGGAAAUUUAUGUUGGGACACUUACCAUAACCAGGUAAAAUCUACCAAGUCUUUUGUAAUAUCUUCUACAAAUAUUUUAGACCAGUUCUUCACAAAACAUCAUAAUAUGUUUUGUGUUUCUCUUGGAUUUUGAGUUGAAUUGUCUUAGAUCAAUUGAAUGCAUCUCAAUAUUAUUAUCUUGUUUGAAGGCUUGAUGAUUUUCCAUUUAACUUUACUUUCUUUAGGUUAUGCUUGAUUCCUUAAAAGUACUAAGGAAAACAAAAAAUAAAAAAAAAUAAAAAAUGCAGAGGGUUAGGACAUGUGUUAUCUAAUUGUCCUAUCCAAAGAUAUUAAGAAAGUCAUGUAGGAAAGUAAUUGAAAACUAGGUCAAGAAAGGAGCAAAAGGGAAUUGUUUUGGUAUUUUCUUUUUUAUUCUUGAAGGUGGCAGAGCUAAAAUUUGAGAAAUCAAGCAAAACAUACUGAAAUUACAUUGAAAGAAAGAAAAUGGUAGUUAAUGUCUUGCAGUACAUGAUAAGGACUUCAUGCAUGUAGUGUGACGACCCAUGUCUUGGACUGAUGCCACACUCACGGUUACACUUAUACCCUUGGUUCUCUCUUUACUACCUUGGCUAACCUAGAUCAGGCUAUGAGAUAGGCUCCUCACCACACCAUCACUUGCCCAGUAAUUAGUGACAUUUUCAAGCAAUGAGGUAACAUGGUGACACCAAGAGGGUUUAUCCCUCGCCCCAACAAGUCUAGACUCGGUCUCAAAAAAAUGGAGAAAAAUGAGGUGUCGUUAUGCAGAAAUACAACAACCAUGCCUUCCUUAUUACUUAGAUUCAGAAUGUGAAGGUGAAAUUGAGAAACAGAAACUCUUGAAACCAGAAUGAAAAUUGAUACUUUUACGAAGAAUUACAACAUUAGAGGAAGACUACAUUCUUCCUCUAUAUUCCUACGUUUCUACACUACUUCUACUCCACUCCAUAUUUCUACAUACAUCUUUAAUCAGUUUUCCCUCCUUUAUAUAGAGCCAUCUUCACACAAAUUCCGCAAGGUAGAAAAGAGGAAUGAAACUUGGAGCAAGGUUCGACUACUGGUUGUCGCUUGUCAAGGCUGGAAUUGAACUUUUUUUCUUGGCUUUUCUGGGCAUAGGUAGUAACUUGUGGUUCCUUUUUGGAAUGAAAAUGGUACAGCUAGAACAUGUGGCACUCUCUUGUUGGAUUAUGUGUCAAACAUGUGGCAGCCAUCUAGUGGAGAUUAUUUCAAUUUUGGGAUGGAGAGUUGGCAUCCAAUUGCAAAGAAAUAUGACAUCUACCAACAUGCAAUGUAAACCUAUAUAGAUCAUAUGGAGAUAGAGAGGAAACAUAUAGAAAUGGAUAUAUACCUAGAACUAGCUUUUUAUUAAAUGAGACGGAGAGCCAACAAUGAAGGAAAAUCAAAAUUUUUGGCUCAUAUCAAAGAAUUCACAUUGUGUUACCCUAGGUUUUCUUAAAGCUUGCACAAAGCCAAAAAGCACACAAAAAAUUAUAUUUUCUAGCUCUCUACCUUGGAUGGUCUCUUGAUCCUACUUGGAGAUGUGCAUAAAUAAAAGGAUUUGAAAAUGACAAUUGACUAAGUAUGUAGUCAAUCAAUUACUCAUUAAUUGACUAGUUGAUCAAUUAACUUUGCAACAUCAUAUGCAAUCCUAAUAGCUAGUCAUCUAAUCAACUAGGUAGUAAAUCAAUAGGCCAAAAAUAUGUUUAUAAUGACUAUUUUGUACAAAAACCACCUAUAUGGUUAAAUAUAAUGCAUUUCAUUUAUAAAUCUUCUAAUUCUUGAAUAACGAUCCUAUCAUCCUUUGAAAGUUUUUAUUACACCUUUUAUACUUUUGUUCUAAAACUUACACAUGUACAUCACCCUUAAUUGUACCAUGAGAACCUAGCUUUUUUUUUUUUUUUUUUUGUAAUUCAUCAAAGUUAGCUUUUGUAUUCAUUACUGUACUAUUUUUAUUGUAACUUAGAAAGCGAGUGUUUUCAAGUGAGUGAAAUUGACUUAUAAAUAUUGUAAAGAUUCAUUGAUGUGUAUCUUAAACUAAGUGUACAAGUUGAAACAUUUGCUAGUAGAUUUUCUCAAGAUUUAGAAUAGAGCUUGAGGCUAUUGAAAUAGGUGGGGUUGCACCAAACCACAUCACAUUGUUGUUUGCACCUUUUUUUCACUCUCUUUUACUUAGUUGCUCUAUAUUUGUUGUCUAGUAAUAUCCUAUAGGCUUGAUGGGUUAGGGAGCAUCCCUUUGUGAAAAAUUUUCAUUCAAUCCUUAGUUGUAUCACGCAUAUAUAAAAUGCCUCAUUGUUUUAAUGGUAUUCAGUCGUGGCAUCACAGAUAUGGGCAUCUAAAUUUUAAAAGUUUGAAACUUUUAUCUAAAGAAAAUAUGGUGCUUUGCCUUUUUGUAAAGCAUGUUGAUGAAAUCCAUGAGAAUUGUGUACUUGGGAAGCAACAUCGAGAUGACUUUUUUUUUUUUCAUUUUUUAUAAUGCGACACCUAAGUCCGGUUUCUAAAUGCUGAAGUGAAAGGGUAGGUAUGGACCAUUGAAAUCUGAUCACAACUUUUGGCCUUUUCCUUUCUCUGCAGCCAUGUUGUCUCUUUUUUCUUUUGCAUGAUUUUCUUACCUAAACAGAAUCAUAGACUUGUUUAAUCUCUAAAUGGUAUUUCAUCCAGCUUUAAGCUACUGUAUUAUAUCUUGGUGGAGGACUUUUAAGAGUGAAACCGACAUAGAGCACAUGCAAGUGGGUAUAUGGGACAUGAAAUUUCUUCUUAUAAAGACUGCAUGGUUUUUAUAUUAGAGUUGUUGAGGCGCAAUGUAUUUAGCUUGUUUUGCAGUUAAAUUAAUUGGAUAAGUAGACAUUGUCGUUUCUAAAUUUCCCACCUAAGAUAGUGACCUUAUCCUUGACUGCUUGAUGAGAUACACAAACAAUUAUACCUUCAAAAUCUACUGUGAAGUGCUUCAUGUAUGUGUGAAGUAUUAGAAAUUUCUUUCUUGGCAACUUGUUUUUUCUUUGCCCUCUACUGAUAGGUUUGACUCAAAUUAAAUUCCCUGUCAUGCUAAUUAAUUUUCACGUGCAUGCUCAAAAGGAUCACGUCAACUCUGGUUUCUACUAUUCAGGUCCAUUCCCAGAUAAACUGGUUCAAAUUUGAGAAAAUGGCAACAGCCCUUUAGUGAUGUUGGUUUGGAGCCAGUAGCCAAACCCGCCCUGAGCUUUACCACUAAUGUCAAGGGACAAAGCCAUUUGAACAAAAACAAUAGCUUCAAGAGACUGAAUCGUGGAUGAAAUCUGAUCCACAUUUCUUCUCAUUUUGGGAACAAAUGAGAACUUAACUACAAAGAUUCUACUGCCUCAUAGUGCUUUUCCUGAUCUAAGGUUGGUUCGUUUCCCAAAUUGUGAGGUACGUGCCAUUCUCACGCUCAGGAGUGUAUCCACGUGGUGGACAUAAGAUGGUGGCUUAAUAUCUGGUGUCGGUGGCUUUACUUUACUAGGAGAGUAGUGUGUCUUCAUCUCAUUCACUGCCGGAGGGUGGCGUAAGCAGUGACGCUAAGGUGGGGCACAGUCAAUAUCAUUUGCAUUUGACCAUUAUAGUUUUCUCCCGGCUUGAAAGUAACCUUAUCGUGAUAAAGGAUUACUAGCACUAGUUCAGAUGACAGUCAUGUUAAAUUCGGACCAUGUUUGUGUCACAUUAUCAGCAACCAUGUGUUUAUGGUUCAUGCUAUCUGCAACUAAACUUGAUAUAUAACCACGUGAACUUCAAUCUAAAUUCUGGAAGUACUCUUGUGAUAGAUGGUGCCUGUCUGCAGAGUCCAUCAAUUGAAAAAUGGAGUGAGUGUAUCUAUAAGAGGGAAGGCUUGGCAAAUGUUCAGUUUUCUGGGAACUCAACAAGGAUCUAAAAUAGAUUGUUUUCUUUGCUGAUUUCAAUGGUUGAAAUUUGAGAAGAUUGUGUCCACAUAACACAACUAUUACUGGUCCUUCUGUUGCAAUUUAUCCUCUAAGGCUCUAACAUGUCUUCCAAUUCCCACUUCCCUGUUACUCCAGGAAAGCUAUUUCUGUCAUUGUGAAGAAGAAAAGAGAAUGUACAUAUCGAUGGUUUUAAGUGACUGGGGCAUUCAUAUCAGGUGGUCUGCAGCCAUAUAUGCCACUUUGUGAAGGUUGGAACAGUCAAUCACCAGGCUAUAUUAGUGUGGCCCAGCCACUUCAAUCAAGGACAAGUCUUCAUACUUAAAGUCAAAUUCUGCCUUUAGUCUCAUUAUAAAUUGCUGUUUAAAUAUUAAGCAAACAUUUGUUUAAUGCGAUUAAGACAGUACUAACUCAAUACUUGUUCUAUUUUUGGAUGCAAAUGCUUGAUGGUUUCAUCAUUGGAUGGGAUAAAGGUGCAUUCAUGAUUAUGAAUACUUGUAGUUAUAUUUUCAUUCUCUUUUUUCUCAAUGAGACUUGUUGGCACAAUUUUGCUGUUCAGAAACCUACCUCUCCAUCGAAAAUCAGUUGUGAUUGAUAGUACUGGAUAUAUUCAAGAAAGCUAAAUAUAGAUAGCACCAAAUAUUAUCGAUAUAAAUAGCAUUAACAGCGUACGUAUGUCUCAAUGCUCAUCAGCUAUAAGCAACGGGCAAACACUUACUAUGAGCAACUUGCGUCAAAAUUCCAGAAUAGGACAUAGAAGUGACAGAUCUAUAUAUAUAUAGAACACUGCAUAUGAGUCACAAGAAAGGAAAUUACGGGUGCAUAGCAGCUCUUAUUUUACAUCCUACUCAUACUGAUCAAAGUCACUCAGUUGGGAUGGGUGGGAGUAGGAGGUUUGUGGGGUGGCUUGUGCGGAGGAGUUGGCAGCUUCUUUCCAGGACCUGGUUGCUUCUCUGCUGGAGUUGAAGGAGGCUUAAUCUUCCGAGGUGGCUUGUAUGAGUCUUCAGCAUUCUCAGCAGGAGGGUGACCAGGGUUGUGACCAUAAUGUGGUGGCUUCUCUCCCUUAGGUGGUUUGCCAACUGGGGUUGGUGGCUUGUAUGAGUCUUCAGCAUUCUCAGCAGGAGGGUGACCAGGGUUGCGACCAUAAUGUGGUGGCUUCUCUCCCUUAGGUGGUUUGCCAACUGGGGUUGGUGGCUUGUGUUCUGGGAGUGGCUUCUCCCCCUUGGGAGGUUUUUCCAAUGGGGUUGGUUUGUGUUCAGGAGGUGGCUUCUCCACUGGAGGCUUGUGUUCAGGAGGUGGCUUCUCCACCGGAGGCUUGUGUUCAGGAGGUGGCUUCUCCACCGGAGGCUUGUGUUCAGGAGGUGGCUUCUCGAAUGGGGGAUGCUCAGGGUAAUCAGCAAGUGAGGGGUUGGUGAGAACCACCAUGCCAAGCAACAGGACUAGCAAGUAUGUAGGAGACAUCUUUGGGUUUGGACUUAAGACAGUGGAAAACUGCGAGAAUUCUCUAGCCUUUUAUAGCGGGUCGACCCAGUACUCACAUGACACGUGUCAUUAUGACACAUGUGCCAUGGGGUCGAUUUGGGUCCUACAGUGUUGAAAAGUUGGGCAUUUGAGGUGUGAGCACAACUUUUGGCCUUUGCUUUCUCUACAGCCGCCAUGCUUUUCCCUUUUUUCCUUUUCCUUUUGUUUUCCUCCUGCCUCGUGUUCUCAACUAAACACAAUUAGGUUGUUUAAUUGUUAAAUGAGAUUUUUGUCUGUCAAUCAUAUUAUAUCCUAUCAAGAGAGAACAGAGUGUAAUGUAGUACACAUAACACGAGGCAGUAGUAAUUUUAUCAUUUAUUUUUAUAGCUUGGACCACCGCAUUUUUUCUUCUAAAAUAUUCUGUCUUGUUAAGAGACGCAAUAAUACACAAUUUUAUCUGCCAUUCAACAUUUACUGUAAAGUUCUUUUAUCUCUUUGUAGUUCUAGAAAAGUACAAAAUGGAACAUCAUGUAUAUGGUGCCUUCUGUCCUAAAAAAGAAACUGGACAAAUUAUGAACUGCAUGCUAAAAAGAGGCAAAGGAGCUUAAUUCGCAGCAUAAUUAUUUUGGUUUCUAGAGAGCCCGGGGCCUUUUGGUUGGUUUGGGGUCAGAAAAUGAACAUCAUAGGGAUUGUGCCCUUAACUGGCCUUGUUACUACAAAGAAAUUGCCAUAGAAAUUUAUUCCAGGCUGAGUAUCUCCGGAUAGACCCCAGAAAAGAAGAGUCAUAAUGAGAAUCAACCUUUGUUGAGUUUGAUUCCAUGCCUCCAUUGUGUUCAUUUCAUGAAUCUGAUUUGCAUUUAACAUUACAGUUUUGUUCUGGAAACAAUCAAAGGAGCAUCGUUUGCUUCUUGGGUGACCCAUAGUGGUGGGUGGGUCGAUUUGCUUAGUUGAAAAUUGGACAAUUGGCUCCAUCGCCUACCUCUUGGAUUCCAUGCUCGGAUAAAACGACAACAAAUAAAUAUUUAUAACUUACAACUGGGGAAAGGAAAAAAUAGUACUAAAUUCAUGGUACAUGAUAGUGAGAGAAGGGGGUGUUACACUCAGCUAAAGUUCUUUUCUAAAUAUUGCAUGGUGUUUAAUUUUAUGUGUCGGCGCGCGUGUGAAUGGAACCUGCAAAAGUCCAAAUUGGCGUUUCUCCAUUUUCCACAUAGGAUGGUGACGUUAAUAGACAAAGAUACAAUAUCUGUAGACAUUGCUUAAAAAUCGAUGUGAAGUAUUAGAAAUUACAGGCCACUGUACUGGGGGAGCGGCUGCCCCGCCAAAGGAAGAAUGUAGCAAUUUCUUCUGUUAGCCAGGCCUUAGGAUUUAUGCAUGGGAUGCCUAAUAACAAACAGAGAAAAUAUGCUUUUGGGGAAGGUAUCCAACAACAGACACCAUCAUUCAGAUGGUGGGAAGGUAUCCAACAGAUGCCAUCAUUCAGAUGGUAACAUAUAUAUACAUUUAUUAGUGAGUUUUUUUAAUACCUAUAAAAAAAAUAUACACUUUGAUAUUGUGGCUGAAUCCAUUACAUACUCAACUAACCUUGCUCAUUAGGGAUUUGACGUAACAAGGGCAACGUUGCAGUAAAAGCUCGAAACUUUAUGCAGGUGACAUUACAUUUGGUAAAGAAGAGGAAAAUAAGGAAAGCCAUCCAUAAAAGCAAAAUUCCUCAUGGGAUGAAAUUCACAAACUUCAUUUACGUUAGAGUCGCAUCCAGGCAAUUAAUUCCACAUUAGACCGCCUUUUGACAUGUGUACGGAUCUUUUUUCAAAAAUUAUUUAUAAAUAAUUGAUACUUACAAAAAUAAUUUAAGAUUUAUAAAGGAUAAAAAAAUAUUUUCAAAUCUAUGACAAUUUAUAAAAUAUUAAUAAAAAAUUAUCUCUUAAACUUAGUAUAGUUUUAUCGUAUUAAACUUUUAUUUUGAACAAAUAAUUUUAAUCUAAGUUUUAAAUUCUAAAAUUAUUUCCUUAAAAUAAAAUUUUAAAAUUCAACACUUCAAUUGAAAUUGUCUUUUAAAAAAAAUAUCUUCUUAUUUUAAUCCUUAUAAACUAUAGUUGAUUGAAAAUACUAUUGAAGUUCUCUCUUCAAAAAAAGUCUUAUUUUAAUCUUCAUAAAUUGCCCUUGAUUUGAAAAUAAACUUUGGGUUAUCAUAUUUUAAAUAAUAUAUAUAUAUAUAUAUAUAUAUAUAUAUAUAUAUAACAAAUACUCUAUUUUUUUUUUAAAUGAACUAAUUUUAAUUAUAUUUUAUUUUAUUUUUUUAUAUAUUUUUAAUGAUAAACCAAACAUAGAAAAUCAUUUUUCUAAAUAUUUUAAAAUUUCUAAGCAACCAAACAUAAUCUUCAAAAUAAAAGGAGAAUAAGGAGGGACAAGUGAGAAAUGGCGAUUAAAAAAAAGUGUACAAAAGCUCAAUUAAUUUUCUUCUAGUCUUUUAUAUAAAAAAGUAUUGGUAUGUAAAUUAAUAUUUGGAUUUUAAUAGUAUUUUAUUUGUCUUUCUCUAUCUCAUGUAAAAGAGAAUUUAAGAUAUUUCCUAAAGCAAAGCAUUAGUUAUCUGCAAUCAGUGGUGAUCAUGGUCCAUGUCAAUUUCGGACCCAUAUCUUAAAACCGUAUAAUUUGCGUUUCAACAUUACUGAUUUCUCAGAUGUUUCAUACUCCACAGAAGAGUAUUGUUAGUGAAAGCAUUUUGUAACUGUUACUCAUAGUGUUUUGACUCUGGCUCAACAACAUCAGCCAUUGACGGAUUUUCAUACAUGCAAAUCAAAUAGUCUUCUUCCUCCCUUAGGAAUUUCGGUUUAAAUGUUAUUAAGCAUACAUUUGGCUGACAAUUAUUAACCACUUCAUGAUAUGGUUUCUUACCCUUAAUCAAUGGUUUCUAAGUGAAUAUAUGCAGAAGGAAAUCUGAACUGUAGACAGCAGUAUUGAUAACUCUCAAUAUUCUUUAUAUAAGAGAAUAAACAACGUCAUAGUGAUCGUCGCCUACAAGAAAGGUACAUUUCCCAACAAGAUGUAGUGGUGACUGCUACAUGGACGCAAUUAACUCGUAGAAAAGGAUAAGACCAGUGCACGGCAGCUCUUAUUUUACAUGCUAAUUAUGCUAACCAAAGUCACUCAGUUGGGAUGGGAGGGAGAUGGAGGUUUGUGCGGUGGCUUGUGGGGCGGAGUUGGUGGCUUCUUUUCAGGAGCUUGUGGCUUUUUCGGAGCUGAAGGAGGCUCAAUCUUAUGAGGCGGCUUGUACGAGUCUUCUUUACUCUCGACAGGAGGGUGACCAGGGUUGUGACCAUAAUGUGGUGGCUUCUCUCCCUUAGGUGGCUUGCCAACUGGGGUUGGUGGCUUGUGUUCAGGAAGUUGUUUCUCUCCCUUGGGAGGUUUACCAAUUGGGGUUGGUGGCUUGUGUUCUAGGAGUGGUUUCUCUCCCUUGGGAGGUUUAGUGGGUGACUUGUGUUCUGGAGGUGGCUUCUCCACCGGAGACUUGUGUUCUGGAAUUGAUUAAAAAAAUUCUACCACUCUUUUAAGUAAUGGAAGAUUAUUAUCUCUGAUUGGCACCACAACAGCACAUGCUGCUAGAUCUUUCUAGACACUCCAUGCAAUGAAAGCACAAUGGAUCUUGUAACGAUAGAAACUAAGCCAUGCUACAGUACUAGAUGACGAGGUAAAACUAGUAGACAUGGGUGGUAGUUGAUUACUACUCAAAAAGUACUCUUUUAUAGUUUGAAACUAACUGUUUUAAACACUUUUGAGUAGUAGUUAAUAAAUUUUAACUCAAUUGGCACAUUAAGGAACCUAGCAAGGGUUACUAAUAAACUUUUGGCAAGUUUUGGUGUUUUUGGUAGUUAUUCGAUCAUUGAAACAAGCCAAGAAUGAGGGAGAAUUUUGUGAAGUCCAUGGCAAUGCAAGUUAAAGCUCAAAUACACGAAGAAUCCAAGCUUUGGAGCACUACAUAGCCCUUUGCCAAGCCAAUUAGAGAUGCAAGGAACAAAACCAAAGGAAGAAAUCCAACAACCAACAUUUUCGCAUGGUUGUGUGAAAUUUCGCACACCAUGCGAAACCACAAGAGGUAGCCAAAGAAUUUCACAUGGUAUGCGAAAUCUUCUCAUGCACCGACUCCGUUAGAUUUUUAUCUUCAGAUAUUUUGUGUAAUUUCCUAGUUUCUCCUUGUAACCAACCUAGAUAUUUUCUUUUAUAUCUUUUUUUAUAUUUUUUAGGUAACAUCAUAUAUAAGGGGAGAGACAUAAGGAGGAUAUGGAUGUUUUUCAUAGAACACUUGUAAAUUUUCAGUAGUAAGAAAUAUACAAAGCUUUUUGCUAUGCCUUACCUUCUCAUUUUGUUUUCACCUGUCUUUCUAGCCAAACAACCUCUAAGGAUGAUUUCUCAGGGGAUGAGUGGCUAGGUUUUACGUUUCUUGGAGUGAGGGAAGCUAGGUGAAGGACCUGAAUGCAAAGAUGAGAGUUUUCCUUGCUUUAAAUGAAAGUAGUUGUUAAACAUUAAUGGUUUUUAUUUUAAGGUUUAGCUUUAAAUCCCUUAAAAACACCUUGAAUGACCAAUACUUGGUAAGCUUUUCGGAUUCUAUGGAUGCUUAUUGCUAGAUCCAUGGAUGUCUAUUAGUUAUCAUUUACGAGCCUUUGGAAGGUGAUUCAAGGUGAGGGUCUUUAGUGUUUGAAGCCAUUAAUGGGAAGCAAUUACCAUUUUUUCAUGAAUCCUUUGGAUCAAAUCUUAAUUGCUAAAUAUAAAACCGAUUUGGGAAAUAACCAUCCUUUAUGUUAUUAUCCCCAACGCAAGGAGAAGAUCCGGAAUCUUCCCUUUUGUCUAAGGAACCCGAUCCUAGUGACCUAAAGCUCCAAGAGACCUUUUCUUUGUAGUUAACUUCAUUUAUUGUUUUUGCUUAACUUAAAAUCAAUCUUUGCAACCACAAUUCCAUUUUCUUUAAAAGCUAAUUUUUAUAAGGAAAAACACCAUUUUAUUUCCUUCACUAAGUCAACUGUACGAUGAAAACCCAUCCCUGUGGACGAUCCUAGAGCCAUUAUACUAUGUUAGCUAUGCUACCCUAGUGUGAGGUGAUUUAGGUUUUAUAAAUUUUGUUGAUAACACCCAUCUGAGCCAGAAUCAAAUGGCACAACUGAACCAGGGACGAAUCAAAUGGCGCCGCUAUCGAGGAUGGUGCCAAAGUACAUUGACAUGACUUUUGGUGAACACUUGUGAUCUUCAUCACAAGUUUGGUGAUUUUUCUAUUACUAAUUUUUUUCUUUGUUUUUAUUUUAGCUUAUCUUUUAUUUAGUUUUUAGCUAACCUUAACUUUUUCUUAGAAUUGUAUUUCUUCUAUUUUCUUUGUUUUUGUUUCAGUGAUCUUUAGUUGUGCAUGCCCUAUUGGAUAAGAAAUAUUGAGGGAAUACUUGUGAAGAUUGAAAAUCCUCGAGAAACUGAGUUGGAAGUGUGAUUGAACAUCAUGGAUGUUCCACCUGAAGACCAGAAUAGCCAACAUGGUUAAGAGGAUAAUUUCAAAGCAUACCGAUCCAUGAGGGACUGCAUGCAUCCACCUCGUAUGAGUGCACCGUCAUGCAUAGUGCCUCCCACUGAGCAACUAGUAAUCUGACCUCACAUUGUGCCACUCCUACCUACUUUCCAUGGGAUGGAGAGUGAGAAUCUCUACUCGCAUAUUAAGAAAUUCGAGGAGGUUUGUAAUACAUUCCAAGAAGGAGGAGCUUCAAUUGACUUGAUGAGGCUCAAGCUAUUUCCUUUCACUUUGAAGGAUAAGGCUAAGAUUUGGCUUAAUUCUUUAAGGCCAAGGAGUAUCCGAACUUGGACUAAUUUGCAAGCCGAUUUUCUUAAGAAGUUCUUCCUUACCCAUAGGACCAAUGGUUUGAAAAGGCAAAUUUCGAACUUCUCAGCUAAAGAGAAUGAGAAAUUCUAUGAGUGAUGGGAGAGGUACAUGGAAGCUAUUAAUGCUUGUCCUCACCAUGGCUUUGACACAUGGCUCUUAGUGAGUUAUUUUUACGAUGGUAUGUCUUCUUCAAUGAAGCAACUCCUAGAAACUAUGUGUGGAGGAUACUUCAUGAGUAAGAAUCCGAAGGAAGCCAUGGACUUUUUGAGUUAUGUGGCUGAAGUUUUAAGAGGAUGGGAUGAACCAAAUGCUAGAGAGGUGGAAAGAAUGAAGUCUCAACCUAAUGCUAAGGGUGGGAUGUAUGUUUUGAAUGAAGACAUUGACAUGAAAGCAAAGGUUGUAGCUAUGGCAAGGAGAUUGGAAGAGCUAGAAAUGAAGAAGGCACAAAAAGUGGAAGCCAUUUCUGAGACAUCAGUGCAAGCUAUGCCUUGUUCCAUUUGUCAACCUAAUGCUAAGGGUGGGAUGUAUGUUUUGAAUGAAGACAUUGACAUGAAAGCAAAGGUUGUAGCUAUGGCAAGGAGAUUGGAAGAGCUAGAAAUGAAGAAGGCACAAAAAGUGGAAGCCAUUUCUGAGACAUCAGUGCAAGCUAUGCCUUGUUCCAUUUGUCAAUCUUAUGAGUACCUAGUGGAGGAGUGUCCUACAAUUCCAGUAGUGAGAGAGAUGUCUGGUGAUCAAGCAAAUGUUAUUGAUCAAUUCAAGCCUAAUAAAAAUGCUUCAUAUGGCAACACCUACAAUUCAAAUUGGAUGAACCAUCCAAAUUUCUCUUGGAAACCAAAGCUACCUCAAUACACACAACCUGCUCAAGCACCUUAGCAAUCCUCGAAUCUUGAACAAGCUAUUGUGAACCUUAGUAAGGUUGUGGGAGAUUAAAAGUCCAUCAAUGCUCAACUGAAUCAGAGAAUUGACAGUGUAGAGAGUACAUUGAACAAAAGGAUGGAUGAGAUGCAAAAUGAUCUGUCUCAAAAGAUAGACAAUGUCCAAUAUGCAAUCUCAAGGCUUACCAACCUCAACACAGUGCAAGAGAAAGGAAAGUUUAUUUCUCAACCUCAUCAAAAUCCCAAGGGUAUCCAUGAAGUGGAGGCUCAAGAGAGAGAAUCUUCAAAGGUGAGGGAAGUCAAAGCAGUUAUCACCUUGAGGAGUGGUAAAGAGGUUGAUCAACCCACAUCCAAGCCAAAGCAUAAUGAAGAGAGUUUUGUAGAAAAAGAAAAGAGAGGAAAAUAAAGGAAAGAGAAUAGAGAAAAGUACAAAGAAAGAUGACCAUGAGUCUAGUGUGGAUGAAGAGCCCAAGAGGAUAGUGAUCAAGGAAAAUAUGAUGAAGAAACACAUGCCUCCACCUUUCCCCUAAGCUUUGCAUGACAAAAAAGGAACCAAUAAUACAUCGGAAAUUUUUGAAGUAUUGAGGCAAGUGAAGGUCAAUAUCCCUUUGCUAGAGAUGAUCAAACAAGUGCCGACAUAUGCAAAAUUCUUGAAGGACUUGUGCACUGUAAAGAGAGGGUUGAAUGUGAACAAGAAAGCUUUCUUGACCGAGCAAGUGAGUUCCAUCAUACAGUGCAAGUCUCCAGUGAAGUACAAAUAUCCGGGCUACCCUACCAUCUCAGUGAGUAUUGGAGGUACUUGUGUGGAAAAAGCUUUGUUGGACUUGGGAGCAAGUGUGAAUUUGCUACCCUACUCUGUCUAUAAGUAGUUGGGACUUGGAGAGUUGAAGUCAACAUCCAUCACCCUAUCUCUGGCAGAUAGAUCAGUGAAGAUUCCAAGAGAGAUGAUAGAAGAUGUCUUGGUUCAAGUUGACAAAUUCUACUAUCCAGUGGAUUUUGUUGUUCUUGAUACGGAUCCGAUUGUCAAAGGAACUAAUUAUGUUCCUAUCAUACGAAGACCCUUCCUAGCUACAUCAAAUGCAAUCAUCAAUUGUAGGAAUGGAGUCAUGAAACUCACGUUUGUCAACAUGACAUUAGAGCUCAACAUCUUCCAUUUGUACAAGAAGCAUAUCCAUUCAGAAGAAAAAGAAGGUCUAGAGGAAGUGUGCAUGAUUGACACUUUAGUGGAGGAGCAUUGUGAUCGACAAUGCAAGAAGAUUUAGUUGAGAGUUUUGGGGAUCUUGAUGAAGGGUUACUUGAACCCUCAGAUUUGCUUGCUACCCUACUCCAUUGGAGGAAGAGAGAAGAAAUUCUACCCUUAUUCAAUGAGGAGGAGACACAAAGAGCUGCUAAAGAUAAGCCCCCAAAGCUUAUUCUUAAGCCACUACCCACAGAGUUGAAGUAUGCAUACUUGGAAGAAGACAAGAAGUGCACUGUUGUUAUAUCUUUAGCUCUUACCAUUCAUCAGGAGGAUUGUCUACUUGAAGUCCUUAGAAGAAGUAAGAAGGUAAUAGGGUGGCAAAUUUCUGAUUUGAAAGGGAUCAGCCCUUUUGUCUGCACCCAUCAUAUUUACAUGGAGGAUGAAGCUAAGCCAAUUCAUCAACCUCAGAGAAGGUUGAACCCUCACAUGCAAGAAGUGGUGAGAGUUGAAGUUCUUAAGCUACUUUAGGCUGGUAUUAUUUACCCCAUAUCAGAUAGCCCAUGGGUGAGUCCUACUCAAGUUGUGCCAAAGAAGUCGGGGAUCACGGUGGUGCAAAAUGAUAAGGGAAAAGAUGUCUCUACAUGUCUCACUAUAGGUUGGAGGGUGCGUAUCAAUUACAGGAGGUUGAAUGUAGUGACAAGGAAUGACCAUUUCUCGUUGCCCUUUAUUGAUCAAGUGCUUGAGAGGGUCUCUGGGCAUCCUUUUUAUUGUUUCUUGGAUGGCUACUCGAGGUAAUUUAAGAUAGAAAUUGAUGUUGAAGACCAGGAGAAGACCAUUUUCACAUGCCCAUUUAGAACCUAUGCAUAUAGGAGAAUGUCUUUCGGCUUAUGCAAUGCACCCACAACUUUCCAAAGAUGCAUGUUAAGCAUUUUCAAUGAUAUGGUGGAGCAUAUUAUGGAAGUCUUUAUGGAUGAUAUCACCAUAUAUGGAAGUGCAUUUGAUGAAUGCUUGGUCAACUUAGAAGUUGUUCUGAACCGAUGCAUUGAGAAAGACUUAGUGCUUAAUUGGGAGAAGUGCCAUUUCAUGGUACACCAAGGGAUUGUCCUUGGGCACAUCAUCUCCAAGCAAAGCAUUGAAGUUGACAAAGCAAAGGUUGAACUCAUUGUUAAGUUGCCAUUCCCAACAAAUGUCAAAGGAGUAAGGCAAUUCCUUGGCCAUGCCGGGUUCUAUAGGAGGUUUAUCAAGGAUUUCUCUAAGCUUGCAAGGCCUCUUUGUGAAAUAUUGGUGAAGGAUGUUAAAUUCAUAUGGGAUGAUAGAUGCCAAAGGAGUUUUGAAGAAUUGAAGCUAUUUUUGACAACCUCACCAAUAGUGAGGGCUCCCAACUAGCAACUGCCCUUUGAGGUAAAGUGUGAUGUCAAUGACUUUGCUAUAGGAGCUGUUCUUGGGCAAAGAGAAGAUGGAAAACCUUAUGUGAUCUACUAUGCGAGCAAGACAUUGAAUGAGGUGCAAAGAAACUACAUAACCACCGAGAAAGAAUUGUUAGCUGUAGUUUUUGCCUUGGAUAAGUUUCGUGCUUACUUGGUGGGAUCCUUCAUCGUGGUUUUUAUUGAUCACUUUGCUUUGAAGUAUCUAUUGACUAAGCAAGAUGCUAAAGCAAAACUGAUUAGAUGGAUUUUCUUGCUUCAAGAGUUCAAUCUCCAGAUCAAAGACAAGAAAAAAAUGGAGAAUGUGGUAGUAGACCACAUUUCAAGGCUAGCUAUCGCACAUAAUUCCCAUGCUUUGCCCAUUAAUGACGAUUUUCUAGAGGGGUCUCUCAUGUUGGUGGAAGUUGUCCCUUGGUACGCUCACAUUGCUAACUACCUGGUCACAAGAGAAGUUCCAAGUGAGUGGAAAGCACAAGAUAAGAAGCACUUCUUUGCAAAAAUUCAUGCCUACUAUUGGGAAAAGCCAUUUCUAUUCAAGUAUUGUGCGGAUCAGAUAAUAAGGAAGUGAGUUCCUGAAGAAGAGCAACAGGGGAUCCUCAGUCAUUGCCAUAAAAAUGCAUGUGGAUGCCACUUUGCUUAUCAGAAGACAACCAUGAGGGUGCUGCAAUCGGGUUUCUGUUGGCCAUCACUUUUCAAAGAUGCCCACACCAUGUGCAAGAGUUGUGAUCGAUGCCAGAGGCUUGGGAAGUUAUCAUGUAGGAACAUGAUGCCUUUGAACCCCAUUUUAAUAGUUGAUCUUUUUUAUGUUUGGGGCAUUGACUUCAUGGGACUUUUCCCUAUAUCUUUUGGCUACUCUUACAUCUUGGUGGGAAUAGAUUAUGUUUCUAAGUGGGUUGAGGCAGUCCCAUGCAAACACAAUGACCAUAGAGUGGUUCUCAAGUUUCUUAAGGAGAACAUCUUCUCAAGAUUUGGGGUGCCCAAAGCCAUAAUUAGUGAUGGGGGUACUCAUUUUUGCAACAAGCCUUUUGAAACUCUCCUAGCCAAGUAUGGGGUGAAGCAUAAGGUAGCUACACCUUACCACCCUCAAACUAAUGGGCAAGUUGAGUUAGCAAACAAGGAGAUUAAAAACAUAUUGAUGAAGGUGGUGAACACAAACAGAAAAGAUUGGUCAGUCAAGCUCUUCGAUUCACUAUGGUCAUGUAGAACAGCUUACAAGACCAUUAUCGGGAUGUCUCUUUAUCACCUAGUCUAUGGAAAAAAUGCCAUCUCCUUGUGAAAUUGGAAUACAAAGCUUGGUGGUCAAUCAAGAAGCUCAACAUGGAUUUGAGCAGAGCUGGGUUGAAGAGGUUCUUAGACCACAAUGAGAUGGAGGAAUUGAGAAAUGAUGCCUACAUCAAUUCAAAAAUUGUAAAAGAAAAAUUGAAGAGGUGGCAUGAUCAGUUGAUUUCCCGCAAGAAUUUUCAAAAUGGAUAAAGAGUCUUGCUCUAUGACUCUAAACUCCACAUCUUUCCGAGCAAGCUGAAAUCAAGGUGGAUAGGUCCUUUUACCAUUCACCAAGUGCAUUCAAAUAGAGUAGUGGAACUACUCAACUCCAACAACAUCGGGAGCUUCAAAGUGAAUGACCAUUGUCUCAAGCCCUUUGUAGAGUCUUUUUUCUCGCGACAAGGAGGAAUUCAUCCUCCUUGAUCCACAUCAAGCUUGACAAGACCAGUUUUUUUUUAUGGACUUAGUCUUUCUAAAGACUAUCGAGUCCAUAACUUUUUAUUUUAUUUUUUAUUUGAGAGUUUUUCGGUAUUAUUACUUGUUUUGUUUUUUAUUUUUCGUUUUACUUUUAUUUGGUUUGAUUUAACUUAGAUUUUUUAUGAUCAAUUGCAGGGGGGAUUUCAAAUAGAGGAAAAACCAAGAUAAUUCGCACACCCUGCGAAAAUUUCGCAAGGCAUGCGAAAUUUAUGGCUCAUUUCGCAUGGGAUGCGAAAUUUCGCACACCCUACGAACCAAUUUCGCACACUUUGUGAAAAUAAACCAACCCUACGAAAUCAUUUCAAAUACUCUACGAAAUUUUCGCAGAGCAUGUAAAAAAUUUCGCAGACCAAACACCAUUUCGCAUACUAUGCGAAAAUGUAAGGGGUCUACAAAACCAUUUCGCACCUCCAAAGCCAUUUCGCACAUUGUGCAAAAAUGAAAAGUCGCCCUAUCAUCCAUUUUUAAACCCCUUGAGCCCUGAAAUCCCCAUUUCGCAAGCACCCCUGUCCUUGCGAAUCCCUCAUUUUCCUCUGCCACCUUGCGACCUUGUCCCUCUCCAUUUGAUAUCGUGCCCUGCGCACAUCUCAUUUCAAAGACUCGCACUCUGCGCCCUCUCAAAGCACGAACCCAAGGCUCACAUUCCAUUUCCGACAUGGCACAGACCCGAGGAGCCCUUCCCGCCCCUUCAUCGAGACGCACACCAAGGUAGAGAGCCUCUUUUGCUCAGAUGCCAAGUGAUUCUCCAUUUCAGGCCACGGAGGCCCUGCGGAUUCCACAUUCCAAGGGUAGAACAGCCACUGGUCCUUCCUCUUCUAUUCCUCAGCGUAGAUAUGAGACGAGGAGACCACCUACUACACAAAGGGCGACUACUUCGCGCCAUGAGAAUUCGGUACGACACCCUCCUGCCAAGAGGGCCAGGACUUCAGGCCCAGGCGAGUCAUCCAAAGCUUCACAGCCUGAGCCUCCUGCAGAUUCCGAGGUUCCUACUGACAUAUCAUCGGAGUCUAUUAUCAAACGCCCGAUGCUCACAGCACCGCCCAUUGAGGGCAACUCUGAUUGUAGAGCGAGACCUUUCCACUUGGAGCUAUAUUUUAAUUAAGAGGCCAUGCCACAGCAGCCUGAGCUCCAAGACUCUUAUGGCUUACUACAGAGGUACCAUCUUGAGGACCUUAUGACUCCUCGUGAGUUCUUUUAUCCCAGAGUAGCACUAGACUUUUACCAGUCCAUGACUACUCGUGGCGUCCCGAGUCCUACCGCGAUGCACUUCACCAUUAAUGGACGUCAUGGUAUCCUCGAGGCCAGACAUAUUGGAGAGGCUCUACAGAUUCCUUUCGAGCUAGAGGACCCAUCUGUUUUCUGCCAAUGGUCCCCAAUAUCUCAGAGGGACAUGGUCCAUAUUUUAUCCAGGGGGACAUCUACAUAUUCGAUCCUUCUACGGAAGGAGCUUCGACCUGGGAUACUCCUCGUAGAUGUGGUGCUACUUUCCAACCUCUUUCCCUUUUAGCAUUCGAUACAUAGGCGAGGAGCUAUUUUGGACGCUUUAUUCUGUAUAUCAGAGGGCUUCUACUUUGGCCCGCACCACUUGAUCAUGGUUUCCCUCAUCCAUUUUGAGGAGAAGGUCCAUAGAAAGAAGCUUCAGAGGGCGAACACCAUUCCAUUACUAUUCCCGAGGUUGCUCUACUAGAUCUUGGAGUACAUGGGCUUUCCUACUGAGCCUCGGCUUGUGUGCCGCCGCCUUUGUCAAGAGCGAUCCACUCUCGACAAAUGGAAUCAGUUGGCGGGCUAUUCUACACCUCCAGGAGCCCCUCCCAUGGUAGCACCUCUAGUGUCCCCACAGGCAGAGUAGGGCAAGCUCCCGGUAGAGACUGCACCCCUAGUGCCCACACCUGAGGCUACUUCUGCUGUUCCGCCUACGACUCCUACUGUUCCACCAGUUGGUCCUUUUACAUCUGAGUCUUCCAUCAACAUCUCGACUUCGGAGUUUCGCGCCCUUGUGCAUACCUUUCAGACACUCACCACCACACAUACUGCUCUCUUCUAGAAAAUGGCUGAGAUGCGUGCCCAUCAGGACCAGCAGACUACUAUACUCCGCCAAAUUCAACAGCACCUGGGACUUCUGCCUCUGCCUCAGCUUGACCUUCCCACAUCAUCAGAGCCUCUAGCUCCAGUUGAGGAUACUAUUCCACCUGAGGACACUACCACAGUAGAGGUUCAGAUUCCACCACCUCAGGAGGCCACCACAGCUACAUUAGAGGAUGCAUCAUCUCCACCUGAGGCUCCCACUACUUGAUCAUAGGACAUCUCUUUAUCUUAUUGUAUUUACAUAUUAUAUUACUGGAGAUUUGUCUUUGUUUUGAUACUUUAUAUUCUGGCAUUGAAUGUAUUGCCUAAUGAUAUCUCAAUUGUACUUUCUCAUAUUAAUAUAUAGACAUCAAUUUUUUUUAGUAUACUUAGGAUUUUUCUAUUUACUCUACUCAUUACUCUUUUGUUUUUUUUUUUUUACUCAUGUGGUUUCUCCUAUACGACUCAGACUCCAUUUCACUCAGGAGGUACCACUUCUUCCCUUUAUUUUCAAUUGCUCUUGAAACAUUGAGGGCAAUGUUGAUCUUGGUUGGAGGGAGAGUUGAGGAAGGAAGUGAUUACUACUCAAAAAGUGCUAUUUCAUAGCUUGUAAUUAACUCUUUUAAAACACUUUUGAGUAGUAGUUAUCACCUUUUAACCCAAUUAACAUAUUAAGGACCCUUGCAAUCAAUUCUAAUCAAAUUGUGUUAAGUUUUGGUAUUUUGAUAGCUUUUUUAUCACCAAAGCAAUCCGAGAUUGAGGAUAUUUAUUUGGAAUCCAUGGCAAAAGAUGUUUGGACAGGACGUCCGGACACACCAUCGGAGGGCGGCGGAACGUGGGCUGUGGCAGGCUGUCGGAAUGACGUAGCAAGGCUUGUGCACUUUAGCCAAUGAUCGGGAUAACAUAUCCGAAAUUCUGCUCCGCCGACAUUCCACCCGGAUGUCUCACAUCCGGAAUUCUGCUCCGCCGACAUUACACCCAGAUGUCUCACAUCCAAAAUUCUUCUCCGUCGACAUUCCAUCCGAAUAUUUCACAUCCGACGCUUGACGCCGGAUGGGAGAGGAGGGCGUUUCAACUUCCCCGGUCAGACAUAUCCGAAUCCUUUGAUAACGCUUACCCGGAGAGUUUCGCAGCCAUUUUGCACAGUGCCGCGGUGUUCUCUUGAAGCUUCCCGAUAUGUGCGACCGACAUUUUGAGAUAUUUUGCUUUAGAUAUUUGAUGUCUAAAUCCCCAAACUCUCCUUGUAACCCACCAAUUAUAGGAUUCCUUAGUUAUUAAGUUUGGAAAAAUGGUGAAUAACCCCUUAUAUAUAGUUUGCAAUUUUCAUAAAAAAGAUAUGUAGAAUCUCGGGAGCUUGUUCCCAGAGAGACGCAUCCUUUGUACAGUUUUGGAAGGAAGUAAAAUACAGAGCACUUGCUCUGCUUUUCAUAUAUAUUUUUGUUUUCUCGUUCUUUUUAUUUCUAGCCAAUCAAAGUCUGAGGAUUUUUCCUCAGAGGAUGAGAGGCUAGGCUCUUCGUCUCUUGGAGUGAAGAAAACUAGGUAAGUUUCCACAUGCAUAAAUUGAAAGUUUUGUUGUUUUAGUUUUUAAUGAAGAGAAAGUGUGACCCGUUAAUGGUUUUUAUCUUUUUAGUUAACUUAAAACGCCUUUAAAUCACCCGGGCCAACACUUGAUAAGGCAAGUGGUCUCCAUCCAUUGAGAUGCACUAGUUUAUCUCUUGCGAGCCUUUGGGAGGUGGUUUGAAGGUAGGAUUUUCUAGAAUAACCAACACUUGAUAAGCUUUUGGACUCUAAGGAGACAUCCAUUAGUUAUCUCUUGCGAGCUUUUGACGGGUAAUCCAAGGUUAAAGAUCACCUUGAAUGGCAAGUACUAGGUGAGAGGUAUGAGCCAUUGCAAGAUGCAUUAGUGAGAGGGAUUUAGUGUUUGAACCCAUUAAAGGGAAGCAUCUGUACCACACCGGUUCGGGAAAUAACUAUAUGUUAAAUCCCCAAUGAGAGGAAAAGAAACAAGUGACCGGAACUCCCUUUUUGUAUAAGGAACCUGAGCCUAGUGAUCUAAACUCCAAGAAACACUUUUCUUUGUAAGUAAAAUCAGUUACUAUUUUUGGUUAGUUUAAAACCAAACCUUUUUCAUUCAAACAUCUUUAUGUUUUCUUUUAAAGCUAACCUUGAAAUGAAAAGGCACCAAUUCAUAUUUGAAUUAAUAUCAAUUGUGAAGUGAAAACCCAUCCCAGUGAACGAUCCUAGAGCCACUAUGCUAUAGUAGCUUUGUCUUUGCUACCCUAGUUCAUGGUUUAAUAGGUUAUAAAUUUUGUUGAUUACUCCCACAAUCAAAGGAGCACCAGUUGGACAUGAAUCAACUGAGACACUAAUUGGGCACAAAUCAGGAAGUUUUGUUAAUAAUGCUAGGUUAAUUUGUUAAUUUAGUUACUUUCUGCUUAAUUUUAAAAGUUUUCACUUUACUUUCCAUAGUUAUUAAGGAAAAAUUCUCAAAAUGAAAUGGGAGAAAUUGAAUUCUUACAUUUUUACUUGAAUUUUAGAAUUUGUAUUAUGCUUAUUGAAGCUGAUGAAUUAUUGAAACUCCUAUUGAAUUCAACCUUAUUUCUUCCACUUUAAUCUUACCACACACGGUGCACAUUAGGUUCCGAUUAUAAGAGGUGCGUUCUUAGCCUAUUGGAGGUUGGUCAAUUUGUUAAAGUUUGAGAAAGAUCUAGGUUAGGGGAGAGAGAAUAGUCUGACAUACUAUAAUCGAAAACUAAUAAACUUAACACUUAGAUCUUUGUGGAAGAGUAAGGAUUGGACCUUUGGGAGUGGAAAUUCGUUUGAUGCUUAAAUUUGCAUAAUGCUUACACUUUAUAAAUUGUGAUUAGGCAAGAGAUUUGAUGACUCUUGUUCAAGGUUGGGUUUUGCCUCUUUGAUGUUCCAUGAGAGAGUAUAAUCCUCAUCAUGCCACUUGAAAUUUUUUUUGGAGUGAUUAACAUGAUUUUGUAAAUUACUUUACUGUCUAUUUUUUUUUUAUCUCUCCUUCAUUGCUAAUGGACUAGCAAUAUGUCAGUUGAGGGGAGUGAUUACUACUCAAAAAGUACUCUUUUAUAGCUUGAAACUAACUGUUUUGAACACUUUUGAGUAGUAGUUAAUACCUUUUAACUCAAUUGGCACAUUAAAGAACCUAGCAAGGGUUACUAAUUAGUUUUUGGCAAGUUUUGGUGUUUUUGGUAGCUAUUUGAUCAUUGAAACAAGCCAAGAAUGAGGGAGAAUUUUGUGAAGUCCAUGGCAAUGCAAGUUAAAGCUCAAAUACAUGAAGAAUCCAAGCUUUGGAGCACUUCAUAGCCCUUUCCAAAGCCAAUCAGAGAUGCAAGGAAGAAAACCAGAGGAAGAAAUCCAACAAUUAGCAUUUUCGCAUGGCUGUGCGAAAUUUCGCACACCAUGCGAAACCACAAGAGGCAGCCAAAGAAUUUUGCACACUAUGCGAAAUUUCGCAUGGUAUGCAAAAUCUUCUUGUGCACCAACUCCGUUAUAUUUUUAUCUCAAAUAUUUUGUGUAAUUUCCUAGUUUCUCCUUGUAACCAACCUAGAUAUUUUCUUUUAUAUAUUUUUUAGGUAACAUCAUCUAUAGGGGGAGAGACAUAAGGAGGAUAUGGAUGUUUUUCAUAGAACACUUGUAAAUUUCCGGUAGUAAGAAAUAUACAGAGCUUUUUGCUCUACCUUACCUUCUCAUUUUGUUUUCACUUGUCUUUCUAGCCAAACAACCUCUGAGGAUGAUUUCUUAGGGAAUGAGUGGCUAGGUUUUACGUUUCUUGGAGUGAGGGAAGCUAGGUGAAAGACCCGAAUGCUAAGGUGGGAGUUGUCCUUGCUUUAAAUGAAAGUAGUUGUUAAACAUUAAUGGUUUUUAUUUUAAGGUUUAGCUUUAAAUCCCUUAAAAACAUCUUGAAUGGUCAAUACUUGGUAGGCUUUUUGGAUUCUAUGGAUGCUUAUUGCUAGAUCCCUGGAUGUCUAUUAGUUAUCAUUUAUGAGCCAUUGGAAGGUGGUUCAAGAUGAGGGUCUUUAAUGUUUGAAGCCAUUAAUAGGAAACAAUUACCAUUCUUUCAUGAAUCCUUUGGAUCAAAUCUUAAUUGCUAAAUAUAAAACUAGUUCGGGAGAUAACCAUCCUUUAUGUUAUUAUGCCCAACGCGAGGAGAAGAUUCGGAAUCUUCCCCUUUGUCUAAGGAACCCGAUCCUAGUGACCUAAAGCUCUAAGAGACCUUUUCUUUAUAGUUAACUUCACUUAUUGUUUUUUCUUAACUUAAAAUCAAUCUUUGCAACCACAAUUCCAUUUUCUUUGAAAGCUAAUUUUCAUAAGGAAAAUCACCAUUUUAUUUUCUUCCCUAAGUCAACUGUACGAUGAAAACCCAUUCCCAUGGACGAUCCUAGAGCCACUAUACUAUGUUAGCUAUGCUACCCUAAUGUGAGGUGAUUUAGGUUUUAUAAAUUUUGUUGAUAACACCUGUUUGAGCCAGAAUCAAAUGGCGCAACUGAACCAGGGACGAAUCAACAACUUAUAUGGGAGGGACACAAGUUUAAUUGAUUUGCAUUUCAACGUUAUAUAUAGGUAUGUUUUGGAAGAUUUGUUCUGGAAAUACUGCACCAAGUACGAUUCUUUUUGUCUUGAGUGGGUCUACUUGCAUGCCAAUUAACGAGUGGAAAAGUAGGAGCACCUACCUCAUGCUCGCGGAACCGAAGGUCAGUGAAGUGGGGCUCCUUUUGGCCUCUUGUGUUUCUAUUCCAACCAAGGCGGCGUAAGGAAAAACAACAAUAUGUUUGUGCUAAAUAUCAACGCAUGAUAGAUGUUUUUGUUUUUUGGUAUGUCAAGGCUAAUGAAUGAAAUGCUUUAGCUUGUUUUGUGACUGGAACUGCAAAUGUCCAAAUUGGAGUAUCUCCAUUUCUCACUUCGGAUGGUUAACUUAUAAACAAGAUAUAGGAAACAUGUGAACAUCUUGAGGAACAAUUUGAAUUAUUCAUUAGAAGUCCUGGGUUGAGUUCCAAGAUUUAAAUUAGACCCCUCUAGCAGCUUCAGGGGUACCUAGCAACCUAUAGCAUAUUAAUGAAGAUUUAGGAUUUAGACUCUAGAAUACAAAUUAAUAUGUAUCUCAUGCUUUGACUAGCUUCCCUACAUAUGCACAAAAUGGAGAUGACCUAAAAAAAUAGCAGAAUCUAGCUUCCCUACAUAUGCACAAAAUGGAGAUGACCCAAAAAAUAGCAGAAUUUCCUUAGUUUCUGUGGUUAAGGUGAUUCUCCGCUUAAUAUCACAUUGACUCAUUAUGCAAAAUCAACUGAGCUAAUUUUGUUUAUUUAUUUAAUGUCAAAUAGGAACUCCUAAUUAACCUAACCCUUGGCCUGUGUAAAUUGAUUUCACAUGCCCAAUGUUGAAGUAGAAGUCCAUAUUUUGAAUUUUAUUUUUGUAAAGGUAAGGAAAAUGAAGCAUUGUGUAAUUAUAAAAAUAACUUCAUUGGAAUUCACAAGGUUCACCCAAAAUGGAGCUACAUCCGUAUUCUAUCCUGCAGUAGACUAUAUAGAUUGUACAAUAGUAAAUUGCAAAUACAAUUAAUAAGUCUUGUGCUUCCUUACUAAUAAUCCUUUGACAUGAACAUUGCAGCACUAAGGUCCUCUUGGGAAGACACCUUGCACCCAUGAGAGCACGAAGAGGAAGCAAGGCAGAGUCAUGGGUGCAAUGUCAUGACUUGUUGUUGCACCAAGAGAGGCUUGGUGAUGGCAUGGUGUUGCAGUAGCAAGAAUGUUGCCUUGGUAGGGACAUAAUCUAGGGAUAGAUGCCAAGAAAGGCUUAGCACUCACAUGAGUUGCACAAAGAUGAAUGUAAUAGAGCAUCAGAGAGACGUCUUGGCAAGUAAAUGAAUGGAUCCAAGAGGCAACAACAUGAGGAGUUUCAAAUGGAUAAGGAAUGAGUCAAAGACAUUUGAAAGCUACAAGUUGGAUUCUAAUUACGAUUGCAAUUUGAGUUUGAGUAGGAGUUUAGAUUCUGAUUGUAAUUGUAGUAUGAGUUGGACUAGGAUUGCUUAUCCCUAGUCAAAAUAGGAGUGGUUCGUGUCACACCCUAUGAAAAGAGUUUGAGUAGGGACUAGGAUUGCUUACUCCUAGUCAAAUAUGGAGUAGGUGGUGCCACACCUAUAAAAAAAAAGGGACAACAUGAGAGAGAGAGAGAGAGAGAGAGAGAGAGAGAGAGAGAGAGAGAGAGAGAGAAAGAGAUAAUGAAUUCACUAAAGAUAUUGUGGGAGUUUUUCUUUGUUACGUCUUGUAUUAUUACUUAGAAUAGGAAUAAAAUACAAGUUUGGGCUAGAGCCCCAUAAUUAAUCUCGUGUGCCUUUGUGGUUAUUCUUUAUUUGUCAUCUCGUGUGGAUUGGAUUACAUUGACUUAGAGGGCUUCUAAGCACCACCUUUGUGGGUUAUUAUUUAUUUUCCAUUUCUUGUGGAUUAGAUUAGGUUGACUUUGAGGGCUUUUAAGCACCACCUUUGUGGGUUAUUCUUUAUUUUCCAUAUCGUGGGGAUUGGAUUAGGUUGACGAUGAGAAAAAUUAUGUGGGAAAUUUGUGUUGGGACACUUAUCAUAACCAGGUAAAAUCUGCCAAGUCCUUUGUAAUAUCUUCAACAAAUAUUUCAGACUAGUUCUUCACCAUAAACAUCAUAUUGUGUUUUGUUUUUCUCCUGGAUUCUGAGUUGAAUUGUUUCAAGUCAAUUGAAUGCAUCUGAAUAUUAUUAGCUUGUUUGAAGGCCUGGUGAUUUUCCAUUUAACUUUACUUUCUUUAGGUUAUGCUCACUAUAAGAAAAAUGAGAAAUAAUGACGCUUUUUACGCGUUAAGAAAGGCAACAGAUGAUGCUUCUCUAAAGCGUCCUCUUCGGCUCUGUCAUUAUAUGUGUUAGCCAAUAAUGACGCUUCUAGGAAGUGCCAUCUUUGAAUAAUGUUAAUAACGACACUCGUAAAAAGUGUCAUCUUUAAACAUAUUCUGGUCAAAUAAUUUUUACAAAAUUAGUAAUCUUCAAGCCGUUUCUGAAUCAUAUCUGAGCCUAUUUCUGGGGACCAGAAAACCAUCUUUUUUCCAUUCGCCUGAGAGGUCUGAUUAGCAUUUCUGGAAUCAAUCUCUAAACCCAAGCUUCCCUCAUCUACCCAUUUAACCCUCAUGCCCUCCUGUUUGAACAACUUUCCCACUAUAUACACAAAUUUUUUACCUUCUGUUGUUGGUAUUCGACCUCUUCCCAUUCCCAGCACAGAAUCCACCAUUAGUGCCACUUUGUGAAUAAAAUCAUCGAACCAGAUCUUUCGGGCGGAAGAUGAGCUCCAGAGAAAUAAAAUUUUUGGGGUCUUCCCAGCAUGAAAGUCAUAGGUAGCAUUAAUGACAUCAAGAAAUGGGGCACUGUUGAGAAAAAACAUGUUCCCAUCAACCACCCAAGAAUUGUACCAGACUCCAAACACUUCUGGAUUACAUAUGCCUUUACUAAGAUAUAUUUCUUGAUCUCCAUAUCAGAAUCUUGGAGACUCUUCAUUUUAUGAGCUCUGACACUACUGUGAAAUUGGUCCACAUCAAUCACAGGAUGACCCCUUCUAGCAAGAUCAAGCAGGAAGUCUGAAUUCGGGCCCAUAAAAAUGUAGUUCUGAAUAUUGAAACUCUCAAAGUGGCACAACAAAUUCCUUAUGACUCUUUCAGAUGCUCCAAACAGGCUCACAAGUAUAAUGGUAUCCUGUUUUUGCACAGAGUAAAGAAAAUAUCCGAGUUCUUCAAAACUCCUUACAACUAUUCCAGGAUGUACUUCUUUGAAACAGAAAUCGUACCACUUUAGCUUAGUCAGAGGUUGAAUCUAAAAUAACAAAACCCAAACUGAAAUCAAAAUCGAAAUCAACCCUAAUAGAUUUCAGAAACAACAAAUUAAAAGAGUAAAGCACAAAAGGGGGAAAACACAUAUGAAGCAAUCUCCAUACAAGCCCUAACCUUAGAUAAACCCAAAAAAAAAAAUCAAAGCAGAGAGUUACCAUAGAGCAUCUCUGUUUCAAGCUUAGAAAAUGUUUAAUGCCAUUGAUAACUAGUUGGCUAGUGGUGGACUUCAAGCUUCUCUAUUUCGGUGUUAGUAGCUCUCAAUGGCUAUGGUGAGAACAAAGAAAUGAGAGGCUUAGGGUUUGGGAUGUGAGGUUAUUGAUGAUGAUGAGGAUAAAGUUAUGGGCUCUUGGAGGGGUUAGGGAAAUUGAAGAUGGCUGAGAGUAAAGGCUAGGGUUUUUGAGAUAGUUAAUAGCUUUUUAGGGUGUGACUGUCCAUAGAUAGAAGAUAAAUGAGGGUGUGAGAAUUUAUAGAUCUCUAGGUGAUAUGGCGGGUGUGAGAAUGAAAUUUUAGAGGGAAUUGUGUGUUUGGUAGAAAUUUCACACAUGCAUAUAUAAUGUUUCAGAACAUGGCACUUUAAAAAUACGACAAGGAAGAAAUUAUUUAUUGACGCUUAAAUAAAGCGCCAAGGUCUCCAACAUUUUUGCAAUCAAUGACGUUUGUAAAAGGUGCCAUUGAAUAGGAGUGCCAUUGCUUUCCCACAAAGCAUCAUUGUUAAUCAAGCCUUUAAAAAACGCCAAGAUAUGUUGCCACUUAGGUUAAAUAUUGACGCUUUUAAAAAACGCCAAGGAAAAAAACGUCAUUAUUCAUGUUUUUUGUAGUAGUGGCUUGAUUCCUAAAAAGUAAAGGAAAGCAAAAAGUAAAAAAAUAAAAAUGUGGAGAGUUAGGACAUGCGUUAUCUAAUUGUCCUAGUCCCAAAUAUAUUAAGAAAGUCAUGUAGGUUACUUGGAGUAACGAGUCAAGUAAAGCAAGCCUUCUAGUGUUUAAGACAUUAGAUAUUACCGAACUGAUUAUGUCAUUAAUGUAUUGCAUUUGUUGUUUCUAAUAUAUAGAAGAAGAUGAAAUUAUUGGAAUAAGUGGGAAAUAGGAAUAAAUCCAAGGUACCAAAAAGUCACUUUAUCUUAGAUGUUGUUGGAAACAUAAGUGAUUUCACAAUAACGACUAUGAGACAAUCAAGGAUUAAUAAGAUAGACUUUAUAUGAUAUACCUCCCAAUUAGAGCCUAAAAAUAUGGAUGAAGCACUUAGAGAUGAAUCUUCAAUUUUUGUACUAUAGGAAGAAUUAAAUCAAUUUGUUAGCUAUUCUUUGGAUAUUUGAUUCAUCACAAGCUACAAAUCACUUUUGAUGACCAAACACGAAACUAAGAGGAUUGGGCCCAAUUCGAUGCCUAUCAACAAUGAUUUGUAUUCCACCUCAUUAAUUAUUCAAAGUUGGGAAGCUAGGUCUAACCACUUUCUCUACCUGUUCACCCUUAGAGGAGCAGAAGAAAAUUCUAACUUUGGUGCCUAAUGCCUUUGACAAUCUUUCGACAAAGAGAGUUCACUAAUUACUUUGAUUAUUUCUCUGUUGGUCACUGGGGGACAAGACUUUUGUAAUGAAGUCAACUAGAACUUGCCCUUUGAGGGCCAUUCAUGGACGAUAUUACACCAUGAAUUCCCUUAGGUCAUGUUUGGUAUGUGAGAAUGAGGAGUGGAAUGGACAUCUUAUUCAUUUUUUCAUCUAUUCAAAUGUUGGGAUAACUCAAGUGACCAUGAGAAUGAAAUCAAGAAUGAUUCAAGGGAAAUGAAAUCUUACUUAUAAGUGUGAUUUCAAUUAAUCUCUAAUAGAAAUUAUUUUGAAUCAAUAGUGCAAGUUAUUUUUAAAAACAUUUUUCCAAAAUUAAAAAAAUCAAUUUUUUUUUUUUCGAUAAGUUGUUUUUAAAAGGAUUUUUUUUAUUUUGUAAAAAGAAAAUUGUAAUUCAAUUUAUAUAAUAUAAACUAAAUUUUAUUUUAUUCAAAAAGAAAUAAUUUUUUAAUUAUAAAUAAAUUAAAAAUAAAUACUUUUAAUAAAAUAUAAAUAGUAUUAUUAUAAUAAAAUCAUAAAUAAAUUUAAUUUUUUUUAUAAAUAUUAUAAAAAUAUGGAUAUUAACAUUGGAUAAUUGAUUUAUUUUGUUAAAAUAAAAAAUAAUAAUUUUUAAUAUUAUUUUAUGUUAAAUGAAUUUUAAAAUAAAGAAAGUUUAAUUAUUUUAAGGUAUAGAAGAGCCAAAUUUUGCAUUACAUACAUAACAAACAAUAUUUAUUAGAAACAUUUCUCAAGGAGAAUCUUAUUCCAUCUCACAAAGAUACUCGUUUAUUCGAUGUUUGACCAUCCGUAACAAUCAUGUCAAUUCUACUGAUUUAAUAAUUCCUUUACAUUUAUUACUCACUUAUGAACAUGGUAUUGUGAUUUAUUUAUUUAUUUGAUGUAUAAUUAAUUAAUCAAUUUUUUAAAUUUCAAAUUAUUUUUAAAAACUAUUCAUUAAGGAAUUUAAAGCAUUAAUUAUGUCUAUUAUUUUUUAUAGUCAUUAUAUAUAUAUUGAGUUUUAAUUUAUUUUUAAAAAUUAUUAAACUUAUUAAUAAAUUCAAUAUAAAGUCUCGUUUCAUUUGAAAUUCAUUUCUUUAGUGAAAAUUUUGAAAAAAAAAUUGUUAUUUAUUUUACUUUGUUUUAAAAAAAUUGUUUCUAGAGAACAAUAAUCAAAUAAUGGUAUGAAUUUUUAAAAACAAUUUUGUUUUUAAAUCAUAUGCCCAAAUAAUUUUUUUUUAUUUAGCAAAAAACUUUGUUGUAGUAUGUGGCUCAUAUUGAGGGAAAGACAUAUAUGGAGAAAAAUGUGCAAAUGUUGGAGUGGAGCGGAGUGGAAUGACGACAUUUGUCAUUCAAACUUGUAUUUUUAUUGUUAAGGGUGACCGAUAGGUUGGUACGGUUUAGGGGUAUUUUUGGAAUUUCAUUACCUGAGGGUUAGUAUAAAUACCAUUUUAUGUAACCCUAAUUUUACAUAUAAUGUAAGUUUUCUUCCUUGUUCUUGUGGACAUAGGCAAUCCGUCGAACCACGUUAAAUCUGUGUGUUUUUUUUUCUUUUUUCUUUUUCUCUAAUUUCUUCACCAGGAAUCGUUACACUAAGAUCAACAAACUCUCAAAGAUGAUUUUUAAAAUGAAAAAAAUAAUGUAUAGUGUGAGAAUUUUUUAUUUUUUAUUUUUUUAAAAUGAAAAUAAAAAAUUGCUUUAAGGUAAAAGUGUGGAUAUUAUUGUUAAUUUAUUUCAUUUUUCAUUUUCAUUUCCAUUGUUACCUACAAUUGAAAUGGAAACAACUAAUCAUUACAACCUUACAUUCUUAUAUGCAUCCAAAUACAAAAAUUGAAAUCACCAAAUUCAUAUUCAAGGCAAAAUAGGAAUGAAAACAAAUAUUCAUUCUCAUUCUUUAUUCCCACGUGUCAAACAUGACCUCAAAGUUAUAAACAUGAACAAGAAGUCCUUGAAACACCAAUGAUCUCUUCUGGUAUAUAUAUGAGCUUGAUUGACAACUGUUUUAAAUACAGUUUUUUUUUUUUUUGUUUUCAAAAUCAAAACAAAUUUAUUUUUAUUUUUUAUAAAUAGUAGUUUUUUAAUAUUUUUUUUAAACCUUAUUAUGAAAAUAGGAUGUUUUCUAAUAUCAUAUUUUAAUUAUUUUCAAUUAUUUUCCCUUCUUUUAAGGAGGGCUAUUUUAAAAAUAUGAAAAAUGAUACAAAAUAAAGCAUUACAAAUAAAAAUCAUUUUUAAGAAAUAUAUGAAAAUAAUUUGAGAACAUUUGAAGUUCCUUAAUUAAACUUUUGUUCUAGAAAAUGCAAGAAAACUGUUUUUGAAAAUUGUUUUCAUAAUGAUAUGCAUUGAUCGUUUAAAAUUUAAUUACAUGAUAAAAAGACCUAUGUAAAAACCAGAGUUAUAUAAUCAGUCAUAGAUCAAAUCUACUAAAUAUGAAAAGUAAGUACAUAGUUGUAUAUGACUUAGAUGGAGCCUUCUCCGAAUGACAUUCUUUAGUCGGUACUCAUAUUUUUUUGUUUCGUGUCUUCAACAUAACACCUCAUGAUCCUUAAUAAAUCACCUGAAAACUAUAUUAGCACCUUAUUGUUUAAUAUUUCUCUAAAUUUUUUUAUUAAGCAAAUAAAUUCCAAAUUUAAAAUGACAAAUAAAAUUUAUUAAUUUUUAAAAAUAAUUUAAAACUCAAAAACCAAUUUAAUUGAUAUUAAAAGUCAUGAAACUUAAUAAUAUUAGAAAGUCAUGUAUCCAAAUUUAUUUUAAAUGACUUGUUUAAUUUCUUGUUUAUAUAUAUUAUAUUUUUAUAAUUUUUUUUACUAUACAAAUAAAUUUUAAAUUAAACAAAACUUAAUGCGUUGAAUUCAUUAACGAGUCUAAUAAUUUUUAAAAGUUACUUAAAAUUUAAAUACUAAAUCAAUUAGUACCACAAAUUCAUGGAAAAAAAUUGAUUUAUUACUACUAUAUUGUUUCUCUAUUGCAUAGAACCAUUAUUUUUCAAUUUUUUCAUUUGGCAAAUGAACAUCAAAUUAAACAAGACUAAGUGUAUUAAAUUCAUUAAUGGGUCUAGUAAUUUUUUAAAAUAAUUUAAAAUUCAAAUAUUGAUACUCCAAAUUAAACAAGACUUAGGUGGUGUUUGUUUUUUGGUUGAAUAGAAAAAGGUAAAAUAUUUGACUUUUUCUAUUUAGUUAAAAGUAACUUGUUGACAUCGUCCAAUAUAAUUAAAGUAAACCUAUUGAGGGCAAGUUCACUUUAAUUAUGUUGGACGAUGUCAACAGGUUACUUUUAACUCAAUAGAAAAAAUCAAAUAUUUUGACUUUUUUUUUAACUCAAAUAAUAAAUCCAUUAAUACAAAAAAAUUAUGGAUAAUUUGAAACUUUCUUUCUUUUUUUUUUUUUUUUUGCUACACAUAGCUAUAUUUUUAUAAAUUUUAUCAUUAGAGAAAUGGAUUUCAAAUCAAGUGAAACUUUGUAUUGAAUUAAUGGAUUUAACAUUUUUUAAAAAUAAUUUGGAACUAAAAAAAAAAGAUUUAAUUACUAAGAAAAUCAUAGAUCAAAACUAAUAUAUUCUGAUCCAUGAUUUUAUUAUUUUUCCUAUACAUACAAUUAUAUUUUUAUAAUUUUCUCACUAGGUAAAGAUAUUAUAAAUUAAGUGACACAUAAUUAAUAAUUUAAAUUUUUGAAUGAAUCUUUUAAUUUUAGGAAUAAUUUGAAAUUUAAAAAGUUGAUCCAAUUAAUUGUAAAUUAACUUAAAAUAUUAUAAAAUAUUAUGUUCAUAAUUAAGUACUAAAUGUAUAUAUGUAAUGAAAACUUAACUAGUUACAUGUUACAAAAGCCAAAAUUUAUUCAUUCUUUAUUUUAAAUAAAAUAUUAUUAAUAAUUAUUUUUUUUAAAAUAAUAUUUAGUAAUUAUUGUUUUUAAAUUAUUAUUAUUAAUUUUUAAUAAAAAAAUUGCAAAGUUAUUAAUAUCAUUAUAUUUCUAACAUAAAUUUAAAUAGUAUAUUUUUUAAUAUAUAUAUAUAUAUAUAUAUAUAUAUAUAUAUAUAUAUAUAUAUAUAUAUAUAAUUUAUGAUUUCAUUAUAAUAUUUUUAUUCAUGAUUGACGAAAAAUUAUUUAUUGUUUAAUUUAUUUGAAUUGCAAAACUAUUUUUCAAAAUUCAAGCGAGAAAAUAGGCCUGGAUUUGAAUUUCCUGUAGAAGAGAAGGAUGUGGAGAAUAUGUUGGGAGUAUUUGUGGAUAAAGAAAAGGCCAGGGUACUGAGAAAGGAGAGAGAACUUGCUCUUGCCAAAAGAGCCCUGCACAGGUAUUCUACUGAUUCUAAUUAUCGGUUCUUACAUGAUCAGAUUUCAGAUUUAUUUGCUGAGCUUCUGAAAUCUGAUACAGUAUUUAAACUCCGGUGAGCUUUACAAGAUUAGUCUCGCAUCCAAUUCCAAAUGGUGUCCCACAAUUGAUUCUUCUUAUGAUAAAUCCACCUUGAUAUGUGAAAAUAUUGCUCGAAAGGUUUAUCCUCGCGAGGAAUAUCCAGAAUACUAAGGAAUUGAGGAGGCUCACUAUGUUUAUAGAGUCAGGGAUAGGUUGAGAAAACAAGUAGUUGUUCCAUUACAUAAGGCCCUGGAGUUGCCAGAGGUUUUCAUGUGUUCGAACAAGUGGGGAUCACUUCCCUACAACCCUGUGGCUUCAGUGGCCAUGAAAUCAUACAAGAGCCUCUUCUCAAACCAUGAUACAGAGCGGUUUGGUGAGUAUCUUGAGAAAGUGCAAACUGGGAAGGCUAAGAUUGCAGCUGGUGCAUUACUUCCCCAUGAGAUUAUAGCUUCAUUGAAUGAGGAGGAUGCCGAGAGAGUUGCCGAGCUUCAGUGGGCAAGAAUGCUGGAAGAUUGAUCAAAGAAAGGGAGGCUCACAAAUUGCAUUGCAGUAUGUGACGUAUCAGGAAGUAUGAGUGGAACUCCAAUUGAGGUGUGUGUGGCUCUGGGGCAGUUAGUUUCAGAGCUCAGUGAAGAUCCAUGGAAAUUAAGGUAAUGUAAUUACUUUCAGUGCAAAUCCUGAGCUUCACAAGAUCCAAGGAGACAGCCUUGUAUCCAAGACUGAAUUUGUGAGGAUGAUGGAAUGGGGUGCCAACACUGACUUUCAGAAAGUUUUGACAGAAUCUUACAAGUAGCAGUGGAGGGAAAUAUGAGUGAAGAUCAAAUGAUAAAGAGGGUUUUCGUUUUCAGUGAUAUGGAGUUCGAUGAAGCUUGUGGGAGGUAUAACUAUUGUGACUAUGACUAUGAUAUGGAGGAAAUUGACGAGAGUCAGAAGGCAUCUCAGAAGUGGGAGACAGAUUAUGAAGUGAUACAGAGGAAAUUCCAGGAGAAAGGAUACAGAAAAGUUCCAGAGAUAGUGUUUUGGAACCUUAGAAACUCAUCAGCGACUCCAGUGACGGCCACAGAGAACGGGGUGGCCUUAGUAAGCGGGUUUUCAAAGAAUCUGUUGACCUUGUUUUUGGAAGGAGGUGGAAUUCUGAUCCCUCAGGAUGUGAUGGAAUUCGCCAUCUCUGAUGAAGAUUACAAGAAACUUGUUCUAUUUGAUUAAGAUAUCAAGAGAUUUAUCAAUAAUAAUAUAUUUUUUUUCUAUGUGAAAUACAUAUAAUAUUAACUGUGGAGUUAUCAAAGUUCUGGAGGUUUAAUUAUUUCUUCUUUUCAAGUUUUGUUUAUUUAAGGUUUUCUUUGUCUUUGUUAGGAAUUCCCCUUGGGUGGACCCAGCUGGGGAGUUGGAUUGAGGAAGUAAGCAGGCGAACUUGUGUUCUUCUAUGGACAGAGAAAAAAAAUAAAAUAAAAAAAUAAAAAAGGAGGUUAUUUGCAUUUGGAUGUCGUGGUUUGAGGGUACAACUACAAGCUCGAAAUUGUACAUAAUGUGAAAACUCCUGUGUCCAUUGCUGAGAACAGCAUAAAUGAUGGUGAUUUUCAAGUUGUGCCUGGUAUUCUACAGGAUGAAACAAGAAAGGAUCCAGGUGGUAUAUUGAACAAUAUCCCAAUCAUGUUGGUGGCAUCUUUAUUUAGUUAAUGGUAUUCAUUUGGUGGAAGCUGGUUGUUUAUGAUGUUUUUAAUUUUUUUUAACAUGAAGUUCGAUCAAAUACGUAUCUUAGUAUGUUUUGUUUGAGCUAAUUGGCAAAUGCGCUUUAAACAUGGUCACAUGGAUGCAGUUUUAUUUGUGAAAUGAUAAUAGUCGAUUACUUGGUCAGUAAGGUUUAUAUCUCUAACUUCAACAUCUUAUUGUAGUCUUUUAAAAUGUCAAAAGUUUAAUGCUUGAGAAAUUUUGGAAUGGAGACAUUCUAAACAAAGUUAAUAAUCCACAAGACUUGGUAAAACCGAUCAGAUGAUGCUUACGUACAUCAAUGCCUUCUUUAAGCCAUAUCCUAUUUUCAUUGAACGGGAUGUGCCAUCUAGUUUGGUUCUUUAAGCCUCCAAAUCCUAAACCUAGUCUCAAUUUAGAGCAAAUUUAGGGUGCAGGGCCUGCAUGCCUCCCCCUCCCCCUUCCACAAAUAGUAGUGACCUUGCUAUGCCUAUGCAUUGUCAAUGCCUCAUUUUCUAUGGUCUCCAAUGUAAUAUCUUAGUUUCAAUGUCUCUUUCCUUACUAUCUCCAAUGCAAUAGAUUGAUUUCAAUACCUCUUUACAACUAAGACCUCCAAAUUUUCUUGGUUCAAACCUACCAGAAUUUUUCUUCUCCUUUGCUUUCUAUCAAUAUUAGUUCCCCUAAUUUAAUAUAUACUUCUUUAUUACCUUCAACUCUACCUCUCUUUCUUUCUCUAAAAGCUUCCUCAAAGAUUUAAUUGCUUUCUUGCAUGUUUUAAGAAAACAAACAUGCUCAUAUUACAUUACCUCUACUUGAGAUCUACCUUAUACUCUACCUUCUUUCUUUACCUCCUAUAUCAUCUACUACAUUAGCUUCAAAAAUAUUAUUUAGUUUGAUACUAAAUAAGGCUCCUAAUCCUACUCUUCCUUCAACAAACUUUCUUUUUACAAGUUCCUUAAACUUUAUUUUUUAUUUUUUAUUUUUUGGAAAUUCGGGUUAGAAAGAUUCCAUUACUCUUACCUAAUAUUUCAACCAUCAAGUUGAAUCCACUUAUUGCCUAAAUCCAAGGAGUCUGCCCUCCACAAAAACAAGGAAAUUGAUCCCACAAUAACAAGGAGAUUGCCUUCCACAGAAACAAAGAGAUCUCCCUUCACAGAAGCCGAAUACAUUGCAAUCUAUUUUCUUUCUUGUAAGAUCAAAUCUUCAAUCGAGCUCCAUCUUAUGGGGGCAUAUUAGAGAAAUUUAAUAUUAUCCUUAAUUUACAUAUUAAUAUUUAUCUAUUUAUUAUAUAUUGAAUUAAAAUAGAAUAUAGAAUUUGAAUCAUAGUAGAAGUUUACUAUAAGAUUGAAUUACAAUAGUUAAUAGAGUUUAAAUUAUAAUAACUCAAAUACAUUUAUAUAUAUUUGACCUUACGAGAUUUUCUAUUUAUGUAUUUGAACUACAAUCCUUAUGAUCCUUAGGUCUCUAUACCUUCGUGAUGGGCUCCUUGACAUUUCAUAGGUUGUGCUACACAUGCAUUUGAAAUUUAGAGUGCAUUUGACAGUGAUUCUGGGAAGUGUUUUUGGCAUUUCUAACACUUAAAAUUUUUUAUUUUUCAAGUAUUAGAAAUGCUACAAACACUUUUGAAAAUUACUGUCAAACACACUCUUAGGAGCGCAUAUAGUAGAAAACUAGAAAUUGUGGUUUUUUUAGGAUUUACUGUAAUGUCAUUAGGAGGGUAGUAAGUUGAAACUGAGUAUGAAUAAAUAUUUCUUUCUUUGGGAUGUUCUUCUGGUAGGUGCUGAUGAAACUGUUCUUUUUACUGCCAAUGUCACAUAUCAGCCAGAAAUUGAAAAUUUCAGUCAAGGUGUCCUCGGUUUUAGUGGUGAGGAAAGCUAGAAAUUUUAAGGUGAAGUUCUGUUAAAAACCUUAAGUAGCUGGGAUAUCAGGCCUGUUUUGCUUGAAAAAAAAAGUUGCAAGAUAACUCAUAUGCCAAACAGGUUCUGAUAUUGUGAAUCUAUCGGCAGACAUCAGUAAUCUCAUCUUCUGAGAUGGAUGUUGGGGGUGCAUGUGGUGGUGGAGGGGCAAGGUUUCAUUUGGUUUAUUUUGUUGAUGGAUAUUGUCUAGCCCCCUGCGCCAAGUUUGAGGGGUGGUGGGUUGUGAUGGCCCUACAAUUACUAUUAAUUUCUUCCUCUUUUACCGAUUAAAGUGUCCGAACAGUCGAAGUUACCCUUAUGCAUGUCAACUUGAUCACUUACCUCUUCAAUGGAGUUUAUGCUGGUUCAUUUAGGAACUGAUUUUUAUUGUUAUGCAUUCUAUGCUGAUGUUUAGGCCUCUCCAUCAUCACUAUAUACAAAAAUUCUAGGUUGAUACUAUAGGUUGAGAUUUAUUUUUUAAAUAAAAAAUAAUAAAAAUAAAAAUUAUGGUGAUGUUUAGUUGUUUUAUGGAAAAUUUUAACAAGUUAUUUUUGGGCAAGUUUUCAAACAAAAAGAAAAGUAAAAGUUGUUUUGACAAAAACAUAUAGAAAAAAAAAAUCAUAGAAAAGAAAUAAUUUCCCCAUAUUCUAACUUUUUUUAAUUUUUCUCAAUGGGCAAAGGAAUAUCAAAUCAAGUUUGAGUAGGAUUUCUUAAUUUUUAAAAUAACUUACAAUUAAAAAAUUUUGGUGUUUUCAUUUUUGGACAAUUUUUUAUUAAGCAAAUGGACUCUGAGUCAUGCAAGAGAUAUGGUUGAUUAAUGGGUCAAACAAUUUUUUUAAAAUAAUUUAAAACUCAAAUACAUAAUCAAUGUCACAAAAUUUAUAAACAAAAAUAGGUUUAGAGAAGAUCUACACAUAAUUUUACUUUUCUAAUUUUAUUUUAUUUUAUUUUUUUGUUGGAAAAUAGUCUUCAAAUCAUGUAAGAUUUAAUAGGUUAAAUUUGUUAACAAUAAAUUUUAAAUUAUAAAAUAUAAUCUGGAACUUAAAAAUCAAUUCAAGUAAUGCUAAAAAAAAUCAAAUUUGGUAUAGAAUGACUACGUAAAAUUUUUUACAAAACAAAUGAAUUUUAAAUCAAGUGAGAUUUAAUGCAUUAGAUUUUUAUCAAAUAUAGUAAUUUUAAAAUUUAAUUUGGAACUCAACAAUAGACACAAUAAAUACCAAAAAAUAAUGAACCAAAAUUGGUUUGGAAUAACUCCACAACCUCUUUUUUUUUUUUUUGGUGCACACGAAUUUUCUUACUAGGUAUAUUGCUUUCAAAUUGAGAAAGAUUUACUAUUUAGAUUUUUUUUUUUAAUGAGUUUAAUGGUAUUUUAAAAUAAUUCAAAAUUUCAAAAAUUGACUAAUUACUAUUAUAAAUUCAUAAACCAAGACUAAUUCAAAAUGCAUUGGGGGCUAAGGGGGUUGAAAAUAGGGACAAUGGGAUGGGUUUGGGACAUGACACUCAUAUCUCAUUUCCAUUCCAAUUACAUAGUUAUCUCCCAUCCUUAUCCCAAACUUGUGUUGGAGCAAGUUGAUUUGUUCCCAUCUUUGUUGAUGAAAUGACUAAUAACCUCAUCCCCUCCUUAUCUUAGAUGUACAUUUUGUCAAAUUUGAUCAGGUAUGAUUGAUCCAAGCCCUAACCCUAAUUGGUAAUGACUGGAUACUACACCUAAUUGCAUUCUUCUUUCGUCGCAAAAUAAUGAGAUUAUAAUAAUCUAGCAAAUAAGAAAAAAUAGUAUGGAAGUUCAAUUUAACACCAUAACUAUCAAUAAUUUUAAGCUUAUAGAUGACUUAAAUGAUUAAAAACUAAUGCAAAAUACCAAAAAAAAAAGUUCAUAUAAAGAAUUCACAAGAGAACAAAAUGAACAAAAACCAAAUAUGAACAUGGGUCAACAUUAGUUAUGGAUUUGGAUUCCUUUCAAGGCCAAUCUUUGAACCAAGACUUCAUCAAAUCUACUACUUCAAAGGCUUUUGUGUUCUUCUUGGGUUGUGCUCUCAAACAAAGACUUCAAGGUGAUGCUCUAGAUGAUUGCAUUACACAUAUUUAGGGUGGAGAGAUUGGAGAAGCUUGAAGAUGCCAACGAUGGGUACAAUUGAGUGGUCAAUAAGAACAAUGUAGCCUAUGACUAGUUUGAUGUCGUGGUACAAGAGUUUUAGGCAUUGAGGUUAAAGCAAGAGCAACAUGGAAUUGAUUUUGGAGUCUUUCAAUUAGUGUAAAGGAGGAAGAAGUGGUAUUGAUUCUAGAAAUAGGGUUUUAGGUGGUGCGUUAGAGGAUGAAGAAGAAGAAAAAGAAGGAUCUGUUGGAAUUAGUGUGAGUGUGAAGAGAGAAGUAUAUAAAUAAGGGGAAGUAAAAGCAAAGUUCUAAAAGCUAUAUUUUUUUUUAUUGUUGGUGUAUGGUUGCAUGAUUAUCCCUAUAAAUAAUAGGAGUUUUUUUGGUAUUCUACUAGUAGUUGAAGGAUAAUUUCAUAAAUUUAUAUUUAGAGUGGGGUGGGGUGAGUUGUGACAAAAUUCAUACCCGUCCUAAACCUUGGUUCAGAUUUUUAAAAUAUCCUCAAACUUAUCAUAUACCCAACUUUUAUAUUUCAUACUUGUCUUGAUAGAGGCAGGUUAGGCCGGGUUACUUGAGUAACCUACAUAAUUGUCAUCCCUAGUUGAAAUACACUUUUUUGGCAGUGGCCACCAACUGAGCUAGAAGCUUGAUCGAUUGACCUACAAGAUUAGUUCUCAUCAUUUUAAAAAAAGUUUUGGCCUUGGUUGUGAGUGCAAUUGAAUCUAAACUGGCAUUUCCUUAAUGCAUCUACUUCAAUCCUAAAUUUCUUACUUCCUAAGCCUCAAUUGUUGUUAGGAUUUUGGAAAGCCCAUUUCCUUAAAUUGUAAAUUUAAGAAAAAAUAAAAUAAAAGUGAGACAUUUCUUGAUUGAAUAUUGUUAAAGGUCCCUUGGCAUUAAGACUUGGUUGAAGCCUUGGAAGAUUAGUGGAACUCUCAACUUGUGUUUGAAUCUUGAGGAGAGUGGACGUAAGCCAAAAUUUUGUCAAACCAUUAAACAAAUUGAGUUUGAAUCCUCAUUUCUUGAUUUCUUAUUUAUUUGCUUUUUCUUAUUAUUACUUGAAUUGUCAUUUGCAUUCAUUAAUGUUAAAAUUGGUUAUAAUUAACCAACACUAAUUCUCUUUCCCCUUCCCUUUCUUGGGUGUAAACCUAGGUUGGAUUAACUAGAUUAAUUUAUAAAAUCUAUUAAGAUGGUAAAAGAAUAAUUAUUCUUAACACACAUAAGAUCAUCUUCAAUCAAAUGACUCAUUGGCUAAUAUGUUGAAUUUGCUUAUUACUUGCAACUCAAAAUUGUGUUCUAGUUGAUAUGUCAAGUCCCCAGUGUAUGGACAUUAAAUUUGUAGUACGUGAUGGUAAUUAGAUGGUCCAACUCCAAGAAAGUGAUUGAAAACUAGUUCAAGAAAGGUGCAAAAGGGAAUUGUUUUGGUAUUUUCGUUUUUAUUCUUGAAGGUGGCAGAGCUAAAAUUUGUGAAAUCAAGCAAAACAUACUGAAAUUACAUUGAAAGAAAGAAAAUGGGAGUUAAUGUCUUGCAGUAGAUGAUAAGGACUUCAUGCAUGUAGUAUGACCCAUGUCUUGGACUGAUGCCAACUCACGGUUACACUUAUACCCUUGGUUCUCUCUUUACUACCUUGGCUAACCUAGAUCAGGCUAUGAGAUAGGCUCCUCACCACACCAUUACUUGCCCAUUAAUUAGAGACAUUUUCAAGCACUGAGGUAACAUGGUGACACCAAGAGGGUUUAUUCCUCGCCCUCCUCGCCCUCAACAAGUCUAGACUUGGUCUCAAAAAAAUGGAGAAAAAUGAGGUGUCGUUAUGUAGAAAUACAACAACCAUGCCUUCCUCAUUACUUUGAUUCAGAAUGUGAAGGUGAAAUUGAGAAACAGAAACUCUUGAAACCAAAAUGAAAAUUGAUACUUUUACGAAGAAUUACAACAACAUUGGAGGAAGACUACAUUCUUCCUCUUUAUUCCUACAUUUCUACACUACUUCUACUCCACUCCAUAUUUCUACAUACAUCUUUAAUCAGUCUUCCCUCCUUUAUAUAGAGCCAUCUUCACACAAAUUCCGCAAGGUAGAAAAGAGGAAUGAAACUUGGAGCAAGGUUCGACUACUGGCUGUAGCUUGUCAAGGCUGGAAGUGAACCUUUUUUCUUGGCUUUUCUGGGCAUGGGUAGUAACUUGUGGGUUCCUUUUUGGGAUACAAAUGGCUAGAACAUGUGGCACUAUCUUGUUGGAUGAUGUGUCAAGCAUGUGGCAGCCAUCUAGUGGCGAUUAUGUCAAUUUUGGGAUGGAGAGUUGGCAUCCAAUUGCAAAGAAAUAUGACGUCUACCAACAGGCAAUGUAAACCUAUGUAGAUCAUAUGAAGAUAGAGAGGAAAAAUAUAGAAAUGGAUAUAUACCUAGAACUAGCUUUUUAUUAAAUGAAACGGAGAGCCAACAAUGAAGGAAAAUAAAUUUUUUUGGCUUAUAUCAAAGAGUUCACAUUGUGCUACCCUAGGUUUUCUUAAAACUUACUUUUAUGAUAACAAAAAAAAAAAAAAACAUUAUUGUUUAAUCCUUUGUUUUAAACGCAUGUUUAGCAAGUUAUAAAAUGUAAAAAUCUUUCUAAGUUCAAAUAUGAAGAUAUGACAUCAUUUCAAGCAAGAUAGUCUCUAGGAAUUAAUGUAAAGCUAAAUUAAGGUGAAAUUAAAUUAGUUCAAUGCAUUAAUUUAAGAAACUUGACCUAUCAAAAGUACAAAAUUAGAUGAAAUCCAUUUCAAUGGUUAAAAUGAUCAAAAUCAAACUUUUUCUAAGUAUUUUUUAAAAGUAUCAAUAUUGAAAGACAAUUUUAUAUUUAGUCAGAGUUUGGACAAAACCAAAAAGCACACAAAAUCCAAGCGACCAUCUCUAGCUUGGAUGGUCGCUUGAUCUCUAGCUUGUGUACUUGGAAAGCAACAUCGAGAUGAUAUAUAUAUAUAUAUAUAUUUUAUAUAAUAUUGUUUGUCCAAAUUCCCUAAAAAUUAGGCCACCACAUGUUCAUAAUUCUCCCUUCUUGAAUUUGAAAACUCGGACAAUUGGACAAUGCGACACCUAAGUCCGGUUUCUAAAUGCUAAAGUGAAAGGGUAGGUAUGGACCAUUGAAAUGUGAUCACAACUUUUCUCUGUAGCCAUGUUGUCUCUUUUUUCUUUUGCAUGAUUUUCUCACCUUAACAGAAUCAUAGACUUGUUUAAUCUCUAAAUGGGAUUAAUUUCAUCCAGCUUUAAGCUACUAUAUUAUAUCUAGGUGGAGGACUUUUAAGAGUGCAACCGACAUAGAGCACAUGCAAGUGGGUAUAUGGGACAUGAAAUUUCUUCUUAUAAAGAUUGCAUGAUUUUUAUAUUAGAGUUGUUGGGGCGCAAUGUAUGUAGCUUGUUUUGCAGUUAAAUUAAUUGGAUAAGUAGACAUUGGCGUUUCUAAAUCUACUGUGAAGUGCUUCAUGUACGUGUGAAGUAUUAGAAAUUUCUUUCUUGGCAACUUGUUUUUUCUUUGCGGUCUACUGAUAGGUUUGACUAAAAUUAUAUUCCCUGUCAUGCUAAUUAAUUUUCACGUGCAUGCUCAAAAGAAGAGUAUGACCUUAGUGCACCAAAAUCACUUUGAUUAAUUUGUGAUAGGUUUUUGUGCAUCAUGACAUUAGCCUUAUUCAUUUAGAUAAUGUUUAGUUUUUAGAAAGUAUUAAGAAAAGGAAAAUAAAUAUUAAGAAAAAUAUUCUUAUAUUUGAUUGUAUUAUGAAAAAUGUCAUAAAAAAAUCAAAUAUAAUUUAAAUUAAUUAAUAAUUUAUACAUUUUCAAAUUAUUUAAUCUUUAUAUUGAAGAUAUAAUAUAAAUGAAAUGAGUUUUAAGUAUUAUAUAAAAGUGAUUUAUUGAUCUUGCAUAUAUGUAUUUCUUUUUUUUUUCUUCUAUUUUUUUUCUUUAUUUUAUUUUCCUUAUGUUUUCCUCAACAUUUUCCGGAACCAAACAUAGCCUUAGGAAAUCCACAAUUACCUUCAACUGAGUAUAUUCGGUUGUUUUAGCAAUGUUAGGCUGCUAACUUGUGUUGGUACGAACCUGUUAAGCCUAAAGAUGUAAUUAGUUAGGAUAUUCUUUUCCCUCUAGUCUUGUAGCUCCACGUGUAUAGUUGGUUAGGACCUCAUUGUAUAUAAUGCCUGCCCUGUUAUUGUUGAAGACAACAGAGAUAAAUAAUAUUAACAUUUUUCCUCUCAUCUCUCUUUGUUUCCCUCUGUUUUCAUCUCCUCUCUCAUCUUGGUAUCAGAGCCUCCAUGGAUUCUUUCAAAGAAACCUCCGAAUCACCUUCUGCUAGCAUUGUUAAUGUGCAAAACCCAUUAUCUCAGUCAAACAACCUUCCUUCACCAGCAGCCACACCCUCUUUUUCUUUCUUGUCUAUGAAUCAACCUCUCACAGUGAAGCUGGAUAAUGGAAACUACCUCAUCUGGAAGAAUUAGCUUCUGAAUGUCAUCAUUGCGAACAGACUCGAUGAUUUCAUUUAUGGAACUCGACCCUGCCCUCCUUGAUUUCUCAAUCUGCAACAACAAACCCUCACUCCAGAGUACUCGGUCUAGCAGAGAUACAAUCGACUUCUAAUGAGUUGGCUGUACGCAUCCUUGUCCGAAGAUAUAAUGACUCAGAUUGUUGGGUAUUCAACAACUGUGGAGAUUUGGAACGUCCUUAAUCAGAUUUACUCUGCCUCUUCAAUGGCGUGGGUUACCGAGCUUCACACCAAGCUUCAAACGCUCAAGAAAGAUGGACUCUCAGUUGGUGAAUAUAUUCAAAGGCUCAAAUCCAUUUGCAAUAGUCUUGCAGCAAUAGGAGAACUAGUUUCUGAGAAAGACCAGCUUAUCUAUUUGUUCAAUGGAUUAUAUUGUGAGUAUAAUUCUUUUGUUACCUCCAUUCAAAAUCGAUCUGACCAACCAACUAUUGAGCAAAUCCAUAGCCUAUUGCUUAGCUAUGACUUUCGGCUUGAACAACAAAACUCUGUUUCUCUCCAUUAUGCCCAAGUCCGUAUGGCUCAUCUGAACAAGAAACCUUAUAAAUCAACUCCUCAACCUACAUUCAAUCAUAUUCACAUUCAACCUAGAUACUCUUCUCCACCUUUUAAGCCAACCACUAGUCAAUAUCAACCCAGGAUUUUGGGCAAACCACAACCACAACCAUGACAGCCUCAACCUCAAUGGAAACCACAUUUUUCAAUCCAGAAUCAAAAGCCUCAGUGCCAAAUUUGUGGUAAAUUUGGACACACUGCUCUUAUUUGCUUCCAUUGCACAAAUUUGAACUAUUCACCCCAACCUUCUCCUAAAUCUUUCAAUACUGUUCUCACCACAAAUUCCCAGCUCCCUAAUCCUCCAAAAUUUUCUUACCCUACAAUGGCUCAUCCUGCUGCUACGCAUAACACGAUUCCUGAUACAAAUUGGUACAUGGACUCAGGUGCUACACAUCACUUUACUCCGGACAUCAACAUGCUUGACACUGUGACACCAUUUAGUGGUUUAGAACAGGUGACAGUUGGGAAUGGUAAGCAACUCUGUAUCUCACAUCUUGGUACUGCAAAACUACCAUCCUCGUAUUCUCCUCUUGUUCUACAUCAGGUAUAUCACACUCCAAAAAUUUCAAAUAAUCUUAUUAGUGUUAGAAAAUUGUGUUCUGAUAAUAAAGUUUUUGUUGAAUUUUAUGCCACUCAUUUUCUUAUCAAAGAUCAAGUUUCGAAGAGAGUUCUCUUUCAAGGUCAACUUGAUAAUGGCUUAUACAAAGUUCAGUCGUCAUGCUCUCCUUCUACUAUUUCCUUUCAUCCUCAAGUUUUCAUAGCCAACAUCAAGGAUCAAAAUUUGUGGCACAAGAGACUAGGCCACCCAGCUUUAUCUGUUAUUAAUCAAAUCUUGGAUUCUUGUAACAUUGCUCGAACACAGAAAAUUGGUUUUAAUUUUUGUAGUUCUUGUCAAUUAGCAAAAAGCCACAGGCUUCCUUUUUCUCUGUCUCCAUCCAUUGCAGAAAAACCUUUUGAGUUAAUUCAUACAGACCUAUGGGGUCUUUCUCCUGUUCGCUCUAUUUCUGGUGCUCGUUAUUUUUUACUUUUCAUUGAUGAUCAUACUCGUUUUACUUGGUUUUAUUUGCUCAAAACAAAAGAUGAAGCAUAUCCUACUUUUCUCAAGUUUCAAGCUCUCAUUGAAAAUCAAUUUAAUACCAAGAUUAAGGUUGUCCAAUCUGAUUGGGGAGGUGAGUUUCGAUCUCUCUCCAUACUGUUUUCAAAUAUGGGCAUUGUCUAUCGUUUAUCAUGUCCAUACACCUCACAACAGAAUGAGUGGGUUGAGCGAAAAAAUCACCAUGCGGUUGAAAUGGGAUUGUCCUUUCUUGCUCGCUCGGGUAUGCCCUUAUCUUAUUGGCCUUAUGCCUUUCAAACUGCCACUUACCUUAUUAAUCGUCUCUCUACCCCUGUGCUGCACCAUCAAUCCCCUUACUUCGCACUCUAUCACAAAUUCCCAGCUUAUACUCAUCUUAAGGUCUUUGUUCCUCUUGUUUUCCAUAUUUACGCCCUUAUAAUACCCAUAAACUCCAAUACAGGUCACUGGAGUGUGCUUUUCUUGGUUGCAGUUCACACCACAAAGGUUAUCUAUGUCUUGACAUUCAUUCUAGCAGGGUGUAUAUUUCUCGCCAUGUGAUUUUUAAUGAAGAUUCUUUUACAUUCAAGAAUUUGAAAUCUUCUCUCUCUUAGUCUAUUUCUUCUUCCUCUUCUUUAUUAGUUCCUCUGUUCAUUUCCUUGCCUCCCCUCUCCCCAUAUCCUCCUAUUUCUCCAUCUAUAUCUCAUUCUUUUCUCUCUUCUUCUUCUACCUCUAGUACUUGUUCCCCUCUCGUUGCUCCUACCUCUCUUCCUCCCUCUUCACACUUUGUGUCCCAUCUAUUCCACCUCCUUCUCCACCUUCUUCGAGUGUGGACCUGCUUGUACCUUGUGUGAAUACAAAUUUACUUACUUUUUCUCGCACUCACAAUAUUCAUCCUAUGGUGACCAGAUCUAAGGGUUUGUAUCUAUAAACCUAAGUUGCUAUUGAGUGUCUCCAUAGGUUCUCUCACUAAGCCUACUUCCUUUCUUCAAGCUAUUAAAGAUCCUUCAUGGAAGCAAGCCAUGGAAUUGGAGUUUGCUGCCCUUCAACACAACAAGACCUGGCAUCUAGUUCAUUCACCUUCCUCAGGCAAAGUAAUUGGUUGUAAAUGGGUCUAUAAGAUAAAGCUUUAGCCUGAUGGCUAAUUGAGAGAUACAAGGCCCGCUUAGUAGCUUAGGGUUAUCAUCAAACUGAAGGUAUUGACUACUUCGAAACAUUCAGCCUGGUUGUCAAGCCUUCUACUACCGUAUUGUGCUCAGUCUUACUUUUUCCCAGAAUUGGUGUAUUAGACAGCUGGAUGUUCAUAAUGCCUUCUUACAUGGUGACUUAGCUGAAGACGUUUUCAUGGAACAACCACCUGGAUUUGUUGAUCCUCUCUAUCCUACUCAUGUCUGCAAGUUGGAUAAGUCUCUCUACGGUCUUAAUAGUCACCUCGGGCUUGGUAUACUAAGCUGAGUACUUCUCUACUACACUUGGGAUUUGUUACUUCUAAGAAUGACUCUUCCUUAUUUAUUUGUCAUUCGUCUCAUGGGUUACUUCUUGUUCUUGUCUAUGUGGAUGAUAUAAUCGUCACUGGGAGCCACUCUCCUCAAGUUACUCACCUUAUCCAAUAGUUGCAUCAUCAGUUUUCUUUAAAGGAUCUUGGUCAUUUACACUAUUUUCUGGGCUUGGAGGUUCAUCACACCCCUACUGGUAUUCACCUCAGCCAAGCAAAGUAUAUCACUGAUCUCCUUACCCGGGCGGCUAUGUUGGAUGCCAAGCCAUGUCCCACUCCUAUGUCCUCCAACACAUAUCUUUCUCUUCAUGAUGGAGUGGCUCUUGAAAAUGGUUCAGAUUAUUGAAGUUUUGUUGGUGCCCUUUAGUAUUGUACCAUGACACGCCCAGAUAUAGCUUUUGCAGUAAAUAAAGUGUGUCAAUUCAUGCACCAUCCCUCUGAUGUUCACUGGCAGGCUAUAAAACGUAUUCUCCAGUACUUAAAGGGCACAUCUCAUUUUGGUCUCUUCCUACAGCCUUCCUAUGACUUCAACAUCACUUGCUAUACAGAUGCCGACUGGGCUUCCUGCCUUGAUGACAAGUGUAGCACCAGUGGCUACUGCCUCUUUCUUGCCUCUAAUCUGGUUUCUUGGUCAUCUUCCAAACAAAAAGUGGUCUCCCGCUCCAGCGCCAAAUCAGAGUACCGAGGGGUAGCAAAUGGGGCUGCUGAAAUUGCUUGGACUGAAUCUCUUCUUUGUGAACUUUCCACCCACUCGACCUCCCCUCAUUGUCUGUGACAAUAUCAGUGCCACAUACUUAGCUGUCAAUCCUAUUUUGCAUGCCCGCACCAAAACAUGUGGAAAUCGACUAUCACUUUGUCUCGGAACGUGUUCUUCAACGCUCUCUCUCUCUCCAGUUUACACCUUCGGAUGAUCAACUUGCUGAUUGCAUGACCAAGCCUCUCUCCACCCAACGUUUCAUCACUCUACGCUCCAAGCUCACUGUUCUCACUAGACCAAUGAGCUUGAGGGGGGAUGUUAAGCCUAAAGAUGUAAUUAGUUAGGAUAUUCUUUUCCCUCUAGUCUUGUAGCUCCACGUGUACAGUUGGUUAGGACCUCAUUGUAUAUAAUGCCUGCCCUGUUAUUGUAGAAGACAACAGAGAUAAAUAAUAUUAACAUUUUUCCUCUCAUCUCUCUCUCUGUUUCCCUCUGUUUUCAUCUCCUCUCUCAUCUGAACCAAAUGAUCCAUGUUAACCUUGGCUUGGUUUGAUUUGGCUCUAUCUUAGAGAGCUCAAGGAUCACGUCAACUCUGGUUUCUACUAUUCAGGUCCAUUCCCAUAUGAACUGGUUCAAAUUUGAGAAAAUGGUAACAGACCUUUAGUGAUGUUGGUUUGGAGCCAGUUGCCAAACCCGCCCUGAGCUUUACCACUAAUGUCAAGGGAGAAAGCCUUUUGAACAAAAACAAUAGCUUCAAGAGACUGAAUCGUGGAUGAAAUCUGAUCCACAUUUCUUCUCAUUUUGGAAACAAAUGAGAACUUAACUAAGAAGAUUCUACGGCCUCAUAGUGCUUUUCCUGAUCUAAGGUUGGUUCGUUUCCCAAAUUGUGAGAUGCACGGGCCAGACUUCAGAACUCUCACGCUCAGGAGUGUAUCCACGUGGUGGACAUAAGAUGGUGGCUUAAGAUCUGGUGUCGGUGGCUUUACUUUACUAGGAGAGUAGUGUGUCUUCAUCUCAUUCACUGCCGGAGGGUGGCGUAAGCAGUGACGCUAAGGUGGGGCAUAGUCAAUAUCAUUUGCAUUUGACCAUUAUAGUUUUCUCCCGGCUUGAAAGUAACCUUAUCGUGAUAAAGGAUUACUAGCACUAGUUCAGAUGACAGUCAUGUUAAAUUCGGACCAUGUUUGUGUCACAUUAUCAGCAACCAUGUGUUUAUGGUUCAUGCUUUCUGCAACUGAAAUUGAAAUUGAUAUAUAACCAGGUGAACUUCAAUCUAAAUUCUGGAAGUACUCAUGUGAGCGAUGGUGCCCAUCUGCAGAGUCCAUCAAUUGAAAAAUGGAGUGAGUGUAUCUAUAAGAGGGAAGGCUUGGCAAAUGUCCAGUUUUCUGGGAAUUCAACAAGGAUCUAAAAUAGAUUGUUUUCUUUGCUGAUUUCAAUGGUUGAAAUUUGAGAAGAUUGUGUCCCACAUAACACAACUAUUACUGGUCCUUCUGUUGCAAUUUAUCCUCUAAGGCUCUAGCAUGUCUUCCAAUUCCCACUUCCCUGUUACUCCAGGAAAGCUAUUUCUGUCAUUGUGAAGAAGAAAAGAGAAUGUAGAUAUCGAUGCUUUUAAGUGACUGGAGCAUUCAUAUCAGGUGGUCUGCAGCCAUAUAUGCCACUUUGUGAAGAUUGGAACAGUCAAUCACUAGGCUAUAUAUUAGUGUGGCCCAGCCACUUUAAUCAAGGACAAUUCUUCAUACUUAAAAGUCAAAUUCUGCCUUUAGUCUCAUUAUAAAUUGCUGUUUAAAUAUUAAGCAAACAUUUGUUUAAUGCGAUUAAGACAGUACUAACUCAAUACUUGUUCUAUUUUUGGAUGGAAAUGCUUGAUGGUUUCAUCAUUGGAUGGGAUAAAGGUGCAUUCAUGAUUAUGAAUACUUGUAGUUAUAUUUUCAUUCUCUUUUUUCUCAAUGAGACUUGUUGGCACAAUUUUUCUGUUCAGAAACCUACCUCUCCAUGGAAAAUAAGUUGUGAUUGAUAGUACUGGAUAUAUUCAAGAAAGCUAAAUAUAGAUAGCACAAAAUAUUAUCGACAUAAAUAGCAUUAACAGCGUACGUAUGUCUCAGUGCUCAUCAGCCAUAAGCAUGGGGCAAACACUUACGAUGAGCAACUUACGUCAAAAUUCCAGAAUAGGACAUAGAAGUGACAGAUCUAUAUAUAUAGAACACUGCAUAAGAGUCACAAGAAAGGAAAUUACGGGUGCAUAGCAGCUCUUAUUUCACAUACUACUCAUACUGAUCAAAGUCACUCAGUUGGGAUGGGUGGGAGUAGGAGGUUUGUGGGGUGGCUUGUGCGGAGGAGUUGGCAGCUUCUUUCCAGGACCUGGUGGCUUCUCUCCCUUAGGUGGUUUGCCAACUGGGGUUGGUGGCUUGUAUGAGUCUUCAGCAUUCUCUGCAGGAGGGUGACCAGGGUUGUGACCAUAAUGUGGUGGCUUCUCUCCCUUAGGUGGUUUGCCAACUGGGGUUGGUGGCUUGUGUUCUGGGAGUGGCUUCUCCCCCUUGGGAGGUUUUUCCAAUGGGGUUGGUUUGUGUUCAGGAGGUGGCUUCUCCACUGGAGGCUUGUGUUCAGGAGGUGGCUUCUCCACCGGAGGCUUGUGUUCAGGAGGUGGCUUCUCCACCGGAGGCUUAUGCUCUGGUGGUGGCUUCUCCACCGGAGGCUUAUGCUCUGGUGGUGGCUUCUCGAAUGGGGGAUGCUUAGGGUAAUCAGCAAGUGAGGGGGCGGUGAGAACCACCAGGCCAAGCAAGACCACUAGCAAGUAUGUAGGAGACAUCUUUGGGUUUAGACUCAGAUGGUGCAAAACUAGGAGAAUUGUCUUUUAUAGCGGAUCGCACCCAAUAAUGAAAUGACACGUGUCUUUAUGACCCAUGUGUAAUGGGGUCGAUUUGGGUCCUACAGUGUUGAAAACUUCGACAUCCACUUUUGGCCUUUUGCUUUCUCUACAGCCGCCUUGCUUUUUCCCUCUUUCCUUUUGUUUUCCUCCUGCCCCAUUCUAUCAACUAAACACAAUUAUGUAGUUGUUUAAUUCUUAAAUGAGAUAUUAUCCGUCAAUCGUAUCAUAUUUUAUCAACAGAGAACGGAGUGCAAUGUGGCAAUCCAAAGAAAGAAGAUCCAUAAUGCAGCUGUAAUUUUAUCGUUUACUUUUAUCUCUUGGACCACUGCAUUUUUGUUAAGAGGUGCAAUAAUACACGUCUUUAUCUGCCAUUCAAUGUUUACAGUAAAGAGAGGGCACAAAACUCUUCACUGCUCUGCAUGUGUCCCAAAAAUGCAAUUGGACAAAUUAUGAUUUGCAUGCUAAAAAGAGGCAAAUGAGGUUAAUUCGCACCAUAAUUAUUUUGUUUUCUGGACCCCGGGGCCCUUUGGUUGGUUUGGGGGUCAGAAAAUGAACAUCAUAGGGGGUUUUUCCCUUAUGUGCAUUUGUAUCUGAUGGCUUUAACUCGCCUUGUUACUACAAAGAAAUUGUCACAUAUAGGAACUUAUUCCAGGCUGAGUAUCUCCGCAUAGACCCUAUAAAAGAAGACAAGUCAUAAUGAACAUCUAACCUUUGUUCAAUUUGAUUCAAUGCCCCAUUGUGUCCACCUCACAAAUCUGAAUUAUUAUAUCCAUUGAAUACAUAAAUUAAUGAAGAAAAUAUGAAACCCAAGAUACAUCUCUGCACAACCUCAACCCUGGUUGCUAUGUUUCCCUUCUAUUCACAUGAGGAUAUUGAUUACGGAAUAGGGAAACCUAGCAAGGGUUUACUCGGCUCUGGUUUGAUGCUAAUUGCCAAACUUGCAACAAGCCCUGAGUUUGAAGCUCACAGAAGAUGUUAUACAGGCAGGGAAAAACCUUCAGAGUUCGCUGCCAAAGAUAAUUAUUAAGGAGAUAUCACCAAGAGAAUUCCAAGGAGUCUGAAUCAAAGACAAAUUGGUCGUUCGUGGAGGUUCUUACUUUCUUUUGGGUAUAACUCACUGAGGGCACUGUCUUUUUUAUUUUCAUUUCACAUUUAGAGUUCUGUUCUGGAAACAUAUAAAAGGAGCAUCAGUUUGUUCUUGGGUAACCCAUAGUCGUGAGUGGGUCCAUUUGCAUGCUACUUAGUUGAAAAGUUGGACCAUUUGCUCCGACGCCUACCUCCUGGAUUCCAUGCUCGGAUAAAACAAGAAUAAAAAAAUAUUUAUAAUUUACAAAUGGGGGAAAGAAAAAAAUGUCAACAACAAACUAGGAAAAAAGAGUAGUAAAAUUCAUGUCACAUGCUAGUGAGAGAAGGGGUUGUUACACUCACUCGAAGUUCUUUUCAAAAUAUCGCAUGGUAUUUUAUUUUAUGUGUGAGCGCAGUUGUGAAUGGAACGUGCAAAAGUCCAAAUUGGUGACCUUUAAUAAAUAUUUAAAACAAAAAACGAAAAAAAGGAGGGAAAAGGGAUCAGAAAAGAUAAAACAAUGUGUACAAAAGCUCAAUUAGUUUGCAAAUUACUGUUUGGAUUUUGAUAGUAUUUUAUUUGAUGUAAAAGAGAAUUUAAGAUAUUUCCGAAACAAAAGCAUUAGUUUGCUCCAUGUCAAUUUCGGCAUUUCUCAUAUGUUUCACACAUACACAGAAGAGCAUCGUUUUUUAAAGCAUGCAUUUAUGUUGGAUUAAUUUGGAUUUUGUGGGAACUGGGGCAAGGAUCACAUGGAAGAGAGGUUGACUUUUUUCAGUACUUCAAUGGUUGAGACAGGUGAAGGCCUGAUUGAUACUGAAGCCUGAAAUUGCGACUCCGUCAUUUGUCAAAACAUAUGACAGCUUCCAUGCUCUCGUUUGGUUGCAUUGUUCUGUGGUCAUGCAUACAUGCCACUUAGUGAUCAGUCUGUAACUGUCAAUCAUUGGGCUUUGACUGAACAACAUCAGCCAUGUAUAAAUACUUGCAAAUCAAACGGUCUUCUUCCUCCCAUAAGGAAUUUCGGUUUAAUUAUGAAGCAUGCAUUUGGCUGACCAUCAUAAACCACUUCUUUAAAUUGAUGAAUGAUAGUUUUUCAUUCAUUCUUUCAUUCGUUCAUAUACAGAGUAUAUAUAGAGGGUAAUCAUCAUUCUAAGAAUGGGAAAGAAUGAUACAAGGAAAUAAUGAUAUAAAGAAAUAACAACUAAUAUUCUAAUAUCUCAACUUUCCUAAUAUCUAAACAUUCCUAAUAUCUCAACACUAAAUGAUAUAAAGAAAGAAUGAUAUAAGGAAAGCAUUCCUAAUAUCUCAACACUCCUCCUCAAGUUGGUGCAUAGAUGUCAAACAUGUCCAACUUGUCUAAAAAUUUUGAGAACAGUUGACUUGAGACAUCUUUGGUGAGGAUAUCGGUCAAUUGAUCUUCUGAUCGAAUCUUAGGCAAUUCCACAAUCUUAUCAUCCAACUUUUCCUUAAUGAAAAAUCUAUCCAUCUCGACAUGCUUUGUACGAUCAUGUUGUACUAGAUUAUGAGCAAUGUCACAUGCUGCUUUAUUGUCACAAAACAAUCGGAUUGGUUGCCUAGAUAGGUAACCUAAAUCCUAUAAGAGGAGUCUUAGCCAUAAUGCCUCACAAAGUCCUAAAGUCAUACCUCUAAAUUCCGCUUCUGCACUUGAACGAGCGACGACAUUUUGCUUCUUACUUUUCCAUGUCACAAGAUUACCACCUACAAAGGUAAAGUAACCAGAUGUAGAUCGCCUAUCAUCCACUGCACCGACCCAAACAGCAUUAUACUUCUAUACUCUGAUGAUCAACAUUUUUAGCGAACAAAAUUCCCUUCCUAGGAGCAUUCUUCAAAUACCUCAAAAUACGCAUGACUACAUUCAUAUGUUGCUCUCCAGGAUUAUGCAUGUAUUGACUCACUACACUCAAUGUAUAAGCAAGAUCUAGUCUUGUAUGAGCUAAGUACAUUAAUCUCCCCACAAGUCUCUGGUAUCUUCCCUUAUCGAUUGAUACUUGAUUAGGCUCAACACACAAUUUCAGACCUUCUUCUAUUGGUGUAUUAAUAGGUUGACAUCCCGACAUUCCAGUUUCCUGUAGAAGAUCUAAGGCAUACUUUCUUUGAGACAGAAAAAUUCCUUCACUUGAUCGAGAAACUUCAAUCCCAAGAAAGUAUUUCAGACGACCAAGAUCUUUCAUUUCAAAUUCUCUAGAUAGAUACUUUUGCAAAGCUUUUCUUUCUUCAGGAUCAUUUCCUGUAACUACAUGUCAUCCACAUAUAUCAUAAGUGUCGUAAUCUUACCAUGUUGCUUUUUCAAGAACAAAGUGUGAUUUGAAUUACUUUGAUGAUAGCCAAAAGCUCUCAUUGAUUUUGUGAACCUUCCAAACCAUGCUCUCGGGGAUUGCUUCAACCCAUACAAUGACUUCUUCAAUUCGCACACCUUCUGACAUUGCUUUUCUGACACCAUGCAUCCUGGUGGAAGAUCCAUAUAUACUUCUUCAGAUAAAUCGCCAUGCAGAAAGACAUUUUUUACAUCGAACUAUUGUAAUGGCCAAUCUAGGUUUGCAGCUAAAGACAAUAAUACUCGAACUGUGUUGAUCUUAGCUACAGGUGCAAAUGUCUCUGUGUAGUCAAUUCCAUAAGUUUGAAUGUACCCACUAGUCUUGCUUUAAAUCGUUCAAUACUACCAUCUGCCUUGUACUUCACAGUAUAGAUCCAACGACACCCAACUAGCUUCUUUCCUGGUGGACAUUCUACGAGUUCCCAUGUUUCAUUUUUCUGCAAUGAUUUCAUCUCUUCAUUCAUGGUUGCUUUCCACUUUGGAUCAGCUAAAGCUUCCUGCACACUAUUAGGAAUAGCUACAGUAGAUAAUUGAUUUACAAAUGACUUAUUUGAUUCAGACAAACCAUGGUGUGGACCCGCAUUUUUCACGUGCGCCUCUACUCGAUCGGCGAGACUCGCUUUCUAUUUGUGAAAAAUUAAUUUUAGAAAAGUUGGAGUCGCCACCUAUUUUAUUUUUAUUUUGAAGGGAAAAUAAAACAAGAAAGAAAAACCCUAAAAAGUGACUCCAUAGUUUUGGAAAAAGCAUGUCUUUGGGAAACCUGAGUCUAGGUCCGGGGAUCAUGUUACUUAUUGGGAAGGUACCUCUAGGAGGUAGCACCCCUCUAAGCCUUAUGAAGGUCUCUACUAACUAAAUUAAGGGAAGUGUGGCAAUAAAUCGAUUGAUCAUAGAUACCUAAGUAGACUAGGUGAUUUUAAAGUGUGGCAUGUCAAACACAAUCAAAUUGCAAUAAAGGAGAGUUAGGGCGCGUACCUGAACCGCUUCUCAAGCGCUAUCAUAAAACAUCAAUGGUUAAUUUAAAUAAUAUAUCAUCCAGCAUGUAUUUUAUUAGAAAUAAUCAAACAAUGAAACAUGUAUAUCAGAACACUCAAGCAUUAUUAGACAUAAGCAUUAUUUCACUAUUCACAGAAUUCAGAAAGUAGGUGAUAGAGGACAUACCUGGAUAGCAUAGAUAAUUUGUAAUGUGCUUCCUCAAGUUGUAAGGGGUUAGAUAACAAAUAAUAAAAUAUAGAAAUCCUAGCAUGCUCGUUAUCUAAUUAGCAUAGCAAAAGUGAUCACAGUAUACAGAAUCAUCAAUUAUCACAUACAUCUUGUAUAUAAUUCCUAAAAAAAAUAGAUAGACAUGAUUUCAACAAGUGUCAAAUGUGGCAACAAAAAUAAAUUUUGAAAAGAUUUUCUUAUGUAGGGGUUUCACCAAUUCCCCAAAUUAAUAUACACGAAUUUAGCUUAGAAUUAUCCCAUUUAUUUGGGACUACAAGCUUUGAUUCGUGUUUUUGUUCAAAACCAAAAAUUUUUGUUGAAAAUCAAGAAGGAUGCGAACCGAACAAGAUAUGGUUGCAUAUUAUUUUUAAAUAAAUAAAUAAAUAAAUAAAGGAGAUUUUGAUCCUGAGGACUUUAAUGAGUUUUUUUUUUUAAAAUAGAUUUUUAAAAUGAUUUUUUUGAGAAAAGUAUUUUAUUUUAAAAUAAAAGGGAUUAAUUUGGGAAAAAAAUAAAAUAUAAGAAAUAAAAUACCAAACAAAACAAAAAUGAAACCUCAAAGUAAAAUUUUUUUAGUAAUUAACAAAAAUGAUAAUGGUGAUGGUAGAGGGCAAUCUUCAUGAUUUUCCAAUGGCCUCAGAAAGAAAAUCAAAUUAAAUGAAGGAUCACUAACAGGCAAGACAUUCUAAAUUAGACAAACUAACAAAGUAUCAAUUCAUGAACUAACCGCUAGGAUUUUGAAAGCAUAUAAGCUAAGAUAAGGGUGAUCAGGAACUAAUAUUAAUGAUUUUGAAAUAAAAACUAAAAAAAAGGAUCAAUUCGGGUAAGGAACUAAAAUUAUAAAAGUACCUAAACUAAUUAUGACGAGUUUGACUAAAUUAAACUAAAAACAUGAACUUUCAAACAUAGAAUUAAUUUUACUAAUGAACCAAAGCAAACUAAAAAUAUGUACUUUCAAGCAUAGAAUUAAUUUUAUUGAUGAACUAAACUAUAACAAAUAUCUAAACUAAAUAUAAUGAAUCAAAUUAAAUUAAAGCAACUUAAAAACGCAAACUUUCAAACAUAGAAUCAAUUUUAUCAAUGAAUUAAAACUAUAAAUGUAUUUGAACUAAAUAGAUGAAUCAAACUAAAUCAGAGCAAAAUUAAAAAAAAAAAAGAACUUUCUAACAUGAAAUCAAUUUUAUCAACAAAUAAAUGAAUGAAUAACAAGUAAUUAAAAGAAUAGCUACUACAUGAAUAACUGAAUGAAUAAAAUUCAAAUGUUUUCAAUCUGAAGCAAUCAAUCAAAAUUAAAUAGGGAUCAAAUCAAAAUAAUCGAAAUCGGAAAAACAAUAUGCAAUCUUUCUAAAGGUUUAACCAGACAAUUGAAUUAAAAUUAUGAAUAGAAUAAAUUAAUAAACCAAAUCGAAACCUAAAUUGUACCUAAAAAGAUUAAUUAAUUAAACUAAGAAAUCAAAAUCAAUAACAAAACUAAACUAAGGAGUAAAUUAAGACAAGACUAAUUAAAUUAAACUCACAAACACGUUUUAACUAUCAUAUGGAUUAAAACAAAAUUAGCAUGGACUUAUGAAUUACGAACAAAAAUAAUCAAAACUAUUUUAAAAAACUCACCUCUAUUAUAAGAAAAAAUCUGCCUUUGAUGCGUUGAGGUGGCUCCCCUCUCUGUGUGGAUCUCUCUGCUCCCCAGAAAAAAAAUGUCUCUUCCUCCGUUCUCUUUUGUUUCAGCAAAAUAAUAUAUCCCCUGCUGUGGAUCUCUCUACUCCCAGAAAAUAAUAUAUUCUCUCCGUGUCCUAAAGUGGACCUAGGGUGCCUAAGUGGACCUAGGGUGCCUAAAUGGGCCUAGGGUGCCUAAAUGGGCCAAGUGUAUCUAAAUAGGCUUAGGGUGCCUAAGUGGGCCUAAGUCUAAGUGAGCCUAAGUCUAAAUCAAGACUACCAAGGAUCAUAAUAAGGGGUUAGGCAAUCCCUUAACCAAAGUCUCCAAGGUGGCUAAAAAAAAGUAAGUAGUAUGAGUAGCUAUGGGUCACCAAGGAACUACUGUGGAGCAUUGAAAACGAAUUUAAAGACAUGUGCCAAAGGGACAAAAUUGAGGGUCUACAGAUGGUUAGACACAUAGUUGCUCAUGGGAUAUUUGACUUUGGUAAACAAUUCAGAUUCAUAUGUGGGUUUAGGAAUACCUUUAUUAUGACGGUGUGGUAAUCGUUUCAUGAAUGGAUCAGGUUGCAAAUUAAGAACACCCUCAGCAAACAACGAUUGGUUUGGUAUUUCAGUGAAGACAUCUUCGAACCCAAAUUGUUGACCACUCAUAUCCAACUCACCCGCUUCCUGGUUCACUAGUUCAGAUUGUCCAAAUUCAUCAUUCUCAUAGAUAUGAUAAUCAUAAUCGAGAGUCUGAAUUUCCUUAUGGUACUCCCCCUGAAGUUCAGACUUAGAUGAAAAAUACAUCGAAUAUUCAUGAAACAGCNNNNNNNNNNNNNNNNNNNNNNNNNNNNNNNNNNNNNNNNNNNNNNNNNNNNNNNNNNNNNNNNNNNNNNNNNNNNNNNNNNNNNNNNNNNNNNNNNNNNNNNNNNNNNNNNNNNNNNNNNNNNNNNNNNNNNNNNNNNNNNNNNNNNNNNNNNNNNNNNNNNNNNNNNNNNNNNNNNNNNNNNNNNNNNNNNNNNNNNNNNNNNNNNNNNNNNNNNNNNNNNNNNNNNNNNNNNNNNNNNNNNNNNNNNNNNNNNNNNNNNNNNNNNNNNNNNNNNNNNNNNNNNNNNNNNNNNNNNNNNNNNNNNNNNNNNNNNNNNNNNNNNNNNNNNNNNNNNNNNNNNNNNNNNNNNNNNNNNNNNNNNNNNNNNNNNNNNNNNNNNNNNNNNNNNNNNNNNNNNNNNNNNNNNNNNNNNNNNNNNNNNNNNNNNNNNNNNNNNNNNNNNNNNNNNNNNNNNNNNNNNNNNNNNNNNNNNNNNNNNNNNNNNNNNNNNNNNNNNNNNNNNNNNNNNNNNNNNNNNNNNNNNNNNNNNNNNNNNNNNNNNNNNNNNNNNNNNNNNNNNNNNNNNNNNNNNNNNNNNNNNNNNNNNNNNNNNNNNNNNNNNNNNNNNNNNNNNNNNNNNNNNNNNNNNNNNNNNNNNNNNNNNNNNNNNNNNNNNNNNNNNNNNNNNNNNNNNNNNNNNNNNNNNNNNNNNNNNNNNNNNNNNNNNNNNNNNNNNNNNNNNNNNNNNNNNNNNNNNNNNNNNNNNNNNNNNNNNNNNNNNNNNNNNNNNNNNNNNNNNNNNNNNNNNNNNNNNNNNNNNNNNNNNNNNNNNNNNNNNNNNNNNNNNNNNNNNNNNNNNNNNNNNNNNNNNNNNNNNNNNNNNNNNNNNNNNNNNNNNNNNNNNNNNNNNNNNNNNNNNNNNNNNNNNNNNNNNNNNNNNNNNNNNNNNNNNNNNNNNNNNNNNNNNNNNNNNNNNNNNNNNNNNNNNNNNNNNNNNNNNNNNNNNNNNNNNNNNNNNNNNNNNNNNNNNNNNNNNNNNNNNNNNNNNNNNNNNNNNNNNNNNNNNNNNNNNNNNNNNNNNNNNNNNNNNNNNNNNNNNNNNNNNNNNNNNNNNNNNNNNNNNNNNNNNNNNNNNNNNNNNNNNNNNNNNNNNNNNNNNNNNNNNNNNNNNNNNNNNNNNNNNNNNNNNNNNNNNNNNNNNNNNNNNNNNNNNNNNNNNNNNNNNNNNNNNNNNNNNNNNNNNNNNNNNNNNNNNNNNNNNNNNNNNNNNNNNNNNNNNNNNNNNNNNNNNNNNNNNNNNNNNNNNNNNNNNNNNNNNNNNNNNNNNNNNNNNNNNNNNNNNNNNNNNNNNNNNNNNNNNNNNNNNNNNNNNNNNNNNNNNNNNNNNNNNNNNNNNNNNNNNNNNNNNNNNNNNNNNNNNNNNNNNNNNNNNNNNNNNNNNNNNNNNNNNNNNNNNNNNNNNNNNNNNNNNNNNNNNNNNNNNNNNNNNNNNNNNNNNNNNNNNNNNNNNNNNNNNNNNNNNNNNNNNNNNNNNNAACCAAAGGAAGCAUGUUCCAGACGUCGAUGCCACAACCAAAUUUCAGACUUUUUCUUCUCCUCCUUAGAUCCAUCUGCCAUCAAGGCUUGUUGCAACUUAUUUGAAUCCUUUGAUUGCAAGUCCAAGUAUAGAGUUUCCCCCGCUUAAUACGACAACCAAUCGUCUGUCUUGUUUGAAUGUCCUUAAUCACACAAAAUUCAGGCCAAAAAAUGACAAUACAAGAUAAGGCUGCAGUGAUUUGAGAAACUAACAAAAGAUUGUAAUCUAAAGAUGGAACAACUAAAACAGAAUCCAAAUUCAAAGUAUCAGUAAGAGUUAAGGAUCCUUCCCCAAUGACUGGGGUUGUGUUACCAUUGGCUGUGGAAACAAUUUUUUGUGAGGAAGGUCUAAGGGGUGAAACCUGUCUAGAAUCAAAAGUCAUAUGAUCUGUAGCACCAGAAUCAAUUAUCCAUGCACUAUUAAUAACAGGUGUAAAAGUAUUUAAAAACUUACCACAAUGAUCUGUAGCGGCUACUAAUGCAGAGACUUUCUCAACAACAUUAGUCUUUGUUUUUAUUUCGGUAACAGUUGCAAUCAAGGUUUUCUUGGAAUUCUUCUUCCGUUGAUCACGAUUAUUAUCAUUAAUAACAAAGUGUUGAUAGCCUAAACAUGAUCUAAAGGUCCAUGGUGCAAACCCUCGGUUCCUCAUUGUUUUCCUGGUCAUACCAAGAGUUGUUGCUUUGAAAUUGUGGGAUAUCCAGACUGGUGGGAUCAGUUUUAUUGCAGUGAGUGCAUUUGAAUGUUGACUUAUCAAUAUUAGGGCUUGUCUUCGGAUGGUUGAUUGCUGUUGGACUACCAUAGCGACAAAAUAUCCAGGAUUUCAAUUCCAGGGCUCUGAUACCAUCUUCAAAUUGAUGAAUGAUAGUUUUUCAUUCAUUCUUUCAUGUACAGAGUAUAUAUAGAGGGUAAUCACCAUUCUAAGAAUGGGAAAGAAUGAUACGAGGAAAUAAUGAUAUAAGGAAAUAAUAACUAAUAUCCUAAUAUCUCAACUUUCCUAAUAUCUCAAUAUUCCUAAUAUCUCAACUUUCCUAAUAUCUAAACAUUCAUAAUAUCUCAACACUAAAUGAUACAAGGAAAGAAUGAUAUAAGGAAAACAUUCCUAAUAUCUCAACACCACUUCAUGAUAUAUAUAGUUUCUUACCCUUAAUCAAUGGUUUCUAAGUGAAUUUAUAUAGAAAGAAAUCCAAACUGUAGACAGCAGUAUUGGUAACACUCAAUAUUCUGUAUAUAAUAGAAUAAAUAGCGUCACAGUGAUCGUCGCCUACAAGCAAGGUACAAAUACCACAAAGAGUGACCCACAUAGACAUUCCCCAACAAGAUGUAGUAGUGACUGACACAUAGCCACAAUUAACACGUAGAAAAGGAUAAGACCGGUGCACAGUAGCUCUUAUUUUACAUACUACUUAUGCCAACCAAAGUCACUCAGUUGGGAUGGGAGGGAGAUGGAGGUUUGUGCGGUGGCUUGUGGGGCGGAGUUGAUGGCUUCUUUCCAGGAGCUUCUGGCUUUUUCAUCGGAGCUGAAGGAGGCUCAAUCUUAUGAGGCGGCUUGUACGAGUCUUCUUUGCUCUCGAAAGGAGGGUGGCCAGGGUUGUGACCAUAAUGUGGUGGUUUCUCUCCCUUGGGAGGUUUACCAAUUGGGGUUGGUGGCUUGUGUUCUGGGAGUGGUUUCUCUCCCUUGGGAGGUUUAGUGGGUGACUUGUGUUCUGGAGGUGGCUUCUCCACCGAAGGCUUGUGCUCCGGUGGUGGCUUUUUGGUUGGAGGGGGCUUGGGGUAAUCAGCAAGAGAUGGGGUGGUGAGAACCACCAGUCCAAGGAACAACACUAGCAAGUAUGUGGGAGACAUUUUUGAGUUUGGGCUGAUCAGAUGAUGCAAAACUAAAGCAUUACGUGACCUUUUAUAGCAAGUAGCUCCCAAUACCUACUUGACACGUGUUACUGUGACCCAUAAAUAUUAUGGGGUCUAUUUGUGCCCUACCGGGUUGAAAACUUGGACAAUUGGGCAAGGACCCGCCUGACUAUGGAGGACUACUGAGGUGUGAUCACAGCUUUAGGAUUUUUCUUCCUCUGCAGCCGUCUUGCCGUUGGCAUGAUUUUCUUAAUCUCAAAUAAAGGCAUAGUUAUAGAGUUGUUUAAUCUCUAAAUGGGAUUUUAUAUAUCUUCAGAUAGCCAUUAAUACAUUUGAUGAAGAAAGAAAGACAAGUGCAUACAACAUGUAUACGACUAGCUUUCAUGGAGUUCAUUUAUGAUCAGUUUUCCUGUACAUGUAAACCAAGAUCAUAUAUGUUUUUGUUCCACAACAAUUUUGGAAUCUUGUUUAUCCGUUUUUAUCAUUAUAAUGUCACAUAGGCUGCCAACUUGGGCGCUAAAUUAAAGAUCCAGUUGGGCAAGUUCGUUUCAGAAUUUCAAUGGUGGAUUCAGGAAUUGUUUUAUAAGAUAUGCAAAAUAGUAGAGGGAUGAAUAGUGUUUCAUUAAGAAAAGAGCCCUGUAAAAAUAUUGUUUAAAGGUGCCAUAGAAACUAUAAUCAAUAAAUAACUUUUUUUCCCCAUGGGUGGUGUUUCUUGUGGGGAUCAGUGACUGGUUUGAGUCAACGCCGUGUCUCUUUAGUCCAGAAAUCAACUAUUUUAUGCAUUGAAUACAUCAACAAAGAAAAUAUGAAAGCCAAAUGACACCUCCCCCGCAAAAACUAAACCCUGGUUGCUAACUUUCUAUGUUUCAGUUCCAUUCACACAAGAAUAUUAGUUCAAGUUUGAGAAAAAUGGCGACUUACCUAGUGAUAACUCGGUCUUGGUUUGCGAUUUGACUUUAACGUCAUGGGUUGAAGCCUCCUACAAUCAUCGUGUAUGCUAGUUCAAAGCUCGUGGAAGAAGUUAUACAGGGAGGGAGAAACCUCCACAGCAAGCUCCAAAAGAGAAUUAUCACAUUGAAAGCUCCAGUUGAACACUGGGUGAAAGCCAUAACAAGAUUGGUUUUCUAUCGCUCUUUUAAGUAAUGGAAGAUUAUUAUCUCUGCUUGUCACUACAACCGUGCAUGCUGCUAGAUCUUUCUAGACACUUCAAACAGUGAAACCAAGUAUGAUUCUUUUUCUCUUGAGUGGGUCCACUUGCAUGCCAAUGAACGAGUUGAAAAGUUGGACAAUUGGCCACAGCGCGCACUUACCUUCUGGAACCGAAGGUCAGUGAAGUGGGGUUCCUUUUGGCCCCUUGUGUUUCUGUUCCAACCUACUCCAGGAACCGAAGUUCAGUGAAGUGGGGCUACUUUUGGCCUCUUGUGUUUCUGUUCCAACCAAACAAAAAUGGGAGGGAAAAAUAGCAUUAUGCUUGUGCUAAAGAUCAACGCAUGAUAGCUGAAUAAGGGAGAAAAAGGCAUUGCUAUCUCAAUUUCAUAAACUUGAUAAGUAGUGACAUUAAUAGUCUUCCUCAUAGAUGGAUACAUGGUUUUAUUUUAUUUAUUUAUUUUUAUUUUUUUGUUUUAUGUCAAUGCUAAUGAAUGAAGUGCAUUAGCUUGUUUUGUGACUAGAACUACAAAUGUCCAAAUUGGAGCUUCUCCAAUAUAUUUCUCAGUGAGUUAUUGAUUAGAACUCUUGGAUUGAGUUCCAAGAUUUGAAUCAGACCCCUCUAGCAGCUUCAGGGGUACGUAGCAACCUAUAGCAUAUUAAUGAAGACUUAGGAUUUAGACUUAGGAAUACAAAUUAAUAUGUACCUCAUGCUCUGACUAGCUUCCCUGCGUAUGCACAAAAUGGAGAUGACUCCCAAAAAAAUAGCAGAAUCGCCUUAGUAUGUUUUUGUGGUUAAGAUGAUUCUCCACUUUAUAUAUCCACAUUGGUUCAUUAUGCAAAUUAAUCAACUAAGCUAUUUUUAUUUUUUCUUAAAUGUGAAAUAGGAGCUCCAAAUUAACCUAACCAUUGGCCUGAUUGAAUUGAUUUCACUUGCAUAAUGUUAUAGUAGAAGUCCGUAAUUUGAAUUUUAUUUUUGCAAAAGGUAACGUAAAUGAAGCAUUGUAAUUAAAUUUAUUUGUAAUUACAAACUAAUUUUAUUUUAUUAAGAAUUAAUUUAAUUACUCAUUUAAAAUAAAAAUCAGUUAUACUUUUACCAAGAUGAUAAUAUUCAUAUUUUUCUAGUUAACAUAUAUAAAAUAGUACACUUUUUCAUAUAAAAAAAUAAUUUAUGAUUUAUUAUAAUGUUACUAUUCACAUUUUACUAAAUUGAUGGUACAUGAUAGUGAGAGAAGGGGGUGUCACACUCAGCUAAAGUUCUUUUCAAAAUAUUGCAUGGUGUUUAAUUUUAUGUGUCGGCGCGCGUGUGAAUGGAACCUGCAAAAGUCCAAAUUGGCGUUUCUCCAUUUUCCACAUAGGAUGGUGACGUUAAUAGACAAAGAUACAAUAUCUGUAGACAUUGCUUAAAAAUCGAUGUGAAGUAUUAGAAAUUACAGGGCACUGUACUGGGGGAGCGGCUGCCCCGCCAAAGGAGGAAGAAUGUAGCAAUUUCUUCUGUUAGCCAGGCCUUAGGAUUUAUGCAUGGGAUGCCUAAUAACAAACAGAGAAAAUAUACUUUUGGGGAAGGUAUCCAACAACAGACACCAUCAUUCAGAUGGUGGGAAGGUAUCCAACAGAUGCCAUCAUUCAGAUGGUAACAUAUAUAUACAUUUAUUAGUGAGUUUUUUUAAUACCUAUAAAAAAAAAUAUACACUUUGAUAUUGUGGCUGAAUCCAUUACAUACUCAACUAACCUUGCUCAUUAGGGAUUUGACUUAACAAGGGCAACGUUGCAGUACAAGCUCAAAACUUUAUGCAGGUGACAUUACAUUUGGUAAAGAAGAGGAAAAUAACGAAAGCCAUCCAUAAAAGCAAAAUUCCACAUGGGAUGAAAUUCACAAGCUUCAUUUACGAUAGAGUCGCAUCCAGGCAAUUAAUUCCACAUUAGACCGCCUGUUGACAUGUGUACCAAUCUUUUUUCAAAAAAUAUUUAUAAAUAAUUGAUACUCACAAAAAUAAUUUAAUAUUUAUAAAGGAUAAAAAAAUAUUUUCAAAUCUAUAACAAUUUAUAAAAUAUUAAUAAAAAAUUAUCUCUUAAACUUAGUAUAGUUUUAUCAGAUUAAACUUUUAUUUUGAACAAAUAAUUUUAAUCUAAGUUUUAAAUUCUAAAAUUAUUUCCUUAAAAUAAAAUUUUAAAAUUCAACACUUCAAUUGAAAUUGUCUUUUUAAAAAAUAUCUUCUUAUUUUAAUCCUUAUAAACUAUAGUUGAUUGAAAAUACUAUUGAAGUUCUCUCUUAAAAAAAAGUCUUAUUUUAAUCUUCAUAAAUUGCCCUUGAUUUGAAAAUAAAUUUUCAGUUAUCAUAUUUUAAAUAAUAUCUAUAUUUAAAAUACUCUAUUUAAAAAAAAAUGAACUAAUUUUAAUUAUAUUAUAUUUUAUUUUUUUAUAUAUUUUUAAUGAUAAACCAAACAUAGAAAAUCAUUUUUCUAAAUAUUUUAAAAUUUCUAAGCAACCAAACAUAAUCUUCAAAAUAAAAGGAAAAUAAGGAGGGACAUUUGAGAAAUGGCGAUUAAAAAAAAGUGUACAAAAGCUCAAUUAAUUUUCUUCUAGUCUUUUAUAUAAAAAAGUAAAGGAAUUGAAAAGUAUUGAUAUGUAAAUUAAUAUUUGGAUUUUAAUAGUAUUUUAUUUGUCUUUCUCUAUCUCAUGUAAAAGAGAAUUUAAGAUAUUUCCUAAAGCAAAGCAUUAGUUAUCUGCAAUCAGUGGUGAUCAUGCCCCAUGUCAAUUUCGGACCCAUAUCUUAAAACUGUAUAAUUUGCAUUCAAACAUUACUGAUUUCUCAGAUGUUUCAUACUCCACAGAAGAGCAUUGUUUGUGAAAGCAUGCAUUUAUGUUGGAUUUUGGAUGAUGUGGGAACUGGGGCAAGGAUCAUAUGGAAGAGUGGUCGAUUUUGUUCUGUACUUUAACAUUUGAAAUAGGAGAAGCUCGGGCAUUUGUGGGGCUUAAUUGAUUUUGAAGCCUGAAAUUGCGUUUCUGUCAUUUUGUAAAAAAUAUGGCAGAUUCCAUGCUCUCAUAUGUUUGGUCUGUGGCCAUGUAUAGAUGCCCCUUAGUGACCAGUUUGUAACUGUCAAUCAUAGUGUUUUGACUCUGGCUCAACAACAUCAGCCAUUGACGGAUUUUCAUACUUGCAAAUCAAAUAGUCUUCUUCCUCCCUUAGGAAUUUCGGUUUAAAUGUUAUUAAGCAUACAUUUGGCUGACAAUUAUUAACCACUUCAUGAUAUGGUUUCUUACCCUUAAUCAAUGGUUUCUAAGUGAAUAUAUGCAGAAGGAAAUCUGAACUGUAGACAGCAGUAUUGAUAACUCUCAAUAUUCUUUAUAUAAGAGAAUAAACAACGUCAUAGUGAUCGUCGCCUACAAGAAAGGUACAUUUCCCAACAAGAUGUAGUUGUGACUGGUACAUGGACGCAAUUAACUCGUACAAAAGAAUAAGACCAGUGCACGGCAGCUCUUAUUUUACAUGCUAAUUAUGCUAACCAAAGUCACUCAGUUGGGAUGGGAGGGAGAUGGAGGUUUGUGCGGUGGCUUGUGGGGCGGAGUUGGUGGCUUCUUUUCAGGAGCUUGUGGCUUUUUCGGAGCUGAAGGAGGCUCAAUCUUAUGAGGCGGCUUGUACGAGUCUUCUUUACUCUCGACAGGAGGGUGGCCAGGGUUGUGACCAUAAUGUGGUGGCUUCUCUCCCUUAGGUGGCUUGCCAACUGGGGUUGGUGGCUUGUGUUCAGGAAGUGGUUUCUCUCCCUUGGGAGGUUUACCAAUUGGGGUUGGUGGCUUGUGUUCUGGGAGUGGUUUCUCUCCCUUGGGAGGUUUAGUGGGUGACUUGUGUUCUGGAGGUGGCUUCUCCACCGGAGGCUUGUGCUCCGGUGGUGGCUUCUCCACCGGAGGCUUGUGCUCCGGUGGUGGCUUCUUGAUUGGAGGGGGCUUGGGGUAAUCAGCAAGAGAUGGGAUGGUGAGAACCACCACUCCAAGGAACAACACUAGCAAGUAUGUGGGAGACAUUUCUGAGUUUGAGCUGAUCAGAUGAUGCAAAACUAGAAGAAUUACGGGACCUUUUAUAGCAAGUAUCUCCCAAUACCCACAUGACACGUGUUACUAUGACCAUAAAUAUUAUAGGGUCCAUUUGUGCCCUACCGGGUUGAAAACUUGGACGCUUGGCCGAGGACACACCUGACUAUGGAGGACUAUUGACGUGUGAUCACAGCUUUUGGAUUUUUCUUCCUGUGCAGCUGUCUAGCGGUUGGCAUUAUUUUCUUAAUCUUAAAUAAAGGCAUAGUUAUAGAGUUGUUUAAUCUCUAAAUGGGAUUUUAUAUAUCUUCAGAUAGCCAUUAAUAUAUUUGAUGAAGAAAGACAAGUGCAUACAACAUGUAUACGGCUUGCUUCAAUCGAGUACAUUUAUGAUCAGUUUUCCUGUGCAAGUAAACCAGUUUUUUGUUCCACAACUAUUUUGGAAUCUUGUUUAUCAGUUUCUAUCAUUAUAAUGUCACAUAGGCUGCAAACUUGGGCACCCAAAGAUCUAGGUGGGCAAAUUUGUUUCAGACUUUCAAUGGUGGAUUCAGUAAUUGUUAAAAGGUGUUUCUUCAUUAAGGAAAGAGUCCGGUAAAAAUAUUGUUAAAAGGUGUCAUAGAAACUAUAAUAAAUAAAUAACUUCUUUUCCCCAUGGGUGGUGUUUCUUCUGGGGAUCAGUGACUGGUUAGGGUCACCCAAAAUGAGUCCAGAUUAAAAUUGGUUCGAGUCAAAGCAGUCUCUUUUGUCCAGAAAUCAACUAUUUUGCGCAUUGAAUGAAUCGAUAAAGAAAAAAUGAAAGCCAAAUCACACCUCCCCUGCAAAACCUAAACCCCGGUUGCUAACUUUCUAUGUUUCAGUCCUAUUCAUAUAGGAAUAUUGGUUCAAGUUUGAGAAAAAUGGCAACUUACCUAGGGUUUACUUGGUUUUGGUUUGCGACUAUUUACGCAACCAACCAUGAGUUUGACUUUAACGUCAUGGGUUGAAGCCUCCUACAAUCAUGUAUGAUAGUUCAAAGCUCGUGGAAGAAAUUAUACAGGAAGGAAGAAACCUCCAAAGCUAGCUCCAAAAGAGAAUUAUCACAUCGAUAGCUCCAGAGAUUCCCAAGGGAACUGAAUCAAAGACAAGUUCCUCACUUUUUCUUCUUUUGAGGCCAAAUAUGAACCAAGGAUCACACGACCUCAUUCAACUUCAUAAGUUUGAUUUCAUGCAGUUGAACACUGGGUGAAGGCCAUGACAAGAAUUGAUUAAAAAAUUCUACCACUCUUUUAAGUAAUGGAAGAUUAUUAUCUCUGAUUGGCACCACAACAGCACAUGCUGCUAGAUCUUUCUAGACACUCCAUGCAAUGAAAGCACAAUGGAUCUUGUAAUGAUAGAAACUAAGCCAUGCUACAGUACUAGAUGAGGGGGUAAAACUAGUAGACAUCUUUCUAGACACUCCAUGCAAUGAAAGCACAAUGGAUCUUGUAAUGAUAGAAACUAAGCCAUGCUACAGUACUAGAUGAGGUGGUAAAACUAGUAGACAUGGCUGGCAGUUGAUUACUACUCAAAAAGUACUCUUUUAUAGCUUGAAACUAACUGUUUUAAACACUUUUGAGUAGUAGUUAAUACCUUUUAACUUAAUUGGCACAUUAAGGAACCUAGCAAGGGUUACUAAUCAACAUUUGGCAAGUUUUGAUGUUUUUGGUAGCUAUUUGAUCAUUGAAACAAGCCAAGAAUGAGGGGGAAUUUUGUGAAGUCCAUGGCAAUGCAAGUUAAAGCUCAAAUACAUGAAGAAUCCAAGCUUUGGAGCACUUCAUAGCCCUUUGCCAAGCCAAUCAAAGAUGCAAGGAAGAAAACCAAAGGAAGAAAUCCAACAAUCAGCAUUUUGGCAUGGCUAUGUGAAAUUUCGCACACCAUGCGAAACCACAAGAGGCAGCCAAAGAAUUUCGCAUGGUAUGCGAAAUCUUCUUGUGCACUGACUCUGUUAGAUUUUUAUCUUCAGAUAUUUUGUGUAAUUUCCUAGUUUCUCCUUGUAACCAACUUAGAUAUUUUCUUUUAUAUCUUUUUUUAUAUUUUUUAGGUAACAUCAUAUAUAAGAGGAGAGACAUAAGGAGGAUAUGGAUGUUUUUCAUAGAACACUUGUAAAUUUUUGGUAGUAAGAAAUAUACAAAGCUUUUUGCUCUGCCUUACCUUCUCAAGGGAUGAGUGGCUAGGUUUUCUUGGAGUGAGGGAAGCUAGGUGAAGGACCUGAAUGCAAAGGUGGGAGUUUUCCUUACUUUAAAUGAAAGUAGUUGUUAAACAUUAAUGGUUUUUAUUUUAAGGUUUAGCUUUAAAUCCCUGAAAAACACCUUGAAUGGCCAAUACUUGGUAAGCUUUUUAGAUUCUAUGGAUGCUUAUUGCUAGAUCCAUGGAUGUCUAUUAGUUAUCAUUUACGAGCCAUUGGAAGGUGAUUCAAGGUGAGGGUCUUUAGUGUUUGAAGCCAUUAAUGGGAAGCAAUUACCAUUUUUUCAUGAAUCCUUUGGAUCAAAUCUUAAUUGCUAAAUAUAAAACCGGUUUCGAGAGAUAACCACCAUCCUUUAUGUUAUUAUCCCCAACGCGAGGAGAAGAUCCGAAAUCUUCCUUUUUAUCUAAGGAACCCGAUCCUAGUGACCUAAAGCUCCAAGAUACCUUUUCUUUGUAGUUAACUUCAUUUAUUGUUUUUGCUUAACUUAAAAUCAAUCUUUGCAACCACAAUUCCAUUUUCUUUAAAAGCUAAUUUUUAUAAGGAAAAACACCAUUUUAUUUCCUUCACUAAGUCAACUGUACGAUGAAAACCCAUCCCUGUGGACGAUCCUAGAGCCACUAUACUAUGUUAGCUAUGCUACCCUAGUGUGAGGUGAUUUAGGUUUUAUAAAUUUUUUUGAUAACACCCAUCUGAGCCAGAAUCAAAUGGCACGACUGAACCAGGGACGAAUCAAAUGACGCCGCUACCAAGGAUGGUGCCAAAGUACAUUGACAUGACUUUUGGUGAACACUUGUGAUCUUCACCACAAGUUUGGUGAUUUUUCUUUUACUAAUUUUUUUUAUUUUAGCUUAUCUUUUAUUUAGUUUUUAGUUAACCUUAAAUUUUUCCUAGAAUUGUAUUUCUUUUGUUUUCUUUGUUUUUGUUUCAGUGAUCUUUAGUUGUGCAUGCCCUAUUGGAUAAGAGAUAUUGAGGGAAUACUUGUGAAGAUUGAAACUCCUCGAGAAACUGAGUUAGAAGUGUGCUUGAACAUCAUGGAUGUUCCACCUGAAGACCAGAAUAGCCAACAUGGUUAAGAGGAUAAUUUCAACACAUACCGAUCCAUGAGGAACCGCAUACAUCCACCUUGUAUGAGUGCACCGUCAGGCAUAAUGCCUCCCACUGAGCAGCUAGUAAUCUGACCUCACAUUGUGCCACUCCUACCUACUUUCCAUGGGAUGGAGAGUGAGAAUCCCUACUCGCAUAUUAAGGAAUUCGAGGAGGUUUGUAAUACAUUCCAAGAAGGAGGAGCUUCAAUUGACUUGAUGAGGCUCAAGCUAUUUCCUUUCACUUUGAAGGAUAAGGCCAAGAUUUGGCUUAAUUCUUUAAGGCCAAGAAGUAUCCAAACUUGGAUUGAUUUGUAAGCCGAGUUUCUUAAGAAGUUCUUCCCUACCCAUAGGACCAAUGGUUUGAAAAGGCAAAAUUUGAACUUCUCAGUUAAAGAGAAUGAGAAAUUCUAUGAGUGUUGGGAGAGCUACAUGGAAGCUAUUAACGUUUGUCCUCACCAUGGCUUUGACACAUGGCUCUUAGUGAGCUAUUUUUACAAUGGUAUGUCUUCUUCAAUGAAGCAACUCCUAGAAACUAUGUGUGGAGGAGACUUCAUGAGUAAGAAUCCGGAGGAAGCCAUGGACUUUUUGAGUUAUGUGGCUGAAGUUUCAAGAGGAUGGGAUGAACCAAAUGCUAGAGAGGUGGGAAGAAUGAAGUCUCAACCUAAUGCUAAGGGUGAGAUGUAUGUUUUGAAUGAAGACAUUGACAUGAAAGCAAAGGUUGCAGCUAUGGCAAGGAGAUUGGAAGAGCUAGAAAUGAAGAACAUACAAAAAGUGCAAGCCAUUUCUGAGACAUCAAUGAAAGCUAUGCCUUGUUCCAUUUGUCAAUCUUAUAAGCACCUAGUGGAGGAGUGUCCUACAAUUCCAGCAGUGAGAGAGAUGUUUGGUGAUCAAGCAAAUGUUAUUGAUCAAUUCAAGCCUAAUAACAAUGCUUCAUAUGGCAACACCUACAAUUCAAAUUGGAGGAACCAUUCAAAUUUCUCUUGGAAACGAAAGCCACCUCAAUACACACAACCUACUCAAGCACCUUAGCAAUCCUCGAAUCUUGAACAAGCUAUUGUGAACCUUAGCAAGGUUGUGGGAGACUUUGUGGGAGAUCAGAAGUCCAUCAAUGCUCAACUGAAUCGGAGAAUUGACAGUGUGGAGAGUACAUUGAACAAAAGGAUGGAUGAGAUGUAAAAUGAUCUGUCUCAAAAGAUAGACAAUGUCCAAUACGUAAUCUCAAGGCUUACCAACCUCAACACAGUGUAAGAGAAAGGAAAGUUUCCUUCUCAACCUCAUCAAAAUCCUAAGGGUAUCCAUGAAGUAGAGGCUCAAGAGGGAGAAUCUUCAAAGGUGAGGGAAGUCAAAGUAGUUAUCACCUUGAAGAGUGGUAAAGAGGUUGAUCAACCCACAUCCAAGCCAAAGCAUAAUGAAGAGAGUGUAGCAGAAAAAGAAAAGAGAGGAAAAUAAAGGAAUUAGAAUAGAGAAAAAUACAAAGAAAGAUGACCAUGAGUCUAGUGUGGAUGAAGAGCCCGAGAGGAUGGUGAUCAAGGAAGAUAUGAUGAAGAAACACAUGCCUCCACCUUUCCCCUAAGCUUUGCAUGACAAAAAAAGAACCAAUAAUACAUCAGAAAAUUUUGAAGUAUUGAGGCAAGUGAAGGUCAAUAUCCCUUUGCUAGACAUGAUCAAACAAGUGUCGACAUAUGAAAAAUUCUUGAAGGACUUGUGCACUGUAAAGAGAGGGUUGAAUGUGAACAAGAAAGCUUUAUUGACCGAGCAAGUGAGUUCCAUCAUACAGUGCAAGUCCUAGUGAAGUACAAAGAUCCGGGUUGCCGUACCAUCUCAGUGAGUAUUGGAAGGACUUGUGUGGAGAAAGCUUUGUUGGACUUGGGAGCAAGUGUGAAUUUGCUAUCCUACUCUGUCUAUAAGCAGUUGGGAUUUGGAGAGUUGAAGCCAAUAUCCAUCACUCUAUCUCUAGCGGAUAGAUCAAUGAAGAUUCCAAGAGGGAUGAUCGAAGAUGUCCUGGUUCAAGUUAACAAAUUCUACUAUCCAGUAGAUUUUGUUGUUCUUGAUAUGGAUCCGGUUGUCAAAUGAACUAAUUAUGUUCCUAUCAUACUUGGAAGACCCUUCCUAGCUACAUCAAAUGCAAUCAUCAAUUGUAGGAAUGGAGUCAUGCAACUCACAUUUGUCAACAUGACAUUAGAGCUCAACAUCUUCCAUUUGUACAAGAAGCAUAUCCAUCAGGAGGAAAAAGAAGGUCUAGAGGAAGUGUGAAUGAUUGACACUUUAGUGGAAGAGCAUUGUGAUCGAGAAUGCAAAAAGAUUUAGUUGAGAAUUUUGGGGAUCUUGAUGAAAGGUUACUUGAACCCUCAGAUUUGCUUGCUACCCUACUCCAUUGGAAGAGAAGAGAAGAAAUUCUACCCUUAUUCAAUGAGGAGGAGACGCAAAGAGCUGCAAAGGAGAAACCCCCAAAACUUAUUCUUAAGCCACUACCCACAGAGUUGAAGUAUGUAUACUUGGAAGAAGACAAGAAGUGCCCUAUUGUUAUAUCUUCAACUCUUACCAUUCAUCAGGAGGAUUGUCUACUUGAAGUCCUUAGAAGAUGUAAGAAGACAAUAAGGUGGCUAAUUUCUUAUUUGAAAGGGAUCAGCCCUUUAGUCUGCACCCAUCAUAUUUACAUGGAGGAUGAAGCUAAGCUAAUUCAUCAACCUCAGAGAAGGUUGAACCCUCACAUGCAAGAGGUGGUUCGAGCUGAAGUUCUGAAGCUACUUCAGACCAGUAUUAUUUACCCCAUAUCAAAUAGCCCAUGGGUGAGUCCUACUCAAGUUGCGCCAAAGAAGUCUGGGAUCAUGGUGGUGCAAAAUGAUAAGGGAGAAGAUGUCUCUACACGCCUCACUACAGGUUGGAGGGUGUGUAUCAAUUACAGGAGGUUGAAUGCAGUGAUAAGAAAGGACCAUUUCUCAUUGCCCUUUAUUGAUCAGGUGCUUGAGAGGGUCUCUGGGCUUUUUUUUUUAUUGUUUCUUGGAUGGCUACUCCGGGUACUUUCAGAUAGAAAUUGAUGUUGAAAACCAAGAUAAGACCAUUUUCACAUGCCCAUUUGGAACCUAUGCAUAAAGGAGAAUGCCUUUCGGCUUAUGCAAUGCACCCGCAACUUUCCAAAGAUGCAUGUUAAGCAUUUUCAGUGAUAUGGUGGAGCGUAUUAUGGAAGUCUUUAUGGAUGAUAUCACCAUUUAUGGAAGUGCAUUUGAUGAAUGCUUGGUCAACUUAGAAGCUGUUCUGAACCGAUACAUUGAGAAAGACUUAGUGCUUAACUGGGAGAAGUGCCAUUUCAUGGUACACCAAGGGAUUGUCCUUGGGCACAUUAUCUCCAAGCAAGGCAUUGAAGUUGACAAAGCAAAGGUUGAACUCAUUGUUAAGUUGCCAUCCUCAACAAAUGUCAAAGGAGUAAGGCAAUUCUUUGGCCAUGUCGGGUUCUAUAGGAGGUUUAUCAAGGAUUUCUCUAAGCUUGCAAGGCCUCUUUGUGAAAUAUUGGUGAAUGAUGUUAAAUUCAUAUGGGAUGAUGGAUUUGAAAGGAGUUUUGAAGAAUUGAAGCUAUUUUUGACAACCGUACCAAUAGUGAGGGCUCCCAACUGGCAACUGCCCUUUGAAGUAAUGUGUGAUGUCAAUGAUUUUGCUAUAGGAUUUUUUCUUGGGCAAAGAGAAAAUGGAAAACCUUAUGUGAUCUACUAUGCGAGGAAGGCAUUGAAUGAGGCACAAAGAAACUACACAACCACCGAGAAAGAAUUGUUAGCUGUAGUUUUUGCCUUGGAUAAGUUUCGCGCUUACUUGGUGGGGUCCUUCAUCAUGGUUUUUACUGAUCACUUUGCUUUGAAGUAUCUGUUGACUAAGCAAGAUGCUAAAGCAAGGCUGAUUAGAUGGAUUCUCUUACUUCAAGAGUUCAAUCUCCAUAUCAAAGAUAAGAAAGGAGUGGAGAAUGUGGUAGCAGACCACAUUUCAAGGCUAGCUAUCGCACAUAAUUCCCAUGCUUUGCCCAUUAAUGACGAUUUUCUAGAGGGGUCUCUCAUGUUGGUGGAAGUUGUCCCUUGGUACGCUCACAUUGCUAACUACCUGGUCACGGGAAAAGUUCCAAGUGAGUGGAAAGCACAAGAUAAGAAGCACUUCUUUGCAAAAAUUCAUGCCUACUAUUGGGAAGAGCCAUUUCUAUUCAAGUAUUGUAUGGAUCAGAUAAUAAGGAAGUGCGUUCCUGAAGAAGAGCAACAGGGGAUCCUUAGUCAUUACCAUGAAAAUGCAUGUGGAGGCCACUUUGCUUAUCAAAAGACAGCCAUGAGGGUGUUGCAAUCGGGUUUCUGUUGGCCAUCACUUUUCAAAGAUGCCCACACCAUGUGCAAGAGUUGUGAUCGAUGCCAGAGGCUUGGGAAGUUGACACGCAGGAACAUGAUGCCUUUGAACCCCACUUUAAUAGUUGAUAUUUUUUAUGUUUGGGGCACUAACUUCAUGGGACCUUUCCCUAUGUCUUUUGGCUACUCUUACAUCUUGGUAGGAGUAGAUUAUGUUUCUAAGUGGGUUGAGGCAGUCCCAUGCAAACACAAUGACCAUAGAGUGGUUCUCAAGUUUCUUAAAGAGAAUAUCUUCUCAAGAUUUGGGGUGCCCAAAGCCAUAAUUAGUGAUGGGGGUACUCAUUUUUGCAACAAGCCUUUUGAAACUCUCCUAGCCAAGUAUGGGGUGAAGCAUAAGGUAGCUACACCUUACCACCCUCAAACUCAUGGACAAGUUGAGUUAGCAAACAGGGAGAUUAAAAACAUAUUGAUGAAGGUGGUGAACACAAACAGAAAAGAUUGGUCAGUCAAGCUUCUUAAUUCACUAUGGGCAUAUAGAACAACUUACAAGACCAUUCUCGGGAUGUCUCCUUAUCGCCUAGUUUAUGGCAAAGCAUGCCAUCUCCCUGUGGAAUUGGAAUACAAAGCUUGGUGGGCAAUCAAGAAGCUCAACAUGGAUUUGAGCAGAGCUGGGUUGAAGAGGUUCUUAGACCUUAAUGAGAUGGAGAAAUUGAGAAAUGAUGCCUACAUCAAUUCAAAAAUUGCAAAAGAAAAAUUGAAGAGGUGGCAUGAUCAGUUGAUUUCCCGCAAGGAUUUUCAAAAUGGACAAAGAGUCUUACUUUAUGACUCUAAACUCCACAUCUUUCCGGGCAAGCUGAAAUCAAGGUGGAUAGGUCAUUUUACCAUUCACCAAGUGCAUUCAAAUGGAGUAGUGGAACUACUCAACUCCAACAAUAUCGAGAACUUCAAAGUGAAUGGCCACCGUCUCAAGCCCUUUGUGGAGUCUUUUUCUCACAACAAGGAGAAAUUCAUCCUCCUUGAUCCACAUCAAGCUUAACAAGACCAAUUUUCUUGAUGGACUUAGUCUUUCUAAAGACUAUCGAGUCCAUAACUUUUUGUUUUAUUUUUUAUUUGAGAUUUUUUCGGUAUUGUUACUUGUUUUGUUUUUUAUUUUUCGUUUUAAUUUUAUUUGGUUUGAUUUAACUUAGGUUUUUGAUGAUCAAUUACAGGGGGGAUUUCAAAUAGAGGAAAAACCAAGAUAAUUCGCACACCCUACGAAAAUUUCGCAAGGCAUGCGAAAUUUAUGGCUUAUUUUGCAUGGGGUGAAAAUUUUCGUACAUCUUACGAACCAAUUUCGAACACUUUGCGAAAAUAAACCAACCCUGCGAAAUCAUUUCGAUUACUCUACGAAAUUUUCGUAGAGCAUGCGAAAAAUUUAGCACACCAAACACCAUUUCGCAUACUAUGCAAAAACCUAAGGGGUCUGCGAAACCAUUUCGCACCUCCAAAUCCAUUUCGCACAUUGUGCGAAAACCAAGAGGCGCUGUGCGAAAAUGAAAAGUCGCCCUGUCAUCCCUUUUUAAACCCCUCGAGCCCUAAAAUCUCCAUUUCGCAAGCACCCCUGUCCUUGCGAAUCCCUCAUUUUCCUCUACUACCUUGCAACCUCGUCCCUUUCCAUUUGAUAUUGUGCCCCGCGCACAUCUCAUUUCAGAGACUCGCACUCCGCGCCCCCUCAAAGCAUGGACUCGAGACCCACCUUCCAUUUCCGACGUGGCACGGACCCAAGGAGCCCUUUCUGCCCCUUCACUAAGACACACACCAAGGCAGAAAGCCUCCUUUGCUCAAGUGCCUAGUGAUUCUCCAUCUUAGGCCUCAGAGGCCUCGGAGGCCCCGUGGAUUCCACCUUCCGAGGGUAGAGCAGCCAUUGGUCCUUCCUCUUCUACUCCUUAGCGUAGAUACGAGACGAGGAGACCACCUACUACACAAGGGGCGACUACUUCGAGCCUUGAGAAUUCAGUACGAUGCCUUCCUGCCAAGAGGGUCAAGACUUCAGGUCCAAGUGAGUCAUCCAGAGCUUCAUAGCCUAAGCCUCCUGUAGAUUCCAAGGUUCCUACUGACAUAUCACCGGAGUCUAUUAUCAGAAGCCCGAUGCUCAUAGCACCGCCCAUUGAGGGCAACUCAGAUUAUAGAGCGAGAUCUUUCCACUUGGAGCUAUAUUUUGAUCAGGAGGCCAUACGACAGCAGCCUGAGCUCCGAGACUCUUAUGGCUUACUGCAGAGGUACCAUCUUGAGGAACUUAUGACUCCUCGUGAGUUUUUUUAUCCCAGAGUAGCACUAAACUUUUACCAGUCCAUGACUACUCGUGGCGUCCCGAGUCCUACCACGAUUCACUUCACCAUUGAUAGACGUCAUGGUAUCCUCAAGGCCAGACAUAUUACAGAGGCUCUACAAAUUCCUUUCGAGCUAGAGGAUCCAUCUGUUUUUCGCUAAUGGUCCCCAGUAUCUCAGAGGGACAUGGUCCGUAUUUUAUCUAGGGGAACAUCUACAGAUUCGAUCUUUCUACGGAAGGAGCUUCGACCUGGGAUGCUCCUCUUAGAUGUGGUGCUAUGCUCCAACCUCUUUCCCUUACAACAUUCGGUACAUAGGUGAUGAGCUAUUUUGGACGCUUUAUUCCGUAUAUCAGAGGGCUUCUACUUUGGCCCGCACCACUUGAUCAUGGUCUCCCUCAUCCACUUUGAGGAGAAGGUUCAUAGGAAGAAGCUUCAGAGGGUGGACACCAUUCCAUUACUAUUCCUGAGGUUACUUUGCCAGGUCUUGGAGUACAUGGGCUUUCCUACUGAGCCUCGGCUCGAGCUUUGCCGCCUUUGUCGAGAGUGAUCCACUCUCGACAAAUGGAAUUAGUUGGCGGGCUAUUCUGCACCUCCAGGAGCCCCUCCCAUGGUAGCACCUCCAAUGUCCCCACAGGCAAAGUAGGGCGAGCUCCCGGCAAAGACUGUACCACCAAUGCCCACACUUGAGGCUAUUUCUGCUGCUCUGCCUAUGACUCCUACUGUUCCACCAGUUGGUCCUUUUACAUCCGAGCCUUCCAUCACCAUCUCGGCUUCGGAGUUUCGCGCCCUUGUGCAUACCUUUCAGACACUCACCACCACACAUACUCCUCUCUUCUAGCAAAUGGUUGAGAUGUGUGCCCAUCAGGACCGGAAGACUACUAUACUCUGCCAAAUUCAGCAGCACCUAAGACUUUUGCCUCAACCUCAACCUAACCAUCCCAUAUCAUCAGAGCCUCUAGCUCCAACUGAGGAUACUAUUCCACCUGAGAACACUACCACAGUAGAGGUCCGGUUUCCACCACCUUAAGAGGCCACCACAGCUACAUCAGAGGAUGUGUCAUCUCCACUUGAGGCUCCCACUACUUGAUCAUAGGACAUAUCUUUAUCUUAUUGUAUUUACAUAUUAUAUUACUAGAGAUUUGUCCUUGUUUUGAUACUUUAUAUUCUGGGAUUGGAUGUAUUGCCUGAUGAUAUCUCAAUUGUACUUUCUCAUAUUAAUAUAUAGACAUCAAUUUUUUUUAGUAUACUUAGCAUUUUUCUAUUUCCUCUACUCAUUACUCUUUUGUUUUUUUUUACUCAUGUGGUUUCUCUUAUACAACUCAGACUCCAUUUCACUCAGGAGGUACCACUUCCUCCCUUUAUUUUCAAUUGCUCUUGAAAUAUUGAGUGCAAUGUUGAUCUUGGUUGGGGGGAGAGUUGAGGAAGGAAGUUUUGUUAAUAAUGCUAGGUUAAUUUGUUAAUUUAGUUACUUUCUGCUUAAUUUUAAAAGUUUUCACUCUACUUUCCAUGGUUAUUAAGGAAAAAUUCUCAAAAUGAAAUGGGAGAAAUCGAAUUCUUGCAUUUUUACUUGAAUCUUAGAAUUUGUAUCAUGCUUAUUAAAGUUGAUGAAUUAUUGAAACUCCUAUUGAAUUCAACCUUAUUUUUUCCACUUUAAUCUUACCACACACGGUGCACAUUAGGUUCCAGUUAUAAGAUAAAAAACUAUCUCACCCCCUAAACUUAGAAAAAUUUACACUUGGUACCUUUGACAUCGUUUUAAUAGUGUUGGGACACCUUAUAAAAGGCCAAUGAGCCUUUAAAAAAAAAAAAAAAAAAAAAAAGAGAAAGAACAAAGUAUUGCACUUGCCUUGAAACCUGAGCAAGAUCCGAGGGGUAUACAGUGAAAGUCUUUAAAACCUGGUGCCCUAAGCCUUGAUUGGUUGGGAGUCACCGACCUCAAUGCUCGUUAUAAGGGUGAAUAGGUGGAGUUUAACAUAUUGUAGGUGCUUGGGUAUUGAAUUUCAAUCUCAAAAGUCCGGGAAAAAAUCUAAGGAGUUAGUGGUCAAAAGAUCCUUAAAGCUUGAUGCCCUAAACCUUGAUUGGUUGAGAGUCAUUGAUGGAUCCCCGCUACAUGGACAUUUUAGAAAACAAUACCUUUAGCAUUGCACGCCUACAAUGAAAAAAAAAUGUGAAAUAAAAGAGGUGCGUUCUUAGCCUAUUGGAGGUUGGUCAGUUUGCUAAAGUUUGAGAAAUCUAGGUUGGGGGGAGAGAAUAGUCCGACAUACUAUAAUAAAAAACUAAUAACCUUAACACUUAGAUUUUUGUGGAAGAGUAAGGAUUGGACCUUUAGGGGUGGAAAUUCUUUUGAUGCUUAAAUUUGCAUAAUGCCUACUCUUUAUAAAUUAUGAUUAGGCAAGAGAUUUGAUGACUCUUGUUCAAAGUUGGGUUUUUCCUCUUUGAUGUUCCAUGAGAGAGUAUAAUCCUCAUCAUGCCACUUGAAAUCUUUUUGGAGUGAUUAACAUGAUUUUGUAAAUUAUUUUACUGUCUAUUUUUCUUUAUCUCUCUUUUAUUGCUAAUGGACUAGCAAUAUGUCAGUUGGGGGGAGUGAUUACUACUCAAAAAGUACUCUUUUAUAGCUUGAAACUAACUGUUUUAAACACUUUUGAGUAGGUGUUAAUACAUUUUAACUCAAUUGGCACAUUAAGGAACCUAACAAGGGUUACUAAUAAGUUUUUGGCAAGUUUUGGUGUUUUUGGUAGCUAUUUGAUCAUUGAAACAAGCCAAGAAUGAGGGAGAAUUUUGUGAAGUCCAUAGCAAUGCAAGUUAAAGCUCAAAUACAUGAAGAAUCCAAGCUUUGAAGCACUUCAUAGCCCUUUGCGAAGCCAAUCAGAGAUGCAAGGAAGAAAACCAGAGGAAAAAAUCCAACAACCAGCAUUUUCGCAUGGCUGUGCGAAAUUUUGCACACCAUGCGAAACCACAAGAAGUAGCCAAAGAAUUUUGCACACCAUGCGAAAUUUCGCAUGGUAUACGAAAUCUUCCUAUGCACCAACUCCGUUAUAUUUUUAUCUUCAGAUAUUUUGUGUAAUUUCCUAGUUUCUCCUUGUAACCAACCUAGAUAUUUUCUUUUAUAUCUUUUUUUUAUAUUUUUUAGGUAACAUCAUAUAUAGGGGGAGAGACAUAAGGAGGAUAUGGAUGUUUUUCAUAAAACACUUUUAAUUUUCUGGUAGUAAGAAAUAUACAAAGUUUUUUGCUCUGCCUUACCUUCUCAUUUUGUUUUCACCUAUCUUUCUAGCCAAACAACCUCUGAGAAUGAUUUCUCAGGGGAUGAGUAGUUAGGUUUUACGUUUCUUGGAGUGAGAGAAGCUAGGUGAAAGACCCAAAUGCUAAGGUGGGAGUUGUCCUUGCUUUAAAUGAAAGUAGUUGUUAAAUAUUAAUGGUUUUUAUUUUAAGGUUUAGCUUUAAAUCCCUUAAAAACACCUUGAAUGGCCAAUACUUGGUAAGCUUUUCGGAUUCUAUGGAUGCUUAUUGCUAGAUCCAUGGAUGUCAUUAGUUAUCAUUUAUGAGCCAUUGGAAGGUGGUUCAAGAUGAGAGUCUUUAGUGUUUGAAGCCAUUAAUGGGAAACAAUUACCAUUUUUUCAUGAAUCCUUUGGAUAAAAUCUUAAUUGCUAAAUAUAAAACUGGUUCGGGAGAUAACCAUCCUUUAUGUUAUUAUGCCCAAUGCAAGGAGAAGAUUUCGAAUCUUCUCAUUUGUCUAAGGAACCCGAUCCUAGUGACCUAAAGCUCCUAGAGACCUUUUCUUUGUAGUUAACUUCAUUUAUUGUUUUUGCUUAACUUAAAAUCAAUCUUUGCAACCACAAUUCCAUUUUCUUUAAAAGCUAAUUUUUAUAAGGAAAAGCACCAUUUUAUUUCCUUCACUAAGUCAACUGUAUGAUGAAAACCCAUCCCUGUGGACGAUCUUAGAGCCACUAUACUAUGUUAUCUAUGCUAUCCUAGUGUGAGGUGAUUUAGGUUUUAUAAAUUUUGUUGAUAACACCCGUCUGAGCCAGAAUCAAAUGGAACCACUGAACCAGGGACAAAUCAACAGCCUAUAUGGGAGGGACACAAGUUUAAUUGAUUUGCAUUUCAGCGUUAUAGAUAAGUAUGUUUUGGAAGAUUUGUUCUGGAAAUACUGCACCAAGUACGAUUCUUUUUCUCUUGAGUGAGUCCAUUUGCAUGCCAAUUAACGAGUUGAAAAGUAGGAGCACCUACCUCGUGCUCAUGGAACCGAAUGUCAGUGAAGUGGGGCUCCUUUUAGCCUCUUGUGUUUCUGUUCCAACCAAGGCGGCGUAGGGAAAAACAACAAUAUGUCUGUGCUAAAUAUCAACGCAUGAUAGAUGUUUUUUUUUUUUUUUUUGGUAUGUCAAGGCUAACGAAUGAAAUGCAUUAGCUUGUUUUGUGACUAUAACUGCAAAUGUCCAAAUUGGAGUAUCUCCAUUUCUCACUUCGGAUGGUUAACUUUAUAAACAAGAUAUAGGAAACAUGUGAACAUCUUGAGGAACAAUUCAAAUUAUUCAUUAGAAGUCCUGGGUUAAGUUCCAAGAUUUAAAUCAGACCCUUCUAGCAGCUUCAAGGGUACUUAGCAACCUAUAACAUAUUAAUGAAGAUUUAGGAUUUAGACUCCGGAAUACAAAUAAAUAUGUAUCUCAUGCUUUGACUAGCUUCCCUACAUAUGCAUAAAAUGGAGAUGACCCAAAAAAAAUAGCAGAAUCUAGCUUCCCUACAUAUGCACAAAAUGGAGAUGACCCAAAAAAUAGCAUAAUCGCCUUAGUUUCUGUGGUUAAGGUGAUUCUCCGCUUAAUAUCCACAUUGACUCAUUAUGCAAAAUCAACUGAGCUAAUUUUAUUUAUUUAUUUAAUGUCAAAUAGGAACUCCUAAUUAACUGAUUACUGUCGAAAAGUGCUAUUUUGUAGACCUAAUUAUAAGGGUUUUAAGCACCUUUGAGUAGUAAUCAUAUUCAUUUAACCUAAUUAAUUCAUUAAGCUCCUUAGUAAUUAGUUCUAACCAUUUUUAGUGGCAAGUUUACAUGUUUUUCAUCAGCUUAUGAACCAAUUCAAGCAUGCCAAUUGAUGGAGGAGCUACUUGGGCGAGUUAAGCAAGGAUUUUGGACGUUUACAGGCUUGAAUUUCAAGUGGAAACACGAGCACAAGCAAUGGGAACACCAUUUCGCAAGGGGAGGCAAUUCACCUUGCCAAAUGACCAAUUUCGCAAGGGGAUUUUCCUCAUGGUGCAAAAUUUGGUCAUUUCGCACCAUGAAGAAACCACCUUGCAAAAUUUCGCAAGGUGGAUUUAGGCACCUUGCGAAAUGCCAAAUUUCACAAGGUGGCUUUUCACCUUGCGAAAUUUGGACCUUUCAUCUUCCCCCCUUGCGAAAUGCCUUUGAAAUCCCCUGUUUUGAGACGCUGUUGAUGAUAUUCCACUGCCGGUUCUCCAAGAUAUUUUGCUUGACUUUUAGCUUUAUAAAUACCUAUUUUACCCUUGUAAUCAACCAAUGAAAAGGUUGCUUUUGUAAUAGCUCUUGUAAUUUAGCUUUUUAUUGUCUUUAAAUAGAGGUGAAGAGCCUCAGACACGAUCAUCUUGUAACCUGUAACUUUAUAAGUUAUAAGAGCACUUUUGUUCAUACGCUUCUUUUCUCUUUUCUUUCUCAUUUUCUUAGUAGCCAAACAUCCUUGGAGGAUGAAAUCCCCAAGGAUGAGAGGCUAAAACCUUUUAGUUUCUUGAAGUAAUGGAUGCCAUGUGAAGCUCCCGUGUCAGGAUGGAGAUUUCCAAGCCAUAAAUGUAAGUAGCUGAGCGUCAUAAAUGUUUUCAUUCAAAGUAAAGCUUUUAAUCCCUCUGACUUGCUUUGAAUGGCCAAUACUUGAUAACCUUUUGGUCUCAAUGGAUUCUUAUUGUUAGAUCCACUGACGUUCAUUAGUUAUCUCCUACGAGCCAUUGUAUUGCAAGUCGAGGAGAUGACCUAUACCAAUAAAAGAGCAUUUAUGAGGUUCAACUACCCUUUUUGUAAGUUUUCAAGGACUAAAACUCAGUUGUUAAACUCAUACCGGUUCGAGAAGUAAGCAUCACCUUAGUUGCUUCCCCAACUCGAGGUGAAAAGUCCCAAAAUCUCCAUUUUUACACAGUGAGUUAAGCAUGGCUAUCCAAAGCUUUAAGAAACUUCUUUUUCCAUCUUUUAACCUAUUUUCAUGUUAGUUUAGUUUACAACACCUUCAUCUUUUUAUGUUUUCAUCUUAACCUAAUUUUUAUUAAGAAAAGUUCACUCCAUCCUCCGAACUUCACCAGUUAAAGUAAAAACCCUUCCCAGUGUUCGAUCCUAGAGCCACUAUGCUAUAGUAGCUUUGCUACUUUAGUGUAAGGACCUUAGGUAUAAAUUUUGUUGAUACCCUUACAUGCCAAGCUACCAAGAGUCGGGUUAUCAUUAACCUAACCAUUGGCCUGUGUAAAUUGAUUUCACAUGCACAAUGUUGUAGUAGAAGUCCAUAUUUUGAAUUUUAUUUUUGUAAAGGUAAGGAAAAUGAAGCAUUGUGUAAUUAUAAAAAUAACUUCAUUGGAAUUCACAAGGUUCACCCAAAAUGGAGCUACAUCUGUAUUCUAUCCUACAGUAGACUAUAUAGAUUGUACAAUAGUAAAUUGCAAAUACAAUUAAUAAGUCUUGUGCUUCCUUACUAAUAAUCCUUUGACAUGAACAUUGCAGCACUAAGGUCCUCUUGGGAAGACACCUUGCACCCAUGAGAGCACUAAGAGGAAGCAAGGCAGAGUCAUGGGUGCAAUGUCAUGACUUGUUGUUGCACCAAGAGAGGCUUGGUGAUGCCAUGGUGUUGCAGUAGCAAGAAUGUUGCCUUGGCAGGGACACGAUCUAGGGAUAGAUGCCAAGAAAGGCUUAGCACUCACAUGAGUUGCACAAAGAUGAAUGUAAUAGAGCAUCAGAGAGACGUCUUGGCAAGUAAAUGAAUGGAUCCAAGAGACAACAACAUGAGGAGUUUCAAAUGGAUAAGGAAUGACUCAAAGACAUUUGAAAGCUACAAGUUGGAUUCUAAUUACGAUUGCAAUUUGAGUUUGAGUAGGAGUUUAGAUUUUGAUUGUAAUUGUAGUAUGAGUUGGACUAGGAUUGCUUAUCCUUAGUCAAUAUAGGAGCGGUUCGUGUCACCCUAUGAAAAGAGUUUGAGUAGGGACUAGGAUUGCUUACUCCUAGUCAAAUAUGGAGUAGGUGGUGCCACACCUAUAAAAAAAAGGGACAACAUGAGAGAGAGAGAGAGAGAGAAAGAGAGAGUGAAUUCACUAAAGAUAUUGUGGGAGUUUUGCUUUGUUACGUCUUGUAUUAUUACUUAGAAUAGGAAUAAAAUACAAGUUGGGGCUAGAGCCCCAUAAUUAAUCUCGUGUGCCUUUGUGGUUAUUCUUUAUUUGUCAUCUCGUGUGGAUUGGAUUAGGUUGACUUAGAGGGCUUCUAAGCACCACCUUUGUGGGUUAUUAUUUAUUUUCCAUCUCUUGUGGAUUAGAUUAGGUUGACUUAGAGGGCUUCUGAGCACCACCUUUGUGGGUUAUUAUUUAUUUUCCAUCUAUUGUGGAUUAGAUUAGGUUGACUUAGAGGGCUUUUAAGCACCACAUUUGUGGGUUAUUCUUUAUUUUCCAUAUCGUGUGGGUUGGAUUAGGUUGACAAGGAGAAAAAUUAUGUGGGAAAUUUGUGUUGGGACACUUACCAUAACCAAGUAAAAUCUACCAAGUCCUUUGUAAUAUCUUCAACAAAUAUUUUAGACUAGUUCUUUCAGUUAGUGUAAAGGAGGAAGAAGUGGUAUUGAUUCUAGAAAUAGGGUGUGUGUAUUUGAACUACAAUCCUUAUGAUCCUUAGGUCUCUAAACCUUCGUGAUGGGCUCCCUGACAUUUCAUAGGUUGUGCUACACAUGCGUUUGAAAUUUAGAGUGCGUUUGACAGUGAUUCCGGGAAGUGUUUUUGGCCUUUCUUACACUUGAAAAUUUUUAUUUUUCAAGUAUUAGAAAUGCUACAAACACUUUUGAAAAUUACUGUCAAACACACUCUUAGGAGCGCACAUAUAUAGUAGAAAACUAGAAAUUGUGGUUUUUUUAGGAUUUACUGUAAUGUCAUUAGGAGGGUAGUAAGUUGAAAUUGAGUAUGAACAAAUAUUUCUUUCUUUGGGAUGUUCUUCUAGUAGGUGCUGAUGAAACUGUUCUUUCUACUGCCAAUGUCACAUAUCAGCCAGAAAUUGAAAAUUUCAGUCAAGGUGUCCUCUGUUUUAGUGGUGAGGAAAGCUAGAAAUUUUAAGGUGAAGUUUUGUUAAAAACCUUAAGUAGCUGGGAUAUCAGGCCUGUUUUGCUUGAAAAAAAAAGUUGCAAGAUAACUCAUAUGCCAAACAGGUUCUGAUAUUGUGAAUCUAUCGGCAGACAUCAGUAAUCUCAUCUUCUGAGAUGGAUGUUGGGGGUGCAUGUGGUGGUGGAGGGGCAAGGUUUCAUUUGGUUUAUUUUGUUGAUGGAUAUUGUCUAGCCACCUGCGCCAAGUUUGAGGGGUGGUGGGUUGUGAUGACCCUACAAUUACUAUUAAUUUCUUCAUCUUUUACCGAUUAAAGUGUCCGAACAGUCGAAGUUACCCUUAUGCAUGUCAACUUGAUCACUUACCUCUUCAAUGGAGUUUAUGCUGGUUCAUUUAGGAACUGAUUUUUAUUGUUAUGUAUUAUAUGCUGAUGUUUAGGUCUCUCCAUCAUCACUAUAUACAAAAAUUCUAGGUUGAUACUAUAGGUUGAGAUUUAUUUUUUAAAUAAAAAAUAAUAAAAAUAAAAAUUAUGGUGAUGUUUAGUUGUUUUAUGGAAAAUUUUAACAAGUAAAAGUUAUUUUUGGGCAAGUUUUCAAACAAAAAGAAAAGUAAAAGUUGUUUUGACAAAAACAUAUAGAAAAAAAAAUCAUAGAAAAUAAAUAAUUUCCCCAUAUUCUAACUUUUUUGAAUUUUUCUCAAUGGGCAAAGGAAUAUCAAAUCAAGUUUGAGUAGGAUUUCUUAAUUUUUAAAAUAACUUACAAUUAAAAAAUUUUGGUGUUUUCAUUUUUGGACAAUUUUUUAUUAAGCAAAUGGACUCUGAGUCAUGCAAGAGAUAUGGUUCAUUAACCGGUCGAACAAUUUUUUUAAAUUAAUUUAAAAGUCAAAUACAUAAUCAAUUUCACAAAAUUUAUAAACAAAAAUAGGUUUAGAGAAGAUCUACACAUAAUUUUACUUUUCUAAUUUUAUUUUAUUUUAUUUUUUGUUGGAAAAUAGUCUUCAAAUCAUGUAAGAUUUAAUAGGUUAAAUUUGUUAACAAUAAAUUUUAAAUUAUAAAAUAUAAUCUGGAACUCAAAAAUCAAUUCAAGUAAUGCUAAAAAAAAAUCAAAUUUGGUAUAGAAUGACUUUGUAAAUUUUUUUACAAAACAAAUGAAUUUUAAAUCAAGUGAGAUUUAAUGCAUUAGAUUUUUAUCAAAUAUAGUAAUUUUAAAAAUAAAUUUGGAACUCAACAAUAGACACAAUAAAUACCAAAAAAUAAUGAACCAAAAUUGGUUUGGAAUAACUCCACAACCUUUUUUUUUUUUUUUUGGUGCACACGAAUUUUCUUACUAGGUAUAUUGCUUUCAAAUUGAGAAAGAUUUACCAUUUAGAUUUUUUUUUAAUGAGUUUAAUGGUAUUUUAAAAUAAUUCAAAAUUUAAAAAAUUGACUAAUUAAUAUUAUAAAUUGAUAAACCAAGACUAUUUCAAAAUGCAUUGGGGGCUAAGGGGGUUGAAAAUAGGGACAAUGGGAUGGGUUUGGGACAUGACACUCAUAUCUCAUUUCCAUUCCAAUUACACAGUUAUCUCCCAUCCUUAUCCCAAACUUGUGUUGGAGCAAGUUGAUUUGUUCCCAUCUUUGUUGACGAAAUGACUAAUAACCUCAUCCCCUCCUUAUCUUAGAUGUACAUUUUGUCAAAUUUGAUCAGGUAUGAUUGAUCCAAGCCCUAACCCUAAUUGGUAAUGAGUGAAUACUACACCUAAUUGCAUUCUUCUUUCAUUGCAAAAUAAUGAGAUUAUAAUAAUCUAGCAAAUAAGAAAAAAUAGUAUGGAAGUUCAAAUUAACACCAUAACUAUCAAUAAUUUUAAGCUUAUAGAUGACUUAAAUGAUUAAAAACUAAUGCAAAAUCCUAAAAAAAAUAAAAAUCAUAUAAAGAAUUCACAAGAGAACAGAAUGAACAAAAACCAAAUAUGAACAUGGGUCAACAUUAGUUAUGGAUUUGGAUUCCUUUCAAGGCCAAUCUUUGAACCAAGACUUCAUCAAAUCAACUACUUCAAAGGCUUUUGUGUUCUUCUUGGGUUGUGCUCUCAAACAAAGACUUCGAGGUGAUGUUCUAGAUGAUUGAAUUACACAUAUUUAGGGUGGAGAGAUUGGAGAAGCUUGAAGAUGCCAACGAUGGGUACAAUUGAGUGGUCAAUAAGAACAAUGUAGCCUAUGACUAGUUUGAUGUCAUGGUACAAGAGUUUUAGGCAUUGAGGUUAAAGCAAGAGCAACAUGGAAUUGAUUUCGGAGUCUUUCAGUUAGUGUAAAGGAGGAAGAAGUGGUGUUGAUUCUAGAAAUAGGGUUUUAAGUGGUGCGUGAUUACUACUCAAAAAGUGCUAUUUGAUAGCCUUUAAUUAAUCCUUUUUAACACUUUUGAGUAGUAGUUUAGGCCUUUUAACUCAAUUGGCAUGUUAAGGAUCCUUUAAAGCAAUUUUGAUCACUUUGUGCAAGUUUUGGUGUUUUUGUUAGUAUUUUGAUCACCAAAGCAAGUCAAGAAUGAGGAGAACUAUGAGGAAUCAUGGGCAAAGCUUAGAAUUCAAUUGCCAAGAGUGAAUCCGGAUUGCAAGGAGAAAAAGCAAAGAGAAUCUGUCAUGAAGCCUAUUCUUGAUGACAGUCGUAGCAGCCACUUUUGGAGCACUUUCUGAAGUCCAAAUGAUGCAAGCUAUAUACCAUUUCAAAGAUCAGGAAGUCAACAAUCCAAUGCUUCAAACGGUGCGCGAUUCGGAGUUGAAACGAAGAAGUUGCAGCCAUUACAAGCCAGUCACUCUAAAGUGUUGCGGAAUCAGCCUUUUGUUGCGAGAAUUUCGCAGCACUUUUGUACAGUAAGGUGUUUCUCCUUCUGACGAUGCACGAACCAUGCCGCGAGAGGGAAGCUAGGAACUUCAAGAUGGAAGCCAACUUUGCAGCCUGGUGAAGAUAGCUUGGUCUUGCGAAAUAAUUUCGCAGCCCUCUUGGGUGUCUGCGAAAUUUCGCAGGCACCACUUUUUUCCUGCGAAAUGGCUCCGGAAGCCUCCCGAAGCUUGCUACCGACAUUGGGAGAUAUUUUCCAUUAGAUUUUUGUUGUCUAAAUUCCAAAAUACUCCUUGUAAACCACCAAUUACAUGAUUCCUUAGUUUUUAAGUUAGUAAAAAGACCAAAUAUCUAUGUAAUAAUUAGUUUUAUAUUAGUUUGCUAUAAAUACCUCUCGGGAGCAUGUUCUCAGAGAGGAGUUCCUUCUGUAACCAUUUUGGUAAGCAAGUAAAGUCUUUUCUUUCUACUGCCUUACCUUCUCACUUUGUAUUUUCAUUUUAUUUCUAAGUUAUGAAUUCUCUGAGGAGCUUUCCCCAGAGAAUGAGUAACUAAACCUCCAAUUCCUUGGAGCUAAGGUUGCCGGGGAAGGUUCCAAGUGCAAGAAUGCAAAGCUCUGUGGUUUUAGCUAGUAAUGAAGAGGAAGUGAAAUCCUUUAGUGAUUUCAAUGUUUUUAGUUAACUUAAAACACCUUGGAGUCACCUGGGCCAACACUUGGUAAGGCAAGUGAUUUCCAACCGUGGAAAUGCACUAGUUUACCCCUUGCGAGCCUCUGGUAGGUGACUUCAAGGUAGGAUUUUCUGGAAUUACCAACACUUGGUAAGCUUUUGGACUCCUAGGAGACAUCCAUUAGUUAUCUCUUGCGAGUUUGUGAAGGGGAAUCCAAGGUUAAAGAUCACCUUGAAUGGUAAGUGCUCGUGAGAGGCAUGAACCAUUGCAAGUUGUAUCAGUGAGAGAAUUAAAGUGAAAUCUAAUUGAAGGAGUCUCUGUACAUCACCGGUUAGAGAAUUGACUAUAAGUUGAAUCUCUAAUGCGAGGAAAUGAACCAUCUGACCGGAGCUAUGUCUUUUGCAUGAGGAACCACCCCAGUGAACCUAAAUCUCCAAGGAAUGCUUUUCUUCCUAAAUUAUUCCAAACUUCUGUUAAGUUAGUUAGUUUAAGUCUAAACCUUUACCAAUCAAACUUUGUGUUUUAUUUCUUAAGCUAACCGUGAAAUGAAACAAAACCAAUUCACUUGGAAUUGGUAUCCUUGAUUGCUUGCAAAUCAUUCCCAGUGAACGAUCCUUAGAGCCACUAUACUAUAGUAGCUUUGUAUUUGCUACCCUAGUGUAUGGUGUUAUAGGUAUAAAUUUUGUUGAUCACUUCCUCAAUCAAGGAACACCAGCUGAACACAAAUCAGCUGAGACACCAAUUGGGCAUGAGUCAAAUGGCGCCGUUGCCGGGGAAUGAGUGUCAAGAUCAUUGUGAUACCAUUUUUGAGCACUUGUGAUUUUCAUCACAAGUUGGUAAAGUUUCUUUCACUUUACUAAUUUUCAUUCUCUCUUUGUUUAUUUACAAUCUAAGUUUAUCUUUUUAAAAUUUAGUCUAGUUUAAUUUUGCUAUUGUAGCCUUGUUUCUCUUGUUGUCCUCUGUUCUUGUUGUCCUCUGUUUUCAUUUUAGUUGCAGCUGAAUACUAGUUGUGUAUGCCAAAGUGGAUACGAGACAUUGGAGGUAGGCUUAUUAAGUGUGAUACACCUCAGAGAGGAGAAUUGGAAGUAAUCUUGAAUAUCAUGGAGGCUGCACCUGAAGAUCAGCAUAGUCACCAAGGUCGUCAAGACAAUCUCAAUGAAUUCAGAUCAAUGAGGGACCGUAUGCAUCCACCUCGUAUGAGUGCACCAUCAUGUAUAGUGCCCCCUACAGAGCAACUAGUGAUCAGACCAUAUCUUGUUCCACUUCUACCAACUUUCCAUGGGAUGGAAAGUGAGAAUCCGUAUGCACACAUCAAGGAAUUUGAAGAUGUUUGUAAUACAUUCCAAGAGGGAGGAGCUUCAAUUGAUUUGAUGAGGCUUAAGUUAUUUCCUUUUAAUUUAAAGGAUAAGGCCAAAAUUUGGCUUAAUUCUUUAAGGCCAAGGAGUAUCCGCUCUUGGACUGAUUUACAAGCUGAAUUCCUCAAGAAAUUUUUUCCUACUCAUAGAACAAAUGGCUUGAAAAGGCAAAUUUCAAACUUCUCAGCUAAAGAGAAUGAGAAAUUCUAUGAGUGUUGGGAAAGAUACAUGGAAGCUAUAAAUGCUUGUCCUCACCAUGGCUUUGAUACUUGGCUACUGGUGAGUUAUUUUUAUGAUGGUAUGUCCUCCUCAAUGAAGCAACUCCUCGAGAAAAUGUGUGGAGAAGAUUUCAUGAGCAAAAAUCCAGAGGAAGCUAUGGAUUUCUUGAGCUAUGUAGCUGAUGUUUCAAGGGGAUGGGAUGAACCAACUAAAGGAGAAGUGGGAAAGAUGAAGUCUCAGUUGAAUGCUUACAAUGCAAAGGCUGGGAUGUAUACUUUAAAAGAGGAUGAUGACAUGAAAGCAAAGUUGGCAGCUAUGACAAGAAGAUUGGAGGAGCUGGAGCUGAAAAGAAUGCAUGAAGUGCAAGCUGUUGCUGAAGCACCAGUGCAAGUGAAGUUGUGUCCCAAUUGUCAAUCGUUUGAACAUUUGGUAGAGGAAUGCCCUGCAAUUUCAGCUGAAAGGGAAAUGUAUAGAGAUCAAGCAAAUGUUGUUGGACAAUUCAGGCCCAAUAACAAUGCUCCUUAUGGAAAUACCUACAAUUCAAGUUGGAGGAAUCAUCCAAAUUUUUCAUGGAAGGCCAGAGCAACUCAAUACCAACAGCCGGAUCCACCAUCUCAACAAUCUUCAAGUAUUGAACAAAUAAUAGCUAAUCUCAGCAAGGUAGUGGGAGAUUUUGUGGGAAAGCAAGAAGCCACCAAUGCUCGAGUGGAUCAAAGAAUGGACAGAGUGGAUCAAAGAAUGGACAGAAUGGAGAGUAUGUUGAACAAAAGAAUGGAUGGAAUGCAAAAUGAUAUGAAUCAAAAAUUUGAUAACAUCCAAUAUUCAAUUUCAAGGCUUACAAAUUUGAAUACACUGCAAGAAAAGGGAAGAUUUCCUUCUCAACCUAACCAAAAUCCCAAAGGUGUCCAUGAAGUGGAAAGCCAUGAGGGAGAAUCAUCACAGGUGAAAGAUGUGAAAGCUUUGAUCACUCUAAGGAGUGGUAAGAAAAUUGAGCAGCCAACACCCAAGCCACAUGUUGAGAAAGAAGAAGAGAUGAAGAAAGGGAAGGAAAUGGAAGAUAAAGGCAGUGAGAUCAGUGAAGAAAAGAAGGACUCUGAUGCAACAAUGAAAGUAAUUCCAGAGAAGGAGCUUCUGAAGGAAGAAAUGCUGAAGAAAUCAACUUUUCCACCUUUUCCUCAAGCAUUACAGGGGAAAAAGGGGGUUAGAAAUGCAGCUGAAAUCCUAGAAGUAUUGAGGCAAGUGAAAGUUAAUAUUCCACUGCUGGAUAUGAUCAAACAAGUUCCAACGUAUGCAAAAUUCCUAAAGGACUUGUGUACUAUCAAAAGAGGGUUGACUGUAAACAAGAAAGCCUUCUUGACUGAGCAAGUAAGUGCAAUCUUACAGUGUAAGUCUCCUUUGAAGUACAAAGACCCUGGAAGUCCUACCAUUUCAGUCAUGAUUGGAGGAAAGGUAGUGGAGAAAGCCUUGCUAGACUUGGGAGCAAGUGUGAAUUUGCUUCCAUAUUCUGUCUACAAGCAACUGGGACUUGGAGAGUUGAAGCCAACAGCAAUCACUUUGUCUCUGGCAGAUAGAUCAGUGAAAAUUCCAAGAGGGGUAAUUGAGGAUGUAUUGGUUCAAGUAGAUAAUUUCUACUAUCCUGUAGAUUUUGUUGUUCUUGAUACAGAUCCUACUGUAAAGGAAGCUAAUUUAGUUCCUAUCAUCCUUGGAAGGCCAUUUCUUGCAACUUCAAAUGCAAUCAUCAACUGUAGAAAUGGGCUUAUGCAACUCACUUUUGGUAACAUGACACUGGAUCUAAAUAUUUUCUAUAUGUCUAAAAAGCAAAUCACUCCAGAAGAAGAAGAGGGUCCAGAAGAGCUAUGUAUUAUUGAUACUUUGGUGGAGGAGCACUGCAAUCAACAUAUGCAAGAUAAGUUGAAUGAAAGUUUUGUGGAUAUUGAGGAAGGUUUUUCUGAAUCUCCUAAUGGGCUUGCUACUCUACAAAGUUGGAGAAAGAUAGAAGGAAUUCUACCUUUGUUCAAUGAAGAAGAGGAGGCAGCUGUUGAAAAAGAAAUUCCAAAACUCAAUCUGAAGCCUUUACCUAUGGAGCUGAAAUAUACAUAUCUUGAAGAAAAUAAUCAAUGUCCUGUCGUAAUAUCUUCAUCUCAAACCAAGUCUCAAGUGAAGGAUGCAAGCUUCAAAUGGGAUCCGGGCAAACUGAAUCAGGAAGGGCAAAAAGUUUUGAUGUAUGACACAAGACUCCAUAUCUUUCCUGGGAAGCUCAAGUCAAGGUGGAUUGGUCCAUUUGUUAUUCACCGAGUAUAUUCCAAUGGAGUGGUGGACUUAUUGAAUUCCAAUGGCAAGGACAGCUUUAGAGUCAAUGGAUAUCGUCUUAAGCCGUUCAUGGAGUCAUUCAAAUCAGAAAAGGAGGCAAUCAACCUCCUUGAACCUCAAAAAGCCUAAGUGAAAUGGGUUUGCUGGACGUGGUUUUACCACAGUCCAAAAAUUUUUGUAAAUUUUGUAAAUUUUCAAGUUGUUUCCAUGCUUUUAAUCUUAGUUUUUGAUUUUAAAUCAUGUUUUUAGGUGUGUUUUAAUCGUUUUAUAUGAUCCCAGGCGGAAGAAAUUUCAAGGGGAUUGAAAAGAAAAAAAUCGGGUCGAAAUUGGAGCCGAAACAGAGCAAAAACAGGGGAAAAACAGAGCUCUGCGAAAUUUCGCAGGGUGAAGGAAACUUCUGCGAAAUUGGCAUUUUGCUGCCAAACCAUUCCGCAGCACUGUAGAAGCCUCUGCGAGUGUAUUUCGCAAUUGCGAAAGUGGAUUUGGCACACGAGUGCCACUUCGCAGCACAGUGACAUCAAUUUCGCAGCUGCGAAACUCACUGCGAAGUUGCUGCGAAAAUGGCAAGUUGCUGCGAAAUUGGCGUUUUGUUGCGAAACGUAAUCUGACCCCUGGGCUUCCGUUUUUCCUAUUUAUACCUGUCAAAAGUGCUGCGAAAAAGGUUUCAAAAAUUAGAGCACCAUUCUCGCAGCCCUUUCAUCUUCUUCGCCAAGCCACGCCGUCCGUUUCUCCGGUCGUCUUCUCCGUUUAGCAGCGCCGGCCAAAGAUCGAUAGCCCAAAAAUGGCACGAACGCGAGGGGCAAAGUCUUCAUCCCCUUCGAACCGCAAAAGGAGUCUGCGAAAGGAGCCAAGUUCAGGCUCUGUUCCAGAACCUGCUCCAAAGCCUUCGCCGUCGAGACCACAACCUUCUCCAGUGAAGCCGGCGCCACCAAAGCCGCCGGCAAGGCGAUAUUUAACCAGGUCAGGUGGUCAGCCAUUGAAGAAGAAAGCCAGAGUUGAGAGCUCUGAACCAAUCGAUUUGACUGAGCAAUCCCCUGAGAAAUCACCAAAUCCUUCACCGGUACAAAUUCCAGUGCCAUCACCGGUUCCCUCGCCAAUUCCCUCACCAGAAGCAACUCCAAUUCCAUCGCCGGUACCAUCUCCGGCACCCCAAGAAAAAGCUCAGGAGCCUCAAGCGCCAAUUCCAGAGCCCCAAAUUGCAGCUGAAGCACCUCUGGAAGAAGUGAUCCGAAGGCCAAUGCUGCCUCAGCCCCCAAUCGAAGGAAACCUGGAUUGCCGAACUCGGGCAUUCCAUUCUGAGCUUUGCUUCGAUUUAACAGCAUUCAGAGUGAGGCCAGAGCUUGCCCAAUCCUUCCAACUGCUGAGGAGAUAUCAUAUGGAGCAUCUGCUAGCUCCAAGGGAUUUUUUCUAUCCCCGGGUAGUCACGGAUUUCUACCAAACCAUGACAACCAAAGAAGUAAGAAAUCCAACUCUGAUUCAUUUCAUAAUUGAUGGAAGGCAUGGUAUUUUGGGAGCAAGACAUAUUGCUGAAGCCCUGCAAAUUCCUUUUGAGCCAACUCAAUUCGACAAUUUUAAAGCUUGGACAAAUCCUACUGAGUUAGAGAUGGUUAGCACACUAACCAGAGGAGCUGCAAAUCGAUCGCAUUUGUUGAGGGGGGAGCUACCUCCAGUUAUGUUUUUGAUUGAUGCCUUUUUGAGGCAUAAUAUCUAUCCCCUGCAGCAUUGGACCCAAAGAAGGGGAAUUCUCCUAGAAGCCUUGUACAAAAUGUCUGAAGGAUUCUUCUUUGGGCCUCAUCAUCUGAUCAUGGCAGCCCUUCUAUACUUUGAGGAGAAGGUUCACAAGAAGAAGCUUCAAAGAGCAGAUUGCAUUCCACUCCUCUUCCCAAGGCUGCUAUGCCAAGUUUUGGAGCAUCUCGGAUACCCCUCUGAGCCUCAGCAGGAAAGAAAGAGAAUAUGCCGUGAGCCUUUUACCCUUGAUAAAUGGAAUAAUAUGACGGCCUACAAAAUUGAUCAGCCUGGGCAGCCUCAGCCAGCAGCAAGGAGAGUCUCCCCAAGACAUAUACCUGAAGGUAUAACACUUGCUACUCCUGCCAUCCCUCGAGCUCCACCAGCUGCACCUGCUCCAUCACAGCCAUCCACAUCAGCUGAGCCGAGGAUGGCCAUCCCUAUAUCCGAAUAUCGAGAGCUGUGCCGUGCAUUGGAGACUCUUACAGCUUCUCAGAGCAAUCUUGCUCAGGAGUUGGCAGCCAUUAAAGCAUGCCAGGAGCAGAUGUUAGCCUCUCAGACUCAACAAGCUGCCAUCCUAAGGCAGCUUCAAGUCCAUUUCGAUCUGCCACAAGCUGUAGAGCCCUCUAUUCCUACUCCACCAGAGCCACACUCUCAGCCUUCAGAGUCUCAUCCUCCAGAACCCGAAGCACCAGCUGAUCCACCUACUGAGGAGGCAGAUCCUUCUGCCUAGCACCAUCACCCCCCUCAUCAGACAUUAUAUAUAUAUUUGCUGUUUAUGUUUUUAUGCAUGUUUGUUUUGUUUUAGUUGAAAAGAAAUCCCAGUAUUUUGGUACUAUAUAUGGGAUUCCUUGUGUUACUUGUCUUUAGUAUUGUAAUCACAUGAACUCAAAGUAAUACAAGUUGACUAUUUCUUGUUAAAAGUUAGCAUUAAAGUUUCCUUAUUUCCUUUUCUCACAUAUUCUAUUCUUUUUGAAACAUGUGGUUUUCCCCAAUCAAUAUUCGAAUUUGAUAUCAGCAUGGAGGUACCACUUCCUCCCUUUUAUUACAGUCACUCAAAUCACAUUGAGGACAAUGCUCAGUUCGGUUGGGGGGUAUGAGGAAGGAAGUAUUCUAAACCUUUUUGGUAUUGCAAUUAUAUUGGUUAAUUAGUUGUAGAUUUUACUUUUUACUAGUGUUACUCUAUUCUCCAUGAAUUUUGAGGAAAAAUUUUCAAAUUAAACCAAGAGAAAUUGAACUGUUGUUUUUCACUUGACUUAGAGUAUGGAUUAUGCUUACUAAAGUGGUUCAAUUGUUGAAACUUCUACUGAAAUUGAAUUGAGUUCUUCCACUUUAAGCUAUCCACACACUGUGCACAUUAGUUUCCGAUUAUAAGAUGAAAAGCUAUUUCCCUCUUGACUUAGUAUAUUUUUGGGACUUGGUAUAUUUGACCUCAUUUGAUAAAAAUUGAAACACCCUGCAAAAGGCCAAUGAGCCUUUGAAAUAAAGAAAGUUGUUUGCUUGCCUUGAAACCCGAGCAAGGUCUGAGGGGUAUAUGGUGAAAAUCUUUAAAGCCUGGUGCCCUAAGCCUUAAUUGGUUGGGAGUCACCGACCUCAAUGCUCGUUACAAGGGUGAAUAGGUAGAGUUAGCAUAUGGUAGAUGCUUGGGUAUUAGAAAUUCAUUCUUAAAAGUCCGGGGAAAAAUCCGAGGAGUUAGUGGUUGAAAGAUCCUUAAAACUUGGUGCCCUAAACCUUAAUUGGUUGGGAGUCAUCGAUGGACCCCCAUUACAUGGACAAGUCAGAAAGAGUACCCCAUAAAGCUACCUUAAAAAAAAAAAAAAAAAAAAAAAAAAAAAAAAAGAUGAAAGUGUGUUCUUUUCUUAUUGAUUUUGGUCAGUUUGCUAAAGUGUUGAAAAGAGAUAGGUUGGGGGGUGAGAUUAGUAGCAUAUUAUUCUCGGAACCUAAGGAACCAAUACACAUAGAUUUUUGUGGAAGAUUGAAGUUUAGUUCUUAGAAAAUGAAAUGAUUUUAAAACUUCAGUUUGCAUAAUGCACUCCCUUGAUUGACAGUGUUUAGCAUAGGUGUUAUGACUCUUGUUGAGAUUUGGGUUUGUAUUUCUUUAAUGAUUCAUGUGAGAAAUAGAUCAUCAUGCCACUUGAGAAUUAUUUUCCUUUUAGCAUGAUGUUGUAAAUUUUAGAUUAGUUUGCUAUUUAUUUUUUAUUUUCUCUCCUAUAUUGCUAAGGGACUAGCAAUAUGUCGGUUGGGGGGAGUGAUUACUACUCAAAAAGUGCUAUUUGAUAGCCUUUAAUUAAUCCUUUUUAACACUUUUGAGUAGUAGUUUAGGCCUUUUAACUCAAUUGGCAUGUUAAGGAUCCUUUAAAGCAAUUUUGAUCACUUUGUGCAAGUUUUGGUGUUUUUGUUAGUAUUUUGAUCACCAAAGCAAGUCAAGAAUGAGGAGAACUAUGAGGAAUCAUGGGCAAAGCUUAGAAUUCAAUUGCCAAGAGUGAAUCCGGAUUGCAAGGAGAAAAAGCAAAGAGAAUCUGUCAUGAAGCCUAUUCUUGAUGACAGUCGUAGCAGCCACUUUUGGAGCACUUUCUGAAGUCCAAAUGAUGCAAGCUAUAUACCAUUUCAAAGCUCAGGAAGUCAACAAUCCAAUGCUUCAAACGGUGCGCGAUUCGGAGUUGAAACGAAGAAGUUGCAGCCAUUACAAGCCAGUCACUCUAAAGUGUUGCGGAAUCAGCCUUUUGUUGCGAGAAUUUCGCAGCACUUUUGUACAGUAAGGUGUUUCUCCUUCUGACGAUGCACGAACCAUGCCGCGAGAGGGAAGCUAGGAACUUCAAGAUGGAAGCCAACUUUGCAGCCUGGUGAAGAUAGCUUGGUCUUGCGAAAUAAUUUCGCAGCCCUCUUGGGUGUCUGCGAAAUUUCGCAGGCACCACUUUUUUCCUGCGAAAUGGCUCCGGAAGCCUCCCGAAGCUUGCUACCGACAUUGGGAGAUAUUUUCCAUUAGAUUUUUGUUGUCUAAAUUCCAAAAUACUCCUUGUAAACCACCAAUUACAUGAUUCCUUAGUUUUUAAGUUAGUAAAAAGACCAAAUAUCUAUGUAAUAAUUAGUUUUAUAUUAGUUUGCUAUAAAUACCUCUCGGGAGCAUGUUCUCAGAGAGGAGUUCCUUCUGUAACCAUUUUGGUAAGCAAGUAAAGUCUUUUCUUUCUACUGCCUUACCUUCUCACUUUGUAUUUUCAUUUUAUUUCUAAGUUAUGAAUUCUCUGAGGAGCUUUCCCCAGAGAAUGAGUAACUAAACCUCCAAUUCCUUGGAGCUAAGGUUGCCGGGGAAGGUUCCAAGUGCAAGAAUGCAAAGCUCUGUGGUUUUAGCUAGUAAUGAAGAGGAAGUGAAAUCCUUUAGUGAUUUCAAUGUUUUUAGUUAACUUAAAACACCUUGGAGUCACCUGGGCCAACACUUGGUAAGGCAAGUGAUUUCCAACCGUGGAAAUGCACUAGUUUACCCCUUGCGAGCCUCUGGUAGGUGACUUCAAGGUAGGAUUUUCUGGAAUUACCAACACUUGGUAAGCUUUUGGACUCCUAGGAGACAUCCAUUAGUUAUCUCUUGCGAGUUUGUGAAGGGGAAUCCAAGGUUAAAGAUCACCUUGAAUGGUAAGUGCUCGUGAGAGGCAUGAACCAUUGCAAGUUGUAUCAGUGAGAGAAUUAAAGUGAAAUCUAAUUGAAGGAGUCUCUGUACAUCACCGGUUAGAGAAUUGACUAUAAGUUGAAUCUCUAAUGCGAGGAAAUGAACCAUCUGACCGGAGCUAUGUCUUUUGCAUGAGGAACCACCCCAGUGAACCUAAAUCUCCAAGGAAUGCUUUUCUUCCUAAAUUAUUCCAAACUUCUGUUAAGUUAGUUAGUUUAAGUCUAAACCUUUACCAAUCAAACUUUGUGUUUUAUUCCUUAAGCUAACCGUGAAAUGAAACAAAACCAAUUCACUUGGAAUUGGUAUCCUUGAUUGCUUGCAAAUCAUUCCCAGUGAACGAUCCUUAGAGCCACUAUACUAUAGUAGCUUUGUAUUUGCUACCCUAGUGUAUGGUGUUAUAGGUAUAAAUUUUGUUGAUCACUUCCUCAAUCAAGGAACACCAGCUGAACACAAAUCAGCUGAGACACCAAUUGGGCAUGAGUCAGUGCGUUAGAGGAUCAAGAAGAAGAAAAAGAAGGAACUGUUGGAAUUAGUAUGAGUGUGAAGAGAAAAGUAUAUAAAUAAGGGGAAGUAAAAGCAAAGUUCAAAAAGCUAUAUUUUUUUAUUGUUGGUGUAUGGUUGCAUGAUUAUCCCUAUAAAUAAUAGGAGUUUUUUGGUAUUCUACUAGUAGUUGAAGCAUAAUUUCAUAAAUUAAUAUUUAGAGCGGGGUGGGGUGAGUUGUGACAAAAUUCAUACCCGUCCCAAACCUUGGUUCAGAUUUUUAAAAUAUUCUCAAACUUAUCAUAUACCCAACUUUUAUAUUUCAUACUUGUCCUAAUAGAGGCACGUUAGGCCGGGUUACUUGAGUAACCUACAUAAUUGUCAUCCCUAGUUGAAAUACACUUUUUGGCAGUGGCCACCAACUGAGCUAGAAGCUUGAUUGAUUGACCUACAAGAUUAGUUCUCAUCAUUUUAAAAAAAGUUCUGGCUUUGGUUGUGAGUGCAAUUGAAUCUAAACUGGCAUUUGCUUAAUGCAUCUACUUCAAUCCUAAACUUCUUACUUCUUAAGCCUCAAUUGUUGUUAGGAUUUUGGAAAACCCAUUUCCUUAAAUUGUAAAUUUAAGAUAAAAUAAAAUAAAAGUGAGACAUUUCUUGAUUGAAUAUUGUUAAAGGUCCCUUGGCAUUAAGACUUGGUUGAAGCCUUGGAAGAUUAGUGGAACUCUCAACAUGUGUUUGAAUCUUGAGGAGAGUGGAUGUAAGCCAAAAUUUUGUCAAACCAUUAUACAAAUUGAGUUUGAAUCCUCAUUUCUUGAUUUCUUAUUUAUUUGCUUUUUCUUAUUAUUACUUGAAUUGUCAUUUGCAUUCAUUAAUGUUAAAAUUGGUUAUAAUUAACCAACACUAAUUCUCUUUCCCCUUCCCUUUCUUGGGUGUAAACCUAGGUUGGAUUAACUAGAUAAAUCUAUUAAGAUGGUAAAAGAAUAAUUAUUCUUAACAUACAUAAGAUCAUCUUCAAUCAAAUGACUCAUUGGCUAAUAUGUUGAAUUUGCUUAUUACUUGCAACUCAAAAUUGUGUUCUAGUUGUGUCAAGUCCCCAGUGUAUGGACAUUAAAUUUGUAGUACGUGAUGAGUAAUUAGAUGGUCCAACUCCAAGAAAGUGAUUGAAAAGUAGUUCAAGAAAGGUGCAAAAGGGAAUUGUUUUGGUAUUUUCGUUUUUAUUCUUGAAGGUGGCAGAGCUAAAAUUUGAGAAAUCAAGCAAAACAUACUGAAAUUACAUUGAAAGAAAGAAGAUGGGAGUUAAUGUCUUGCAGUACAUGAUAAGGACUUCAUGCAUGUAGUGUGACCCAUGUCUUGGACUGAUGCCAACUCACGGUUACACUUAUACCCUUGGUUCUCUCUUUACUACCUUGGCUAACCUAGAUCAGGCUAUGAGAUAGGCUCCUCACCACACCAUUACUUGCCCAUUAAUUAGAGACAUUUUCAAGCAAUGAGGUAACAUGGUGACACCAAGAGGGUCUAUUCCUCGCCCGGAACAAGUCUAGACUUGGUCUCAAAAAAAUGGAGAAAAAUGAGGUGUCGUUAUGUAGAAAUACAACAACCAUGCCUUCCUCAUUACUUAGAUUCAGAAUGUGAAGGUGAAAUUGAGAAACAGAAACUCUUGAAACCAAAAUGAAAAUUGAUACUUUUACGAAGAAUUACAACAACAUUAGAGGAAGACUACAUUCUUCCUCUUUAUUCCUACAUUUCUACACUACUUCUACUCCACUCCAUAUUUCUACAUACAUCUUUAAUCAGUCUUCCCUCCUUUAUAUAGAGCCAUCUUCACACAAAUUUCGCAAGGUAGAAAAGAGGAAUGAAACUUGGAGCAAGGUUCGACUACUGGUUGUAGCUUGUCAAGGCUGGAAGUGAACUUUUCUUGGCUUUCUGGGCAUGGGUAGUAACUUGUGGGUUCCUGUUUGGCAUAAAAAUGGCUAGAACAUGUGGCACUAUCUUGUUGGAUGAUGUGUCAAGCAUGUGGCAGCCAUCUAGUGGCGAUUAUGUCAAUUUUGGGAUGGAGAGUUGGCAUCCAAUUGCAAAGAAAUAUGACGUCUACCAACAUGCAAUGUAAACCUAUGUAGAUCAUAUGAAGAUAGAGAGGAAAAAUAUAGAAAUGGAUAUAUACCUAGAACUAGCUUUUUAUUAAAUGAAACGGAGAGACAACAAUGAAGGAAAAUAAAAUUUUUUGGCUUAUAUCAAAGAGUUCACAUUGUGUUACCCUAGGUUUUCUUAAAACUUACUUUUAUGAUAACAAAAAAGAAAAAACCAUUAUUGUUUAAUCCUUUGUUUUAAACGCAUGUAAGGUGUAAUUAAGUUAGUUCAAUGCAUUAAUUUAAGAAACUUGACCUAUCAAAAGUACAAAAUUAGAUGAAAUCCAUUUCAAUGGUUAAAAUGAUCAAAAUCAAACUUUUUCUAAGUAUUUUUUAAAAGCAUCAAUAGUGAAAGACAAUUUUAUAUUUAGUCGGAGUUUGGACAAAACUGAAAAACACACAAAAUCCAAGCGACCAUCUCUAGCUUGGAUGGUCGCUUGAUCCCACCUAGAGAUGUGCAUGAGUAAAAGGAUUUGAAAAUGGAAAUUGACUAUGUAGUCGAUCAAUUAACUUUGCAACAUCAUAUGCAAUCCUAAUUGCUAGUCAUCUAAUCAAUUAGGUAGUCAAUCAACAGGCCAAAAAUAUGUUUAUAAUGACUAUUUUGUACAAAAACCACCUGUAUAGUUAAAUAUAAUGCAUUUCAUUUAUAAAUCUUCUAAUUCUUGAAUAACGAUCCUAUCAUCCUUUGAAAGUUUUUAUUACACUUUUUUUACUUUUGUUCUAAAACUUACACAUCACCCUUAAUUGUACCAUGAGAACCUAGCUAUUUUUUAUUUUUUUUUUUGUAAUUCAUCAAAGUUAGCUUUUGUAUUCAUUGUUGUAUUAUUUUUAGUAUAACUUAGAAAGCUAGUGUUUUCAAGUGAGUAAAAUUAACUUGUAAAUAUUGUAAAGAUUCAUCGACAUGUAUCUUAAACUAAGUGUACAAGUUAAAACAUUUGCUAGUAGAUUUUCUCAAAAUUUAGAAUAGAGCUUGAGACUAUUGAAAUAGGUGGGGUUGCACCAAACCACAUCACAUCGUUGUUUGCACCUUUUUUCACUCUCUUUUACUUAGUUGCUCUAUAUUUGUUGUCUAGUAAUAUCCUAUAGGCUUGAUGGGUUAGGGAGCAUCCCUUUGUGAAAAAAUUUUAUUCAAUCCUUAGUUGUAUCACGCAUAUAUAAAAUGCCUCAUUGUUUUAAUGGUAUUCAGUCGUGGCAUCACAGAUAUGGGCAUCUAAAUUUUAAAAGUUUGAAACUUUUAUCUAAAGAAAAUAUGGUGCUUUGCCUUUUUGUAAAGCAUGUUGAUGAAAUCCAUGAGAAUUGUGUACUUGGGAAGCAACACCGAGAUGACUUUUUUUUUUUUUUUAUAAUAUUGUUUGUCCAAAUUCCCUACAAAUUAGGCCACCAGAUGUUCAUAAUUCUCCCUUCUUGAAUUUGAAAACUCGGACAAUUGGACAAUGCGACACCUAAGUCCGGUUUCUAAAUGCUAAAGUGAAAGGGUAGGUAUGGACCAUUGAAAUGUGAUCACAACUUUUCUCUGUAGCCAUGUUGUCUCUUUUUUCUUUUGCAUGAUUUUCUUACCUUAACAGAAUCAUAGACUUGUUUAGUCUCUAAAUGGGAUUAAUUUCAUCCAGCUUUAAGCUACUAUAUUAUAUCUAGGUGGAGGACUUUUAAGAGUGCAACCGACAUAGAGCACAUGGAAGUGGGUAUAUGGGACAUGAAAUUUCUUCUUAUAAAGAUUGCAUGAUUUUUAUAUUAGAGUUGUUGAGGCGCUAUGUAUUUAGCUUGUUUUGCAGUUAAAUUAAUUGGAUAAGUAGACAUUGGCGUUUCUAAAUCUACUGUGAAGUGCUUCAUGUACGUGUGAAGUAUUAGAAAUUUCUUUCUUGGCAACUUGUUUUUCUUUGCGGUCUACUGAUAGGUUUGACUAAAAUUAUAUUCCCUGUCAUGCUAAUUAAUUUUCACGUGCAUGCUCAAAAGAAAAGUAUGACCUUAGUGCACCAAAAUCACUUUGAUUAAUUUGUGAUAGGUUUUUGUGCAUCAUGACAUUAGCCUUAUUCAUUUAGAUAAUGUUUAGUUUUUAGAAAGUAUUAAGAAAAGGAAAAUAAAUAUUAAGAAAAAUAUUCUUAUAUUUGAUUGUAUUAUGAAAAAUAUCAUAAAAAAAUCAAAUAUAAUUUAAAUUAAUUAAUAAUUUAUACAUUUUCAAAUUAUUUAAUCUUUAUAUUGAAGAUAUAAUAUAAAUGAAAUGAGUUUUAAGUAUUAUAUAAAAGUGAUUUAUUGAUCUUACAUAUAUAUAUUUCUUUUUUUUUUCCUUCUAUUUUUUCUCUUUAUUUUAUUUUCCUUAUGUUUUCCUCAACAUUUUCCGGAACCAAACAUAGCCUUAGGAAAUCCACAAUUACCUUCAACUGAGUAGAUUCUGUUGUUUUAGCAAUGUUAGGCUGCUAACUUGUGUUGGUACGAACCUAUUAAGCCUAAAGAUGUAAUUAGUUAGGAUAUUCUUUUCCCUCUAGUCUUGUAGCUCCACGUGUACAGUUGGUUAGGACCUCAUUGUAUAUAAUGCUUGCCCUGUUAUUGUAGAAGACAACAAAGAUAAAUAAUAUUAACAUUUUUCCUCUCAUCUCUCUCUGUUUCCCUCUGUUUUCAUCUCCUCUCUCAUCUUGGUAUCAGAGCCUCCAUGGCUUCUUUCAAAGAAACCUCCGAAUCACCUUCUGCUAGCAUUGUUAAUGUGCAAAACCCAUUAUCUCAAUCAAACAACCUUCCUUCACCAGUAGCCACACCCUCUUUUUCUUUCUCGUCUAUGAAUCAACCUCUCACAGUGAAGCUGGAUAAUGGGAACUACCUCAUAUGGAAGAAUUAGCUUCUAAAUGUCAUCAUUGCUAACGGACUCGAUGAUUUCAUUGACGGAUCUCGACCCUGCCCUCCUCGAUUUCUCGAUCUGCAACAACAAACCCUCAAUCCAGAGUACUCAGCUUGGCAGAGAUACAAUCGACUUCUGAUGAGUUGGCUGUACGCAUCCUUGUCCAAAGAUAUAAUGGCUCAGAUUGUUGGGUAUUCAACAGCUAUGGAGAUUUGGAAUGCCCUUAAUCAGAUUUACUCUGCCUCUUCUAUGGCGCGGUUUACUGAGCUUCGCACCAAGCUUCAAACGCUCAAGAAAGAUGGACUCUCAGUUGGUGAAUAUAUUCAAAGGCUCAAAUCCAUUUGCAAUAGUCUUGCAGCAAUAGGAGAACCAGUUUCUGAGAAAGACCAUCUUAUCUAUUUGUUCAAUGGAUUAGAUUGUGAGUAUUAUUCUUUUGUUACCUCCAUUCAAAAUCGAUCUGACCAACCAACUAUUGACAAAAUCCAUAGCCUAUUGCUUAGCUAUGACUUCCGGCUUGAACAACAAAACUCUGUUUCUCUCCAUUCUGCCCAAGUCCAUAUGGCUCAUCUGAACAAGAAACCUUAUAAAUCAACUCCUCAACCUACAUUCAAUCAUAUUCACAUUCAACCUAGAUACUCUUCUCCACCUUUUAAGCCAACCACUAGUCAAUAUCAACCCAACAUUUUGGGCAAACCACAACCACAACCAUGACAGCCUCAACCUCAAUGGAAACCACAUUUUUCAAUCUAAAAUCAAAAGCCUCAGCGCCAAAUUUGUGGUAAAUUUGGACACACUGCUCUUAUUUGCUUCCAUCACACAAAUUUGAACUAUUCACCCCAACCUUCUCCUAAAUCUUUCAAUACUGUUCUCACCACAAAUUCCCAGCUCCCUAAUCCUCCAAAAUUUUCUUACCCUACAAUGGCUCAUCCUGCUGCUACGCAUAACACGGUUCCCGAUACAAAUUGGUACAUGGACUCAGGUGCUACACAUCACUUUACUCUGGACAUCAACGUGCUUGACACUGUGACACCAUUUAGUGGUUCAGAACAGGUGACAGUUGGGAAUGGUAAGCAACUCUGUAUCUCACAUCUUGGUACUGCAAAACUACCAUCUUCGUAUUCUCCUCCUGUUCUACAUCAGGUAUAUCACACUCCAAAAAUUUCAAAUAAUCUUAUUAGUGUUAAAAAAUUGUGUUCUGAUAAUAAAGUUUUUGUUGAAUUUUAUGCCACUCAUUUUCUUGUCAAGGAUCAGGUUUCGAAGAGAGUUCUCCUUUAGGGUCAACUUGAUAAUGGCUUAUACAAAGUUCAGUCGUCAUGCUCUCCUUCUGCUGUUUCCUUUCCUCCUCAAGUUUUCAUAGCCAACAUCAAGUAUCCAAAUCUGUGGCACAAGAGACUAGGCCACCCAGCUUUAUCUGUUGUUAAUCAAAUCUUGGAUUCUUGUAACAUUGCUCGAACACAGAAAAUUUGUUUUAAUUUUUUAAAUUCUUGUCAAUUAGCAAAGAGCCACAGGCUUCCUUUUUCUCUGUCUCCAUCCAUUGCAGAAAAACCUUUUGAGUUAAUUCAUACAGACCUAUGGGGUCUUUCGCUCGUUCGCUCUAUUUCUGGUGCUCUUUAUUUUUUACUUUUCAUUGAUGAUCAUACUCGUUUUACUUGGUUUUAUUUGCUCAAAACAAAAGAUGAAGCAUAUCCUACUUUUCUCAAGUUUCAAGCUCUCAUUGAAAAUCAAUUUAAUACCAAGAUUAAGGCUGUCCAAUCUGAUUGGGGAGGUGAGUUUCGAUCUCUCUCCAUACCGUUUUCAAAUAUGGGCAUUGUCUAUUGUUUAUCGUGUCCAUACACCUCACAACAGAAUGGGCGAGUUGAGCGAAAAAAUCGCCAUGCGAUUGUCCUUUCUUGCUUGCUCUAUGCCCUUAUCUUAUUGGCCUUAUGCCUUUCAAACUGCCACUUACCUUAUUAAUCGUCUCUCUACCCCUGUGCUGCAUCAUCAAUCCUCUUACUUCGCACUCUAUCACAAACUCCCAACUUAUACUCAUCUUAAGGUCUUUGGUUCCUCUUGUUUUCCGUAUUUGCACCCUUAUAAUACCCAUAAACUCCAAUACAGGUCACUAGAGUGUGCUUUUCUUGGUUACAGUUCACACCACAAAGGUUAUCUAUGUCUUGACAUUCAUUCUAGCAGGGUGUAUAUUUCUCGCCAUGUGAUUUUUAAUGAAGAUUCUUUUCCAUUCAAGAAUUUGAAAUCUUCUCUCUCUCAGUCUAUUUCUUCUUCCUCUUCUUUAUAAGUUCCUCUGUUCAUUCUCUUGCCUCCCCUUUCCCCAUCUCCUCUUAUUUCUUCAUCUAUACCUCAUUCUUUUCCCUCUUCUUCUUCUACCUCUAGUACUUGUUCCCCUCUCGUUGCUCCUACCUCUCUUCCUUCCUCUUCACACUCUGUGUCUCCAUCUAUUCCACCUCCUUCUCCACCUUCUCCGAGUGUGGACCUGCUUGCACCUUGUGUGAAUACAAAUUUACAUACUUCUUCUCGCACUCACAAUAUUCAUCCUAUGGUGACUAGAUCUAAGGUUUGUAUCUAUAAACCUAAGUUGUUGUUGAGUGUCUCCAUAGGUUCUCUCACUAAGCCUACUUCCUUUCUUCAAGCUAUUAAAGAUCCUUCAUGGAAGCAAUCCAUGGAAUUCGAGUUUGCUACCCUUCAACACAACAAGACCUGGCAUUUGGUUCCUUCACCUUCCUCAGGCGAAGUAAUCGGUUGUAAAUGGGUCUAUAAGCUAAAGCUUCAGCCUGAUGGCUAAAUUGAGAGAUACAGCCUGCUUAGUAGCUAAGGGUAUCAUCAAAUUGAAGUAUGGACUACUUCGAAACAUUCAGCCUGAUNNNNNNNNNNNNNNNNNNNNNNNNNNNNNNNNNNNNNNNNNNNNNNNNNNNNNNNNNNNNNNNNNNNNNNNNNNNNNNNNNNNNNNNNNNNNNNNNNNNNAGCUUCAGCCUGAUGGCUAAAUUGAGAGAUACAAGGCCUGCUUAGUAGCUAAGGGUUAUCAUCAAAUUGAAGGUAUUGACUACUUCGAAACAUUCAGCCUGAUUGUCAAGCUUUCUACUAUCUGUAUUGUGCUCAGUCUUACUUUUUCCCAGAAUUGGUGUAUUAGACAGCUGGAUGUUCAUAAUGCCUUCUUACAUGGUGACUUAGCUAAAGACGUUUUCAUGGAACAACUGCCUGGAUUUGUUGAUCCUCUCUAUCCUACUCAUGUCUGCAAGUUGGAUAAGUCUCUCUACUGUCUUAAAUAGUCACCUCGGGCUUGGUAUACUAAGCUGAGUACUUCUCGCUACACUUGGGAUUUGUUACUUCUAAGAAUGACUCUUCCUUAUUUAUUUGUCAUUCGUCUCAUGGGUUACUUCUUGUUCUUGUCUAUGUGGAUGAUAUAAUCGUCAUUGGGAGCCACUCUCCUCAGGUUACUCACCUUAUCCAACAGUUGCAUCAUUAGCUUUCUUUAAAGGAUCUUGGUCCUUUACAUUAUUUUCUGGGCUUGGAGGUUCAUCACACCCCUACUGGUAUUCACCUCAGCCAAGCAAAGUAUAUCACUGAUCUCCUUACCCGGGCGGCUAUGUUGGAUGCCAAGCCAUGUCCCACUCCUAUGUCCUCCAACACAUAUCUCUCUUUUCAUGAUGGAGUGGCUCUUGAAAAUGGUUCAGAUUAUCGAAGUUUUGUUGGUGCCCUUUAGUAUUGUACCAUGACACGCCCAGAUAUAGCUUUUGCAAUAAAUAAAGUGUGUCAAUUCAUGCACCAUCCCUCUAAUGUUCACUGGCAGGCUAUAAAACGUAUUCUCCGGUACUUAAAGGGCACAUCUCAUUUUGGUCUCUUCCUACAGCCUUCCUAUGACUUCAACAUCACUUGCUAUACAAAUGCCGACUGGGCUUCCUGUCCUGAUGACAAGUGUAGCACCAGUGGCUACUGCCUCUUUCUUGCCUCUAAUCUGGUUUCUUGGUCAUCUUCCAAACAAAAAGUGGUCUCCCGCUCCAGCGCCGAAUCAGAGUACCGAGGGGUAGCAAAUGGGGCUGCUGAAAUUGCUUGGACUGAAUCUCUUCUUUGUGAACUUUCCAUUACUCCCCCUCCCCUCAUUCUCUGUGACAAUAUCAGUGCCACGUACUUAGCUGCCAAUCCUAUUUUGCAUGCCCGCACCAAACAUGUGGAAAUCGACUAUCACUUUGUCACGGAACGUGUUCUUCAAUGCUCUCUUUUUGUCCAGUUUACACCUUCUGAUGAUCAACUUGCUGAUUGCAUGACCAAGCCUCUCUCCACCCAACGUUUCAUCACUCUACGCUCCAAGCUCACUGUUCUCACUAGACCAAUGAGCUUGAGGGGGGAUGUUAAGCCUAAAGAUGUAAUUAGUUAGGAUAUUCUUUUCCCUCUAGUCUUGUAGCUCCACGUGUACAGUUGGUUAGGACCUCAUUGUAUAUAAUGCCUGCCCUGUUAUUGUAGAAGACAACAGAGAUAAAUAAUAUUAACAUUUUUCCUCUCAUCUCUCUCUCUGUUUCCCUCUGUUUUCAUCUCCUCUCUCAUCUGAACCAAAUGAUCCAUGUUAACCUUGGCUUGGUUUGAUUUGGCUCUAUCUUAGAGAGCUCAAGGAUCACGUCAACUCUGGUUUCUACUAUUCAGGUCCAUUCCCAUAUGAACUGGUUCAAAUUUGAGAAAAUGGUAACAGACCUUUAGUGAUGUUGGUUUGGAGCCAGUUGCCAAACCCGCCCUGAGCUUUACCACUAAUGUCAAGGGAGAAAGCCAUUUGAACAAAAACAAUAGCUUCAAGGGACUGAAUCGUGGAUGAAAUCUGAUCCACAUUUCUUCUCAUUUUGGAAACAAAUGAGAACUUAACUAAGAAGAUUCUACGGCCUCAUAGUGCUUUUCCUGAUCUAAGGUUGGUUCGUUUCCCAAACUGUGAGAUGCACGUGCCAGACUUCAGAACUCUCACGCUCAGGAGUGUAUCCACGUGGUGGACAUAAGAUGGUGGCUUAAGAUCUGGUGUCGGUGGCUUUACUUUACUAGGAGAGUAGUGUGUCUUCAUCUCAUUCACUGCCGGAGGGUGGCGUAAGCAGUGACGCUAAGGUGGGGCACAGUCAAUAUCAUUUGCAUUUGACCAUUAUAGUUUUCUCCCGGCUUUAAAGUAACCUUAUCGUGAUAAAGGAUUACUAGCACUAGUUCAGAUGAUAGUCAUGUUAAAUUCGGACCAUGUUUGUGUCACAUUAUCAGCAACCAUGUGUUUAUGGUUCAUGCUUUCUGCAACUAAAAUUGAUAUAUAACCAGGUGAACUUCAAUCUAAAUUCUGAAAGUACUCAUGUGAUAGAUGGUGCCCGUCUGCAGAGUCCAUCAAUUGAAAAAUGGAGUGAGUGUAUCUAUAAGAGGGAAGGCUUGGAAAAUGUUCAGUUUUCUGGGAAUUCAACAAGGAUCUAAAAUAGAUUGUUUUCUUUGCUGAUUUCAAUGGUUGAAAUUUGAGAAGAUUGUGUCCACAUAACACAACUAUUACUGGUCCUUCUGUUGCAAUUUAUCCUCUAAAGCUCUAGCAUGUCUUCCAAUUCCCACUUCCCUGUUACUCCAGGAAAGCUAUUUCUGUCAUUGUGAAGAAGAAAAGAGAAUGUACAUAUCGAUGCUUUUAAGUGACUGGAGCAUUUAUAUCAGGUGGUCUGCAGCCAUAUAUGCCACUUUGUGAAGAUUGGAACAGUCAAUCACUAGGCUAUAUAUUAGUGUGGCCCAGCCACUUUAAUCAAGGACAAGUCUUCAUACUUAAAGUCAAAUUCUGCCUUUAGUCUCAUUAUAAAUUUCUGUUUAAAUAUUAAGCAAACAUUUGUUUAAUGCGAUUAAGACAGUACUAACUCAAUACCUGUUCUAUUUUUGGAUGCAAAUGCUUGAUGGUUUCAUCAUUGGAUGGGAUAAAGGUGCAUUCAUGAUUAGGAAUACUAGUAGUUAUAUUUUAAUUCUCUUUUUUCUCAAUGAGACUUGUUGGCACAAUUUUGCUGUUGAGAAACCUACCUCUCCAUGGAAAAUAAGUUGUGAUUGAUAGUACUGGAUAUAUUCAAGAAAUCUAAAUAUAGAUAGCACAAAAUAUUAUCGACAUAAAUAGCAUUAACAGCGUACGUAUGUCUCAGUGCUCAUCAGCUAUAAGCAUGGGGCAAACACUUACUAUGAGCAACUUACGUCAAAAUUCCAGAAUAGGACAUAGAAGUGACAGAUAUAGAACAUUGCAUAUGAGUCACAAGAAAGGAAAUUACGGGUGCAUAGCAGCUCUUAUUUUACAUACUACUACUCAUACUGAUCAAAGUCACUCAGUUGGGAUGGGUGGGAGUAGGAGGUUUGUGGGGUGGCUUGUGCGGAGGAGUUGGCAGCUUCUUUCCAGGACCUGGUUGCUUCUCUGCUGGAGUUGAAGGAGGCUUAAUCUUCCGAGGUGGCUUGUAUGAGUCUUCAGCAUUCUCAGCUGGAGGGUGACCAGGGUUGUGACCAUAAUGUGGUGGCUUCUCUCCCUUAGGUGGUUUGCCAACUGGGGUUGGUGGCUUGUAUGAGUCUUCAGCAUUCUCAGCAGGAGGGUGACCAGGGUUGUGACCAUAAUGUGGUGGCUUCUCUCCCUUAGGUGGUUUGCCAACUGGGGUUGGUGGCUUGUGUUCUGGGAGUGGCUUCUCCCCCUUGGGAGGUUUUUCCAAUGGGGUUGGUUUGUGUUCAGGAGGUGGCUUCUCCACUGGAGGCUUGUGUUCAGGAGGUGGCUUCUCCACCGGAGGCUUGUGUUCAGGUGGUGGCUUCUCCACCGGAGGCUUAUGCUCUGGUGGUGGCUUCUCGAAUGGGGGAUGCUUAGGAUAAUCAGCAAGUGAGGGGGCGGUGAGAACCACCAGGCCAAGCAACACCACUAGCAAAUAUGUAGGAGACAUCUUUGGGUUUGGGCUCAGAUGGUGCAAAACUAGGAGAAUUGGCUAGCCUUUUAUAGCGGAUCGUACCCAAUAAUGAAAUGACACGUGUCAUUAUGACCCAUGUGUAAUGGGGUCGAUUUGGGUCCUACAGUGUUGAAAACUUCGACAUCCACUUUUGGCCUUUUGCUUUCUCUACAGCCGCCUUGCUUUUUCCCUCUUUCCUUUUGUUUUCCUCCUGCCCCAUUCUAUCAACUAAACACAAUUAUGUAGUUGUUUAAUUCUUAAAUGAGAUAUUAUCCGUCAAUCGUAUUAUAUUUUAUCAAGAGAGAACGGAGUGCAAUGUGGCUGUAAUUUUAUCGUUUAGUUUUAUCUCUUGGACCACUGCAUUUUUGUUAAGAGGUGCAAUAAUACACGUCUUUAUCUGCCAUUCAAUAUUUACAGUAAAGAGAGGGCACAAAACUCUUCACUUCGCACCAUAAUUAUUUUGUUUUCUGGACACCCCGGGGCCCUUUGGUUGGUUUGGGGGUCAGAAAGUGAACAUCAUAGGGGGUUUUUCCCUUAUGUGCAUUUGUAUCUGAUGGCUUUAACUCGCCUUGUUACUACAAAGAAACUGUCACAGAUAGGAACUUAUUCCAGGCUGAGUAUCUCCUCAUAGACCCUAUAAAAGAAGACAAGUCAUAAUGAACAUCUAACCUUUGUUCAAUUUGAUUCAAUGCCCCCAUUGUGUCCAUCUCACAAAUCUGAAUUAUUAUAUCCAUUGAAUACAUAAAUUAAUGAAGAAAAUAUGAAACCCAAGAUACAUCUCUGCACAACCUCAACCCUGGUUGCUAUGUUUCCCUUCUAUUCACAUGAUUUGAUGCUAAUUGCCAAACUUGCAACAAGCCCUGAGUUUGACACCUAGUAUCGAUGGGCGAAUUUAAAGUCUCCUCCAAACAUAUAUUCCACAGCUUGAAGCUCACAGAAGAUGUUACAGGCAGGGAAAAACCUUCAGAGUUCGCUACCAAAGAUAAUUAUUAAGGAGAUAUCACAAAGAGAAUUCCAAGGGGUCUGAAUCAAAGACAAAUUGGUCGUUCGUGGGGGUUCUUACUUUCUUUUGGGUAUAACUCACUGAGGGCACUGUCUUUGUUAUUUGCAUUUCACAUUUAGAGUUCUGUUCUGGAAACAUAUAAAAGGAGCAUCAUUUUGUUCUUGGGUAACCCAUAGUCGUGAGUGGGUCCAUUUGCAUGCUACUUAGUUGAAAAGUUGGACCAUUUGCUCCGACGCCUACCUCCCGGAUUCCAUGCUCGGAUAAAACAAGAAUAAAAAAAAUAUUUAUAAUUUACAAAUGGGGGAAAGAAAAAAAUGUCAACAACAAACCAGGAAAAAAGAGUAGUAAAAUUCAUGUCACAUGCUAGUGAGAGAAGGGGUUGUUACACUCACUCGAAGUUCUUUCCAAAAUAUCGCAUGGUAUUUUAUUUUAUGUGUCAGCGCAGUUGUGAAUGGAACGUGCAAAAGUCCAAAUUGGCGUUUUUCCUUUUCCCGUGUAGGAUGGCGACCUUUAAUAAAUAUUUAAAACAAAAAACGAAAAAAAGGAGGGAAAAGGGAUCAGAAAAGAUAAAACAAUGUGUACAAGAGCUCAAUUAGUUUGCAAAUUACUGUUUGGAUUUUGAUAGUAUUUUAUUUGUCCAUCUAUAUUUGAUGGAAAAGAGAAUUUAAGAUAUUUCUGAAACAAAAGCAUUAGUGUAAAACUAAAUUAAGGUAUAAUUAAGUUAGUUCAAUGCAUUAAUUUAAGAAACUUGAUCUAUCCAAAGUACAAAAUUAGAUGAAAUCCAUUUCAAUGGUUAAAAUGAUCAAAAUCAAACUUUUUCUAAGUAUUUUUUAAAAGCAUCAAUAUUAAAAGACAAUUUUAUAUUUAGUCGGAGUUUGGACAAAACCAAAAAGCACACAAAAUCCAAGCGACCAUCUCUAGCUUGGAUAGUCACUUGAUCCCACCUAGAGAUGUGCAUGAGUAAAAGGAUUUGAAAAUGGAAAUUGACUAAAUAUUUAGUUGAUCAAUUAAAUUUGCAAUGUCAUAUGCAAUCCUAAUAGCUAGUCAUCUAAUCAAUUAGGUAGUCAAUCAAGUGUUUGUAAUGACUAUUUUGUACAAAAAACCACAUGUAUAGUUAAAUAUAAUGCAUUUCAUUUAUAAAUCUUCUAAUUCUUGAAUAACGAUCCUAUCAUCCUUUGAAAAUUUUUAUUACACCUUUUUUACUUUUGUUCUAAAACUUACAUAUCACCCUUAAUUGUACCAUGAGAACCUAGCUAUUUUUUUUUUUUUUGUAAUUCAUCAAAGUUAGCUUUUGUAUUCAUUGUUGUAUUAUUUUUAGUAUAACUUAGAAAGCUAGUGUUUUCAAGUGAGUAAAAUUAACUUGUAAAUAUUGUAAAGAUUCAUUGAUAUGUAUCUUAAACUAAGUGUACAAAUUAAAACAUUUGCUAGUAGAUUUUCUCAAAAUUUAGAAUAGAGCUUGAGGCUAUUGAAAUAGGUGGGGUUACACCAAACCACAUCACAUCGUUGUUUGCACCUUUUUUCACUCUCUUUUACUUAGUUUCUCUAUAUUUGUUGUCUAGUAAUAUCCUAUAGGCUUGAUGGGUUAGGGAGCAUCCCUUUGUGAAAAAAUUUCAUUCAAUUCUUAGUUGUAUUACGCAUAUAUAAAAUGCCUCAUUGUUUUAAUGGUAUUCAGUCGUGGCAUCACAGAUAUGGGCAUCUAAAUUUUAAAAGUUUGAAACUUUUGUAAAGCAUGUUGAUAAAAUCCAUGAGAGUUGUGUACUUGGGAAGCAACAUCGAGGUGACUUUAUUUUUUUUUCCUUUUAUAAUGCCACACCUAAGUCCGGUUUCUAAAUGCUAAAGUGAAAGGGUAGGUAUGGACCAUUGAAAUGUGAUCACAACUUUUGGCCUUUUCCUUUCUCUGCAGCCAUGUUGUCUCUUUUUUCUUUUGCAUGAUUUUCUUACCAAAACAGAAUCAUAGACUUGUUUAGUCUCUAAGCUACUAUAUUAUAUCUCGGUGGACUUUUAAGAGUGCAACCGACAUAGAGCACAUGCAAGUGGGCAUAUGGGACAUGAAAUUUCUUCUUACAAAGAUUGCAUGAUUUUUAUAUUAGAGUUGUUCACGUGCAAUGUAUUUAGCUUGUUUUGCAGUUAAAUUAAUUGGAUAAGUAAACAUUGGCAUUUCUAAAUCGACUGUGAAGUGCUUCAUGUACGUGUAAAGUAUUAGAAAUUUCUUUCUUGGCAACUUGUUUUUUCCUUGCCAUCUACUGGUAGGUUUGACUAAAAUUAUAUUCCCUGUCAUGCUAAUUAAUUUUCAUGUGCAUGCUCAAAAGAAGAGUAUGACCUUAGUGCACCAAAAUCACUUUGAUUAAUUUGUGAUAGGUUUUUUUGCAUCAUUUAGAUAAUGUUUAGUUCUAAGAAAAAUUUAUAUAAAAAUGGUUUAUUUAUCUUACAUAUAUAUAUAUAUAUAUAUAUUUUUUUUUUUUUCAUUUUUUUUUCUUCUAUUUUAUUUAUUUAUUUUAUUUUCCUUAUGUUUUCCUCACAUUUUCCGGAACUAAACAUAGUCUUACGAAAUCAACAAUUGCCUUCAACUGAGUAGAUUCUGUUGUUUUAGCAAUGUUAGGCUGCUAACUUGUGGUGGUACGAACCAAAUGACCCAUGUUAAUCUUGGCUUGGUUUGAUUUGGCUCUAUCUCAGAGAGCUAAAGGAUCACGUCAACUCUGGUUUCUACUAUUCAGGUCCAUUCCCAGAUGAACUGGUUCAAAUUUGAGAAAAUGGUAACAGACCUUUAGUGAUGUUGGUUUGGAGCCAGUUGCCAAACCCGCCCUGAGCUUUACCACUAAUGUCAAGGGAGAAAGCCAUUUGAACAAAAACAAUAGCUUCAAGAGACUGAAUCGUGGAUGAAAUCUGAUCCACAUUUCUUCUCAUUUUGGGAAAAAAUGAGAACUUAACUACAAAGAUUCUACUGCCUCAUUCAUAGUGCUUUUCCUGAUCCAAGGUUGGUUCGUUUCCCAAAUUGUGAGGUGCACGUGCCACUCUCACGCUCAGGAGUGUAUCCACGUGGUGGACAUCAGAUGGUGGCUUAAUAUCUGGUGUCGGUGGCUUUACUUUACUAGGAGAGUAGUGUGUCUUCAUCUCAUUCACUGCCGGAGGGUGGCGUAAGCAGUGACGCUAAGGUGGGGCACAGUCAAUAUCAUUUGCAUUUGACCAUUAUAGUUUUCUCCCGGCUUGAAAGUAACCUUAUCGUGAUAAAGGAUUACUAGCACUAGUUCAGAUGACCGUCAUGUUAAUUCGGACCAUGUUUGUGUCACAUUAUCAGCAACCAUGUGUUUAUGGUUCAUGCUAUCUGCAACUAAACUUGAUAUAUAACCAGGUGAACUUCAAUCAAAAUUCUGGAAGUACUCUUGUGAUAGAUGGUGCCUGUCUGCAGAGUCCAUCAAUUGAAAAAUGGAGUGAGUGUAUCUAUAAGAGGGAAGGCUUGGCAAAUGUUCAGUUUUCUGGGAAUUCAACAAGGAUCUAAAAUAGAUUGUUUUCUUUGCCGACUUCAAUGGUUGAAAUUUGAGAAGAUUGUGUCCACAUAUCACAACUAUUACUGGUCCUUCUGUUGCAAUUUAUCCUGUAAGGCUCUAACAUGUCUUCCAAUUCCCACUUCCCUGUUACUCCAGGAAAGCUAUUUCUGUCAUUGUGAAGAAGAAAAGAGAAUGUACAUAUCGAUGCUUUUAAGUGACUGGAGCAUUCAUAUCAGGUGGUCUGCAGCCAUAUAUGCCACUUUGUGAAGGUUGGAACAGUCAAUCACUAGGCUAUAUAUUGGUGUGGCCCAGCCACUUCAAUCAAGGACAAGUCUUCAUACUUAAAGUCAAAUUCUGCCUUUAGUCUCAUUAUAAAUUGCUGUUUAAAUAUUAAGCAAACUUUUGUUUAAUGCGAUUAAGACAGUACUAACUCAAUACUUGUUCUAUUUUUGGAUGCAAAUGCUUGAUGGUUUCAUCAUUGGAUGGGAUAAAGGUGCAUUCAUGAUUAUGAAUACUUGUAGUUAUAUUUUCAUUCUCUUUUUUCUCAAUGAGACUUGUUGGCACAAUGUUGCUGUUCAGAAACCUACCUCUCCAUGGAAAAUAAGUUGCGAUUGAUAGUACUGGAUAUGUUCAAGAAAGCUAAAUAUAGAUAGCACAAAAUAUUAUCGAUAUAAAUAGCAUUAACAGCGUACGUAUGUCUCAAUGCUCAUCAGCUAUAAGCAUGGGACAAACACUUACUAUGAGCAACUUACGUCAAAAUUCCAGAAUAGGACAUAGAAGUGACAGAUCUAUAUAUAUAGAACACUGCAUAUGAGUCACAAGAAAGGAAAUUACGGGUGCAUAGCAGCUCUUAUUUUACAUACUACUACUCAUACUGAUCAAAGUCACUCAGUUGGGAUGGGUGGGAGUAGGAGGUUUGUGGGGUGGCUUGUGCGGAGGAGUUGGCAGCUUCUUUCCAGGACCUGGUUGCUUCUCUGCUGGAGUUGAAGGAGGCUUAAUCUUCCGAGGUGGCUUGUAUGAGUCUUCAGCAUUCUCAGCUGGAGGGUGACCAGGGUUGUGACCAUAAUGUGGUGGCUUCUCUCCCUUAGGUGGUUUGCCAACUGGGGUUGGUGGCUUGUAUGAGUCUUCAGCAUUCUCAGCAGGAGGGUGACCAGGGUUGUGACCAUAAUGUGGUGGCUUCUCUCCCUUAGGUGGUUUGCCAACUGGGGUUGGUGGCUUGUGUUCUGGGAGUGGCUUCUCCCCCUUGGGAGGUUUUUCCAAUGGGGUUGGUUUGUGUUCAGGAGGUGGCUUCUCCACUGGAGGCUUGUGUUCAGGAGGUGGCUUCUCCACCGGUGGCUUGUGUUCAGGAGGUGGCUUCUCCACCGGAGGCUUAUGCUCUGGUGGUGGCUUCUCCACCGGAGGCUUAUGCUCUGGUGGUGGCUUCUUGAAUGGGGGAUGCUGAGGGUAAUCAGCAAGUGAGGGGGCGGUGAGAACCACCAGGCCAAGCAACACCACUAGCAAAUAUGUAGGAGACAUCUUUGGGUUUGGGCUCAGAUGGUGCAAAACUAGGAGAAUUGGCUAGCCUUUUAUAGCGGAUCGUACUCAAUAAUGAAAUGACACGUGUCAUUAUGACCCAUGUGUAAUGGGGUCGAUUUGGGUCCUACAGUGUUGAAAACUUCGACAUCCAGUUUUGGCCUUUUGCUUUCUCUACAGCCGCCUUGCUUUUUCCCUCUUUCCUUUUGUUUUCCUCCUGCCCCAUUCUAUCAACUAAACACAAUUAUGUAGUUGUUUAAUUCUUAAAUGAGAUAUUAUCGGUCAAUCGUAUUAUAUUUUAUCAAGAGAGAACGGAGUGCAAUGCAGCUGUAAUUUUAUCGUUUACUUUUAUCUCUUGGACCACUGCAUUUUUGUUAAGAGGUGCAAUAAUACACGUCUUUAUCUGCCAUUCAAUGUUUACAGUAAAGAGAGGGCACAAAACUCUUCACUGCUCUGCAUGUGUCCCAAAAAUGCGAUUGGACAAAUUAUGAUUUGCAUGCUAAAAAGAGGCAAAUGAGGUUAAUUCGCACCAUAAUUAUUUGGUUUUCUGGACACCAUAAAAAGAUGUUAUACAGGCAGGGAAAAACCUUCAGAGUUAGCUACCAAAGAUAAUUAUCAAGCAGAUAUCACCAAGAGAAUUCCAUAGAGUCUGAAUCAAAGACAGAUUGCUCGCUCGUGGGGGUUCUUACUUUCUUUUGGGUAUAACUCACUGAGGUCACUGUCUUUUUUAUUUGCAUUUCACAGUUAGAGUUCUGCUCUGGAAGGUUUGUUCUGGAAACAUAUAAAAGGAGCAUCAUUUUGUUCUUGGGUAACCCAUAGUCGUGAGUGGGUCCAUUUGCAUGCUACUUAGUUGAAAAGUUGGACAAUUUGCUCCGACGCCUACCUCCUGGAUUCCAUGCUCGGUAAAACAAGAAUAAAAAAAAAUAUAUAAUUUACAAAUGGGGGAAAGAAAAAAUGUCGGAAAAAAUAGUAAAAUUCAUGUCACAUGCUAGUGAGAGAAGGGGUUGUUACACUCACUCGAAGUUCUUUUCAAAAUAUCGAAUGGUAUUUUACUUUAUGUGUCAGCGCAGUUGUGAAUGGAACGUGCAAAAGUCCAAAUUGGCGUUUUUAUUUUUCCCAUGUAGGAUGGUGACCUUUAAUAAAUAUUUAAAACAAAAGACGAAAAAAAAAAGGAGGGAAAAGGGAUCACAAAAGAUAAAAUAAUGUUUACAAAAGCUCAAUUAGUUUGCAAAUUACUGUUUGGAUUUUGAUAGUAUUUUAUUUGUCGUUCUAUAUUUGAUGUAAAAGAGAAUUUAAGAUAUUUCCGAAGCAAAAGCAUUAGUUUGCUCUGUGAUGUCCCACAUCGAAUAGGGGAGAAAGUUUCUGGCGCUAUAUAUGUAGAGGCUCCUCUUAACCAAGUAGAUGCGUUUUAAAACCAUGAGGGCCCCCUUAGGUCCAAAGCGGACAAUAUCUACAUGAUUGGGUGUAAGUCAUUACAAAUGGUAUCAGAGCCGAUCCCCGACCCCGGUGUGGGGGUUUGUUUGGCCCUGUAAGGGGUGUUUGUCUGUUUGACCCCACAAUCCCAUGGGACACAACGAGGACGUUGUGUCUGCAUGGGGGGGCGUUUGUGAUGUCCCACAUCGGAUAGGGGAGAAAGUUCCUAGUGCUAUAUAUGUAGAUGUUUCUCUUAACCAAGUAGAUGCAUUUUAAAAUUGUGAGGGCCUCUUUGGGCCCAAAGCGGACAAUAUCUACAUGGUUGAGUGUAAGUCAUUACAUGCUCCAUGUCAAUUUCAGCAUUUCUCAUAUGUUUCACACAUACACAGAAGAGCAUCGUUUUUUAAAGCAUGCAUUUAUGUUGGAUUAAUUUGGAUUUUGUGGGAACUGGGGCAAGGAUCACAUGGAAGAGAGGUUGACUUUUUUCAGUACUUCAAUGGUUGAAAUAUGUGAAGGCUUGAUUGAUACUAAAGCUUGAAAUUGCGACUCUGUCAUUUGUAAAAAAAUAUGACAGCUUCCAUGCUCUCGUUUGGUUGCAUUGUCCGGUCGAGAGGUGCAAAAAGCAUUCUCUCUCUUCUAAUAGUCUUUUCGUUUAAAUCAAGGGAUUUGCCUUCCCGGUCGAGGUCCAAUAGAGGGUAACGGUCACCUACUAAACAUUAAAUGCUCCAACAACUAGUGAACUGAUCGACCCCAGCUCGACUAGUUGAGGUUACUUUUUGGUUUUCUUGUCUCCCGAGGUUAGAAACCUAUAAAUAGAGAGCUUCACUUCAUUUAUGAGUAAGAGAACACCUAAAUUUAUUUGUUUACCUACUUGUUUUUGCCAUAAAAGCUCUCAUUUCUUUUCUUGGUGUAUUAAAUCUCCAUUUGCAUAUCCUUUAGUGCACCUUUGUGAUUCAUUCUAGCCUUGAGUUGUAUUUAAGCCUUUGUUGAGCUAGGUUGAGAGUUUCAUACUUGUUUAUUGAGUGUUAAAGCCUUCAAGUGAGUUAAAACUUGAAGAGAUUGUGUAAGAGCCCAUUGGAGUCGGAAUCCAAGUGUAAAGGUGAUUAAAAGCUUGGUUGAAGCUUCAAGUUAGUGGAACUCUCACUCGGUUAUGAGCUUGAGAAGAGUGGACAUAGACAAGGCAGUGUCGAACCACUAUAAAAUCUGAGUUUGAUUUCUCUAACCUUAUCUCUUUAUAUUUGCUUCUCUUGUGCUUAAAUUUUUUGUGUUUAAAAAGAAUUUUUAAAAACUCAAUUCACCCCCUUCUUGGGAGUUUUUCUCUUUUAAGAUCAGCUUUUAUUUUCUCAAUUGGUAUCAGAACUAUGCCUCUUGUUUAAGACUUAAUCGUCUAAGAGGAAAUGGCUAAUCCAUCAAGUUCAUCUCACAUUGAAAGUUUUGCAACCAAUAGACUUCUUUUUUUUUUUUUGCGGGAACUGAUUAUCCCUAUUGGAAAACUAAAAUGACUUGGUUUUUACAAUCAAUUGAUUUAGAUGUAUGAGAUGCCAUUGAAGAUGACCUAACUUUUCCUUCAAAACUAGUUGAUGGAGUCAUGGUUCCAAAACCUAAGCAAGAAUGGGAUGAGCGUGAUUGAAGAAAUUUUCAAUUAAAUGCUAAAGUCGUUUAUACUUUGCAAUGCUCUAUGGACAGAAAUGAAUAUAAUAGAAUAUGUCAAUGCAAAUCGGUUAAAGAAAUUUGGAGAUUGCUUGAAAUAACUCAUAAAGGAACAAAUCAAGUUAAAGAGUCAAAAAUCAAUUUACUUGUUCAUAGAUAUGAAUUGUUUUUUAUGAAAGAUAAUGAAACUAUUGUUAAGAUGAUCACUAGGUUCACCAACAUUGUUAAUGGUCUUAAAGCCUUGGGAAAGACCUACAAGGAAUCCGAAAACGUGAUGAAGAUCUUGAGGUCACUUCCAUCAAAGUGGCAUACCAAGGUCACCGCAAUUUAAGAAGCAAAAGACUUGAUCAAGCUACCUUUGGAGGAGUUCAUAGGGUCAUUGAUGACAUAUGAAAUCAAUUUGGCAAAGAAGUAACAAAAAGGUGAAGACAAAAAGAAGAAGAACAUAACUCUCAAAGCUACAACUAAGGAAGAAGAAGUUGAAGAAGAAAAACAAAUUGAAGAAGAUGAAGAUUUAGCCCUCAUCACAAGAAAGUUCAACAAAUUCAUGAGGGGUGAAAGGUUUAGAAGAAGAAGGUUCACUUCUAGAAGAGACUUUUCUAAAAAGGAAUCUUCAUCUAAUGGUGACAAAAAGAGAUGGGAAGAGAAAAGAGACUUGGUGUGUUUCAAGUGCAAGAAACCGGGACACAUUAAAUAUGAUUGUCCUCUCUACAAAAGUGAAGUCAAGAGGAAAAAGAAUAAGGCAAUGAUGGCCACUUAGAGUGAAAGUGAAGAUGAAUCAUCCGAAGAAGAAAAUGAGAAAGAAGUGGCAAACAUGUGUUUCAUGGCAAUAGAUGAACUUGAUGAGGUAAAAUCUAACCUUAGUGAUUAAGAUAUACAUGAUGCAUUUGAAGAAUUGUAUGAGGAUUUUUAAAAACUUAGUUUGAAAAAUAUUUCUCUUAAAAAGAAAGUUCAACAACUUGACAAAGAACUUAGAGAAGUAAAAGAAAAAUUUUCAAAUGUUAAAGUUUCUAAAACUCAUCUUGAAAAAGAAAAUGAGAUUCUAAGAAAGAAAAAUGAAUAGUUGAACUCCUCUCUUUCAAUCUUUUCUUCUAGACAAAAAUCUUUUGAAAUGAUUCUAACUAGCUAAAAAUGUGUUUUUGACAAACAAGGGUUAAGAUUUAAAUCUUCAAAAAAUCAAAAGUAUUUUAAAAACUAUUUUGUAAAGGAAUCCACAAGUGCAAGUCCUUCCACUACUUGCAACUUUUGUGGAAGAGAAUGGCACAUUAGUAGUACGCCCUUUAAGAAAUGGUUCUCAAAAGAAUUUAAAUGCAAAAACUAAAAAAGAUUUGGAUUGAGAAAUCCAAGGUCACUAACCCUCAAGGACCCAAAAAGAUAUAGGUACCUAAAUCAACUUGAGUUUUAUGUUGUAAGGUUCAAAGAAUGAUAAGUGGUUCUUAGAUAAUGGUUGCUCAAGACACAUGACCGGAGAUGAAUCCAAGUUUGCUUUUCUUAAAAAGAAAAAUGGAGGAUAUGUUACCUUUGGAGACAAUGCAAAAGAAAGGAUGAUUGGUCAAGGCAACAUUGGUAAUGGCACAUCCUCUCUCAUUGAAAGUGUUUUAUUAGUAGAUGGUUUCAAACAUAACCUUUUAAGCAUUAGUCAAUUUUGCGACAAAGGUUUUUAAGUGAUUUUUUAAGCAUCUCAUUGCAUCAUCAAGGAUAUUCAAAAUGAUAAAACCAUUUUCAUGGGCCAUAGAUGUGAUAAUGUUUAUGCUAUAAAUAUUUCAAAAUAUGAUGGCCAUGAUAGAUGUUUUUCAAGCAUGCAUGAUCAAAGUUGGUUGUGCCAUAGGAGAUUGAGACAUGCUAACAUAGACCUCAUUUCCCAACUCAACAAAGAUGAACUUGUUAGAGGCCUUCCCAAAAUAAUUUUUUAAAAAGAUAAAGUUUGUGAAGCUUGUCAAGUGGGAAAGUAAAUCAAAAACUCUUUUAAAAACAAAAACUUCAUUUCCACAUCUAGGCCACUUGAGUUGUUGCAUAUGGAUUUAUUUGGUCCCUCUAGGACACCAAGUCUUAGAGGAAAUUCUUAUGCAUAUGCUAUUGUGGACGACUUCUCUAGAUACACAUGAGUCUUGUUUUUUAGUCAAAAGAAUAAAGUUUUUUAUGAGUUUUCAAAGUUUUGCAAUAAGAUUCAAAAUGAAAAAGGUUUUUCAAUUACUUAUAUAAGAAGUGAUCAUGGGAGAGAAUUCGAAAAUAUUGAUUUUGAAGAGUAUUGCAAUGAGCAUGGAAUUGACCACAAUUUUUUGGCUCUUAGAACUCCUCAACAAAAUGGGGUAGUUGAAAGGAAAAAUAGAACUCUUCAAAAAAUGACAAGAACCAUACUAAAUGAAAACAACUUACCAAAAUAUUUUUAGGCCAAAACGGUUAACACUUCUUGUUAUGUUUUAAAUAGAGUAUUAUUGAGGCUCAUACUUAAGAAAACUCCCUAUGAGCUUUGGAAAAACAAAAAACCCAACAUUAGUUAUUCCAAAGUCUUUGGAUGCAAUAUUUUAUAAUAAACACCAAAGACAAUCUUGGAAAAUUUGAUGCAAAAUUGGAUGUUGGAAUUUUCCUUGGUUACUCAACUUCAAGUAAAGCUUUUCGAGUUUUAACAAAAGAACCAUGGUUGUAGAGGAGUCCAUCCAUGUUAUUUUUUAUGAAUCUCCAAGAAAGAGAGAGGAUUGAUGAUGAUUUAGGUUUGAAGACCUCUAUAGGAAGAUUGCAAAUCGAAGAUAGAAGACAACAAGAAGAAAAUGGAGAGAAUCCAAAGAAAGAAGGAUCACCAUUGGCACUACCCCCUCAUCAACAAGCGCAAGGUGAAUCAAGUCAAGAGCUUCCUAAAGAAUGGAAGUUUGUCAUCAAUCACCCACAAGAUCAAAUUAUAGGCAAUCCAUCUAGUGGGGUAAGAACUAGAUCCUCUCUUAGAAAUAUUUGCAAUAAUCUAGCUUUUAUCUCUCAAAUUGAGCCUAAAAAUAUAAAUGAUGUUUUAGAUGAUGAAAAUUGGAUAAUUGCAAUGCAAGAAGAGUUAAAUCCAUUUGAAAGAAGUGGAGUAUGGGAAUUAGUACCAAGACCUUCAAAUCAAAGUGUUAUUGGAACUAGAUGGAUCUUUAGAAAUAAAAUGGAUGAAAAUAGCAUAAUUGUUAGAAAUAAAGCAAGAUUGGUAGCCCAAGGUUUUAAUCAAGAAGAAAUGAUAGAUUAUGAAGAAACCUUUGCCCCCGUAGCUAGGUUGGAAGCCAUUAGGAUGCUACUUGCCUUUGCAUGUUUUAAAGACUUUGUUUUAUAUCAAAUGGAUGUGAAAAGUGCUUUUUUAAAUGGUUUUAUAAAUGAAGAAGUAUAUGUUGAACAACCACCCGGUUUUCAAAGUUUCAACUUUCCUAACCAUGUUUUUAAACUUAAAAAGACACUUUAUGGUUUGAAACAAGCACCUAGAUCAUGGUAUGAAAAAUUGAGUAAAUUUCUUUUGAAAAAAAUGUUUUAAAAUGGGAAAAAUUGACACAACUCUUUUUAUAAAAACCAAAGAAAAUGAUAUGCUCUUAGUUCAAAUAUAUAUUGAUGAUAUCAUUUUUGGUGCUACUAAUGUCUCUCUUUAUGAAGAAUUUUCUAAGUGCAUGCAUAGUGAGUUUGAAAUGAGCAUGAUAGGAGAACUCAACUUCUUCCUUGGACUUCAAAUCAAGCAACUAAAGGAAUGAACCUUCAUCAAUCAAGCAAAGUAUAUAAGAGAUCUUCUCAAAAGGUUCAACAUGGAAGAAGCCAAAACAAUGAAGACUCUAAUGAGCUCAUCCAUUAAGCUUGAUAAGGAUGAGAAAGGUAAAUCCAUUGACUCUAUUAUGUAUAGAGGCAUGAUAGGUUCUUUGCUCUAUUUGACCACUAGUAGACCUUACAUUAUGUAUAGUGUGUGUUUGUGUACUAGAUUUCAAUCUUGUCUUAAAAAAUCUCACUUAAGUGUCGUGAAAAGAAUCCUCAAAUAUUUGAAAGGGACAAUGGACAUAGGCUUAUGGUAUCCUAAGAGUGAUAACUUUGAAUUAAUUGGUUUUUUGGAUGCUGAUUUUGUCAGUUGUAGGGUUGAAAAAUAAAACACUAGUGGCACUUUUCAUUUCUUAAGACACUUACUUGUCUCAUGGCAUAAUAAGAAGCAAAAUUUGGUAGCUUUGUCAACAGCAGAAGCUAAAUACAUAGCAACUGGUUUAUGUUGUGCACAAAUCCUUUGGAUGAAAUAAACACUUAGUGAUUUUGAUUUAUCUUUUGAGCAUAUUCCUAUUAAAUGUGAUAAUAGUAGUGCCAUAAGUAUAUCAAAAAAUCUCGUGCAACACUCUAGGACUAAGCAUAUAGAGAUUAGACAUAAUUUUCUUAGAUAUCAUACACAAAAGGAUGAUAUAACACUUGAAUUUGUAAGCAUAAAAGACCAACUUGCCGAUAUCUUUACAAAACCUCUAAGAACAUUUUGUUGAUAUUAGAGGACAAUUAGGAGUGAUUUCUUUAUGAUCUAAUGUGAUGAAUUCUUGAUGAAUAUACUUUUUGAUUGCAUGAAUUUCAUGUCAUAUAUGCAUCAUAUAGAAAUAUACUUAGAUAAUGGUCAAAUUUCGACCAAAAAUCAAAAUUCCCAUGGCAUUAGGCAUAAAAAUUUUGGAAUUUCAACUGAAAAUGGUAGGAGGAGGAUCACAAAAUGAGAAAGUAUGCAAAAAUUGAAAAAUCAAAACGUUGACCAAGCGGUCAAUCGGACUAGACCGAUCGACUAGUUUGUCGAGAUUUAGGAUUUUUAAGAGACUCCAACGCUUCAAUUUUUGCACCGUUCUCCUCUAUUUCUUCACGGUUUCUCUGAUUUUGUCUUUUAGAGACUAAUUUGAGUGCGUUUUGGAUCAAUUGAAGCAUUUUGGAUUGGAUUUUAGGAAGAUUGAAAGUUAAGGUUUCGGAUUUGGGUCGCCUUCUCUUCCUCUCGCGUGUCACAAUCAGCUUUAGCAUUGUUCUCUUUCCAUUUUCACACACCUAGGGUUUCAGUUGUGAGCAUCUCUCUCUCUUUACCAACCACUACUCCCUUGCUUCUUCCAUAUGGCUCCUAGGCGAGAGUCCGCUACUUCUAGGGCACAAGGCAAGCACCCAACUGAGUCGUCUCAGUCAAAGGCACGUCGAAAAGUGAGAUUUGACAUUGCCUUGUUCAGUUCCAUGGAGGACUACCAACUAUACAAGCAACACUUUGCUUAGAGACGAGUAGUUCCCAAGAGAAAUAUUAAUUUUCCUCAACUUCAGCAUUUCGAAUUUAAGGGUCUAUUUACUAGGAUGGUUGGUUGUCUAUUGUCACAAUUUCGGAGCCGGUUUUCCUGACCUUAGUGCGAGUUUUUUACUCGAGGGCGACUUAUGGCAUGGGUGGCAUGAUCAUUUCUACUGUUGGAGGAGUUGAGAUCUGUCUGGACCCAGAGAGCAUCUGCCAUAUUUUCGAUAUUGCUCUGGUUGGACUCAAAGUAUACAAGUCCAAAAUGUGGCCCAUUGUGCCAGGAUUUGAGCUUAGAGAGGUCAUUCAGAGGAUUUGUGAACUUCCAGACGCCCAGGAGAUGGGCAAACCAUUGCCACACAGUUUGACGGUCAUCAACAGGGUGCUACACCAUAUAUUGUGCUCUAUCUUUCUACCACGAAGUGGACAUUGAGAUGAGGUCUCUUAUUAUGAGGCAUUCCUUAUUGACUCCAUUCUAACGGAGAGACGAAUUCAUCUACUAUGUCAUCAUUCACUAAGCCUCCUCACAGUGACAUACCACCUCAUCAGGCACCUCUUGCUCCUGACCAUGCUCCAUUGAUGGAUUUAUUUACUCAUAUUAGCUCUCUAGGCACUCGCAUGAAGGAGUUUGUUGUAGUUAGUGAUACAUGGUUCUACUCCAUAGAGGAUCGCAUGGAUCAGUAUCAGACUGGCUUCACGUCACAGUUUGAGUAUCUCCAAUAGAGGAUUGAGCAUAUUGAGGAUCACUUGAGCAUGAGAAGAUGAUGGCUUUUCUAUGCUCUGUGUUUCCACCUCCACCUCGUCAACCUUGAUUUCUUAGAGACCCAUUGUUUUCAUUUUGUAAUGUUGCCAAAAGGGGGAGAUAUUUAGGAUCUAGGACUCUAUAGGAGACUUACAUGCAUAUCAUUUUCAUAUCAUUGUUUGGAUCGUACAUAUUGGAUAGUGAUACUUUUUACUUAUAUAUGAUAUGCCUAUAUGUUUCAUGUCUUACAUUGUUUCUUAUUGCAAAUUAUCUCUAACAUGUCUUGAUUAUCUUUUUUUUAACUUCAUAAAUUUUGAUUGUUAACCCAUGAUUGGUUUGAGGGGAAGAUUCUUCUUCUCCUAGAUAACCAAGGUUUGUCAUCAUAAAAAAAUUGGAGAUUGUUAGCCCAAGGGUUCUCCUAAUCAUGUUUUGAUGAUAACAAACCAUGCUUAAGUUACUAAUUGGUUUGAAUUAUAAAGAAUUUCAAGUGUUAAUUUGAAAAUUCAUCAAAGAACCUAAUGGAUGCAAGAUCAAGAUUUUUGGAAGACCUUUAAUCAUAAGAAACAUAUGUAAGAUGAAUGCAUGGGUGCACUUAAGAUUUGCAUAUCAUUUCAUGCAUAUUUGGAAAACACGGUUUAUGCUUUAAAGUUACAUUUCCAUCAAAAUUUGAGAUCCAUCAAAUGAACCUUAGGAAAAAUGUUUUAAAAUUGGCAUAUAAUUUUACCUAAAGACCUUGCCUAAGUGUUAGAAGCAAAAGGACAAAAAAAAUAUAGGUUUUCUGGUCAAAAAUGGUGAACCAGUCAAGGCAUUGUCUAAAUCAGCUCAAUCGGCCAAGGUACCGGUCGAUCGGUUUCCCUUUCCCUGUCGAGAUCUAGUCAAGAGGUACAAAAAUCACAAUCUCUGUCUCUUUCUCUCUUUGUCUAUCUUCCAGUAGUCUUUCCUUCCCGGUCGAGGGAUUUGCCUUCCCGAUUGAGGUCCGAUUGAGAGUAAUAGUCACUUGCCAAAUAUUAAAUGCUCCAACAGUUAGUGAACUGGUCGACCCCCACCUUGCCCAGUUGAGGUUACUUUUUGGUUUUCUUGGCUCCCGAUGUUAGAAACCUAUAAAUAGAGAGUUCCACUUCAUUUAUGAGCAAGAGAACACUUGCAUUUAUUUGUUUACCUACUUGUUCUUGCCUUAAAAGCUCUCAUUUCUUUUCUUGGUGCAUUAAAUCUCCAUUUUGAUAUCCUUUAGUGCACCUUUGUGAUUCAUCUUAGCCUUGAGUUGUAUUUGAGCCCUUUUUUUAGCUAGGUUGAGAGUUUCAUACUUGUUAAUUGAGUGUUAAAGCCUUCAAGUGAGUUGAAACUUGUAGAGAUUAUGUGAGAGUCGAUUGGAGCCGAAAUCCAAGUGUAAAGGUGAUUAGAAGCUUGGUUGAAGCUUCAAGUUAGUGGAAUCCUCACUCAAUUAGGAGCUUGAGGAGAGUGGACGUAGCCAAGGAAGUGUCGAACCACUAUAAAAUUUGAGUUUGAUUUCUCUAACAUUGUCUCUUUAUAUUUGUUUAUCUUGUGCUUAAAUUUAUUGUGUUUAAAAAGAAUUUUUAAAUACCCAAUUCACCCCCCUCUUGGGUGUUUUUCUCUUUUAAAAUUAGCCUUUAUUUUCUCACAAACUAUUGUAGUAUAGUGGUUUUUAGGUGUCAUCCAUUAGGAUGAAUUGUUCUCGGUAAUUAAGGCGUGAAUGAGAGGAGAAUUAAUGAUUGUGAUUAAGUAAAAUUGAUUUGAAAAUUCAUGGUGAAAAAUCAAUUUAACAAUGGUUUCUAAUUGAGAAAAACAAUGAAAUGUGAAAUAAAAUAAAAUUAAUAGGAAAUGAAAUUCUCGAAGUUAGAAUUUUCUAAAAAACAAAUUCCAUGGUGAAUGGAUGUUGAGAUCUAAUUUUCAUCAAGUUAGAUUGAAAACCGAAAUUUUCAUAUAAACUGAUUUUUUAUUUAGUUUUAGGUCUAGAUUUAAUUUCCCUUAAAAUUAGGUUAUUUAAUCCAAGAAAUCAAUUCAAAUCAUAUAUUCAAUUCAUCUUAAAUUAUCUUCCAAUUAUUCACACAAUGCAACUAUUCAAUCUCAUCAAAUCUAGCUUUUAAGAAUUUAAUGAAUCUACCUAGUUUGCAUUGUAAUAGUCAUCCAUGACAAUUUGAAGAGAAAAAUAAUUCAAUUAAUCAAUCACUUGGAUCAAAUUACCUUUGCAAUUAAAGUUCAUUUCUCUAAUUCACCACAGAUUUUGUCUCUAGAUCCUCCUUUCUCAAAGAAAAAUGAGAUUUAGCCACACAUGAUUGGAGAUUUGGUCUCAUAAGGCAUGUUUAGCUAGUGAUAAAAUGAGAGAAAAUAAAGAAAAAUAGAGAAUUCGAUUAAGAAAGAAAAUCUAAAAAAUUCUACAAUUAGAAAUGUCCAAAAAGCUUUUUCAUGAGAAAAUCAAGUUUCUAUUUAUAGGCCAAGGUCAAGUGGACACUUGACAUCAUCUAAGAGGUCUUCCGGAAGCUUCUUCAUCAAGAAAUCUGGAGUUUAAUAAUAAAAUGGUCAUUUCACAAGAGCUCAAACAAUUUCGCAUGAUUAUGUGAAAUAAAAAAUGCAACAACAGCAAUUUACAUCUUCUUGGAGCAUUUCGCAUGACUGUGUGAAAUUUUCACAUGAUCAUGUGGAAUCGACUUGACAACUCUCAUUUAGCCUACAACAUAAUUCCACCUUUUGGUCCAUUUUUCAUAGUCAUGCGAAAUGGAAAUAUUUGAUUUUUAAGUUUUCUUUUGUCAUUUCUUUCAUUUCCUUCUCUUGAUUCCACUUCAACUACCUCCGAAUCCUGGUCCAAACCAAUUGCAUUACUUCUUUCAUUAUGCAUUUGGAUCAUCAUCAACAUUAUUUGUUCUCUUCAAUUUGAUUCAUCUCUUUUGUCACCAAUUUAUCAAAAUCAUACCUUGAAAUGACUCCAAAACUUCAUAAAACUUGUUAGUAACUCUUGCAAGGGCAACAACAUAUUAAUUAAGUGUUUUAGGCAUAGUUACUACUCAAAAGAUGCGAAACUCAUGAUAAUUAUUAUAUAAAAUAUGCUCUUUUUGAGUAGUAAUCAACUUUCUUGCAUAAGCAGACCUUUUAGGGUGGAGUACUAAAGACCAAUAUGCUUGUCCUUGUUGUAAUAAAGAAACUUGCUCUUAUUGAUUGCACCAUGGGAGAAAAUUUUGCUACAUGAGUUAUCAUCAAUUUCUUCCCACCAAUCAUAGAUUUAGACGUGACAAGAGGCCUCUUAAUGGCAAGGAGGAACUGACACUCACACUUAUACAAUUAUCGGGCAUUGAUGUGUUGCAACAAUUAGAAUAACUUACACCAAUUAUGUUGGGGAAGUCACAAAAGGCAAACAUGAAAACUAAAAGGAAAAAAGAAAAAUGUUACAUAUCACCACAACUGGAAAGAAAAAAGUAUUUACUUUCAUUUGCCAUAUUGGAAAGCACUUAUUUUACAUCAUAAUAAUUUAGACAUAAUGCAUAUUGAGAAAAAUGUGUGACAAUAUAAUUGAGACAUUGUUCAGUAUUGACGAAGAAACAAGGACAACCUAAAUAGUCAUCUCGAUUUACAAGCUCUAACUAUUAGAAAUGAGAUUCACCCAAUAGAAAGCAGGACCAAAUUUAUUUUGCUUGCAACAUGCUACUCACUCACCCCAAAUGAGAUUAAGGAAUUUUGCAAGUUUUUGAAAUCAAUAAAGGUCCCCAAUGGCUAUUCUUUCAAUAUCUCUCGUUAUGUGCAACUCAAUGAAAGGAAGAUAUAUGAGCUCAAAUUGUAUGAUUGUCAUGUCCUAAUGCAACAACUUCUCUCACUUGUAGUUCGUGGAGUUCUACAUAAGAAUGUUUGUGGAGUUAUCAUAGAAUUGCGUAAUUUUUUCAAGCAAUUGUGCUCAAAGGUGUUAGAAACAAAUCACUUACACCAACUUGAGAACAAUAUUAUUGUCAUACUAUGUAAAAUGGAGCAAAUAUUUCUUCCAUCAUUCUUUGAUAUUAUGGUGCAUUUACUUGUGCAUCUAGUAAGGCAAAGGUUGCAAGACUUGUGCAAUAUUGUUGGAUGUACCUAAUUGAACGAUAUUGUUAUAAUUUCAUAUGAAUCAUUUAAUUUUAUUUUAUAUUAUGUUCAGUUCAUUAACAUGUACAUUGGUCUACAUAUGGAUGAUGAUAGGUACCUAAGCACUUUAAAGUCAUAUGUGCGUAAUAGAACUUUUCUAGAAGGUUCUAUUGUAGAAAGGUACCUUGCAAAAGAAUGUACAACAUUUUAUUCUAGGUACUUGAAUGAUGUGGAAAUAAAGUAUAAUCACAAUGAUAGAAACUUUGUUGGUUUCAACACUAGAGGAGAUGAAAGGGGUUAUCUUUAAACAUAUUGGACAUGCAUUGGGAAAGCCCAUAUUUCAUUAACUUAGUUCAAAAGAGUGGUCACAAGCACAUUUAUAUGUGUUGACAAAUUGCGAAGAUGUCAUACCAUUCAUUGAGUAAAAAAUUUAUUUGAAUUUUAAUUAAAGCUCUAGUUUAUAUCCUUAAUCAAUGUUUUUUAAAUUCACAAGGAGCACAAGCAAACCAUCAAGGCUAGACCACAUAUACGUGUUUGAGACGUAGAUUUAAUUCAUAACAAGGAAUUUAUCAAGUGGUUUGAAAGACAUGUAAGUAUAUUCCUUAUUAUAAGGGAUUUAUUUCACAUUAUGUUUAUAUUGAAUCCAAACCUAUUAUUGAAUUGUAGGUUGAACAAUUACAUAAUGAAGGUCAUAUAUCUGAACACCUUCUCACAUUAUCAUGUGUUCCAAAUUCAUUAGUUACAUGCUUCAAAUGAUAUAUUGUCAAUGGAUUUAGAUCCCACAUUAAAGAACGUGAUAAAAAAGUUUUUAAAAAAAGACUCAGAAUAAUGGAAUUGUUGUAGUUGCAAAAACGUCAAGCUUUACAAGUGCAUGUGAUAUGAGUCCAAUUAUUAGUGAUGCUCUCUACUAUGGUGUUCUAACUAAAGUUGUUGAGUUACAUUAUCUUGGUGAAAAUAAGGUUGUUUUAUUCGAGUUUGAUUGGUGGGAUGUUACAAAUAUUGGAAAAUUGAUAAAAGAUGAUGAGUACAAUUACACAUUUGUUAACUUUGCAUGAAUUCUAACCACGAACGAACGAUUUGUACUUGCAUCUCCAGCAAAGUAAGUGUUCUAUGUGAAGAAUGCGAAUGAAUCAGAUUGGCAUACUAUCAUGGAGAUGCAACCUCAAGACCUCUAUAAGAUGAACGGGAUAGGAUCCAAUGGUGAUUUUGAACCAUUUCAACAAAGUGAACUACAUGAUCACUAAUAUAUCUCAGAUUUAGUUGAUGAAGAUAUAAUCAAGUGGAACAAAAGUGAUGUUUUAGGACUAAUCAUCCUAAAAAAUAUUGUAGUUUCUUAAAAAAAAAAUGAAAAUGAAGAAGAUAAUUGAACCUUUGUCAUACUUUAAAAAGCAACUAUGCAUUGUUCAUUUUGUAUGUUUUGGUUUUCUUCAUUUAAUUUCCUGAUUUUUGUGAUUCAAUGUCAUAUUAUUGAUCUUGAAAUAUUUUUCUAAUUUUUCAUUCUACGAUGGUUUCAACAAGGAUGACAUCAAGUCAAAAAAGGAAAUGUGGUCCCACACACAAUAUUGCAUUACAGGGAUUAAGGUCAGGGAAGAAGGUAAAAGUUGCAUUUAAUGAGUACAAUCAAUUGGUUAAACAGAAAAAUGGAAAACACUUAUCGAGCUACAUAGGGACACUUGUAUCUAACCAACACAAUGUACCUCUCCAAGCUAGUGAUUGGAAAAAUGUUCCAAAUGAUGCAAAAGAGAAAGUAUGGCCUUUGUUUUGGUAUGUUGUAUUUCUCACUAUAUGAUGUCAUUUCACUGUUAUUCUAUUUUGUGACUAACGUUUGAAUCAUAUGUAAGAAAAAUUUGAAGUAGAUAAAGACUGAAAAGAUUACAUGUUGGGUAUAGCCUCAAAUAAAUAUAGAAGCUAUAAAAAUAUGAUGAAUGCAAAAUACUAUGACCCUUGGCAUAAGGAUGCAUGAGGAGAGGUUAAUACAUAAAUCACCAUUUGUCUCUGAUGUUGAUUGGAAGUGGCUUGUCUCUGAUGCAUAAACCAAAUCCCCCACUGAAUGUUUGAUAUUUGAUAGCAGGAAAAACACACCCGCAGCUAUACACCUCCAUCAUUCAGAUAAUUAUAGUGGGGGAGAUGAUUCAUGGUUGCCCUUAUACCCUUUAUUUGCACCAUCUAUUGAGAUUCUUUAUCAUGGCCAGGUUUUACUGCAGCAAUAAGAUAUGGUGGCAACAAUUUUAUCUAUAGGUGCGGUUCCAGACCGCCUCCAUAGGUGCGGUUCCUGACUGCCUCCAUAGGUGCCUCUUCUUGUAAUGUUUGUUCUGGGAAUUACACUUGAAAGCCUUAUCGUGAUAAGGGAUUACAAACACUAGUUCAGAGGACAGCCAUGUUAAACUUCCACUAUGUUUGUGUCACAUUAUCAGCAGCCUAGUGUUUAUUGGUCAUGCUAUCUGCAACUAAUAUAACCCGGUGAACUUCAAUCUAAAUUCUGAAAGUACUCAUGUGACAGAUGGUGCCUUUCAGCAGAUAUCAUCAAUUUAAAAGUAGUGUGUGUGCCUAUAGGUGGGAAGGCCUUGGCAAAUGUUCAGUAUUCCGGUAAUUCAAGAAGGAUAUAUCUAAAAUAGAUUUUCUUCUUGCCCAUUUCAAUAGUUAAAAUUUGAGAAGAUUGUGUCCACAUCACACAAAUAUUAUUGGUCCUUCUGUUGCAAUUUACCUCUGAACAUGUCUUCCAAUUCCCACGGUCCUGUUACUCCAGGAAAACUAUUUCGGUCAUAUUGAAAAAAAAAAUAUUAAAGAAGGUACACAUGCUUUUAAGUGGACUGGGGCAUUCAUAUCAGGUGGUCUGUAUCCACAUAUGCCACUUCGUGAAAGGUGGAACAGCCUAAUCACUAGGCUAUUUAGUGUGGCCCAGCCACGUUAAUCAAGCACAAGUCUUCAUACUUAAAGUCAAAUGGUGUCUUUAGUCUCAUUACACAUCGCUAUUUGAAGAUUAACUCAUCACUAGUGUAAUGCGAUUAAGACAGUCCUAACUCAAUAUUUGUUCUAGUUUUGGAUGCAAAUGCUUGCUGGUUUCAUCAUUGGAUGGGAUAAAGGUGCAAUCAGGACUAUGAAUACGUGCAGUAAUACUUCAUUCUCUUUUUUCUCAAUGAGACUUCUUGGCACAAUUUUGCUGCUCAGCAACCUACCUUUCCAUGGAAAAUCAGUUGUGACUGAUAGUAAUGGAUAUAUUCUAGAAAGCUAAACAUAGAUAGCAUUCAAUAUUAUCGAUAUAACAUUAACAGCGUAUGUCUCAAUGCUCAUCAGCUACAAGCAAUGGACAAACACUUUGAGUAACUCACAGCAGUCAAAAUUCCUAAACAGGACAGACGUGACAGAUCUAUAUAUAGAACACUGCAUAUGAGUCACAGGAAAAGAUAAUACGGGUACAUAGAAGCUCUUAUUUUACAUAUUACUCAUACUGAUCAAAGUCGCUCAGUUGGGAUGGAUGGGAGAAGGAGGUUUGAGGGGUGGCUUGUGCGGGGAAGUUGGCAGCUUCUUUCCGGGAGCUGGUUGCUUCUUUGCUGGAGUUGAAGGAGGCUUAAUCUUCCGAGGUGGCUUGUAUGAGUCUUCAGCAUUCUCAGCAGGAGGGUGACCAGGGUUGUGACCAUAAUGUGGUGGCUUCUCUCCCUUAGGUGGUUUGCCAACUGGGGUUGGUGGCUUGUUUUCUGGGAGUGGCUUCUCUCCCUUGGGUGGUUUGCCAACUGGGGUUGGUGGCUUGUGUUCUGGGAGUGGCUUCUCCCCCUUGGGAGGUUUUUCGAAUGGGGUGGGUUUGUGUCCUGGUGGUGGCUUCUCUCCCUUGGGAGGUUUACCAAUUGGGGUCGGUGGCUUGUGUUCUGGGAGGGGCUUCUCUCCCUGGGGAGGUUUAGUGGGUGGCUUGUGUUCUGGAGGUGGCUUCUCCACCGGAGGCUUAUGCUCUGGUGGUGGCUUCUCGAAGGGGGGAUGCUCAGGGUAAUCACCAAGUGAGGGGGUGGUGAGAACCACCAUGCCAAGCAACAACACUAGCAAGUAUGUAGUAGACAUCUUUGGGUUUGGACUCAGACAGUGCAAAACUACGAGAAAUCGCUAGCCCUUUAUAGCGGCUCGGACCUAAUACUGACAUAAUAUAAAAUAAAUAUUAUAUUUUAUCAAGAGAGAACAGAGUGUAAUUUUAUCAUUAAUACCGAUCGAGGCCAAAGAAAGAAGACCCAUAAUCCAUUUCCCACAAGCAUACACAAUGCAGCUGUAAUUUUAUCAUUUACUUUUAUCCCUUGGACCACUGCAUUUUUGUUGAGAGACACAAUAACACAUUUUUAUCUGUCAUUCAACAUUUACAGUAAAGAGAGGGCACAAAACGCAAUUAGAUAAAUUAUGUUUUGCCUGCUAAAAAGAGGCAAAUAACUUUAUUUGCAACAUAAUUAUUUUGGUUUCUAGUGACCCCGGGGCCUUUCGGUUGGUUUGGGAUCGGAAAAUGAACAUCAUAGGGGGGGUUGUGCCCUUAUGGGCAUAUAUAUCUGAUAGCUUCAACUGGCCUUGUUCCUAGAAAGAAAUUGCCAAAGAUAUAAACUUAUUCCAGGCUGAAAGUAGAUGAGAGUCAUAAUGAACAUCAACCUUUGUUCAGUUUGAUUCAAUGCCCCCAUAGUGUUCAUUUCACAGAUCUGAAUGAUUAUAUCCGUUGAAUACAUAAAUUAAUGAAGACAAAUAUGAAACCCAAGAUACAUCUCUGCAUAACAACCCCAACCCUGGUUGCUAUGUUUCCCUUCUUCUAUUCACAUGAGGAUACUGGUUAUAAUUGUCAAACUUGCAACAAGCCCUUUGACACCUAACGUCAAUGGACGAAUUAAAAGUCUCCUUCAAACGUCUAUUUCACAGCAUGAAGCUUAUAAAGGAUGCUGACAACCUUCAGAGUUAGCGACAAAAGAUAAUUAUCAAGGAGAGAUAGUUCCAUGAGAAUUCCAAGGAGUCUGAAUCAAAGACAAAUUGCUCACUCAAGGGUUCUUAUUUUCUUUUAGGUACAAAUCUCUUGAGUGUUGUUAAAGAAACACGUCACUGUCAUUUUGAUUUGCAUUUAACAUUUCACUUUUGUUCUGGAAGGUUUGUUCCGGAAACAUAUCAAAUGAGCAUCAUUUUCUUCUUCGGUGACACAUGGUCGCGAGUACGUGGGUCCAUUUUCAUGCCACUUAGUUGAAAAGUUGGAAAGAAAAAACAUGCCAACAAGAAGAUAGUGAGAGAAGGGGCACUUCAAGCCUUUAACAUGAACAAACAGUAAAUAAAAGAUGUUUCUCCACUCAUAAAAGUGUGUUAGAUAGCAAUAUAACGAAUCACAUCCAAAAUCUUUACUAGGCUCAAACAUAAAGAAGACUCAUUUUUAAGAAAAGAUAAAAAUGGCAUUGUCUGAUAGUAUCCAAUACACGAGAUGGCACUUAAUUUGUACAAGAUCUGUCAAUGCUGACGCACAUUUUCUGAUUAAAAAAAAACUGAUCAGUCAAAAGCAAUGAAGAGAAGUGAUGACAAUGAAUGAUGCUUCCAAUAUUUUCACCCCUUAUAGUGUUCUUCAUGAUUCAGAUAUAUAAUUGGAAAUAGAACAACCCUAUGCCAUACAUUCGUCUAAGUAUGGUGUCUAAUUUUUUGUGUCAGCGGUUGCGAAUGGAGCGUGCAAAAGUCCAAAUUGGCGUCUCUCCAUUUCCACAUAGGAAGGUGACCUUUAUUGACAAAUACCCAAUAUUUGUAGACAUUCCUUAAAUAUCAUAACUUCUUGUUGAUUUGAAAAUCAUUUUUCAACUACCAUGUUUUAAUAAAUAUUUUUUAAAAUGUAUUUUUAUCAAAGUCCACCAUGAUGGAUAAUAUUCACCAUGCAAUAAUUAAUAAAGUACAAACUAAGCGAAAUGAAAAGCAUUUUCUUUGCUUUGAGUUGAUUUUGGUUGCAUUGAGUUGAUUUUGGUUUCAUGGUUUUUUCAACUCUUAUUUUGAUUGGAAGAUGUCAAGAAAAGAAAACAUAAAGAAAAAUUAAAAGGGAAAAAAGAAGAAAAAUAAAAAAAAAUAGAUUUAAAAGUUAAUAAAUUAUUUUUUAUAUUUAUUUUAAUUCAUUUCACUUAUUUUUCUUUUACUAUAUAAAAUUUAAAUAAUUUAAAUUUUAUAAUUAAUUUAAUUACAUUUCAUUUUCUUCUAUAUUUAAAUAUUGGAAAAAUAUUUUACUUAAUAUUUUUUUCUUUAAUUUCUUUGGCAUUUUGGGAACCAAACUUAGCCUUUAAAAUAAAAAACAAAAAAAAAAUGAAAAUAAGGAGGGAAAAGUGAGAAAAGAUAAAAACAAUAUGUAAAGGAUUUGAAAAGUAUUAGUUUGUAAUUACUAUUUGGAUUUCAAUAGUAUUUUAUUUGUCUUUCUAUAUUUCAUGUAAGAGAGAAUUUAAGAUAUUCCCCAAGGCAAAGCAUUAGUUACCUGCAAUCAGUGGUGAUAAGGCUCCAAGCCAAUUUUGGGCCCCAUAUCUUAAGACAGUACAAUUUCCAUUUCAACAUUUCUGAUUUCUCAGAUGUUUCACAUACCACAGAAGAACAUUGUUUGUGAAAAUAUGCAUUUAUGUUGGAUUUUGUAUGCUGUGGGGACUGGGGCAAGGAUCAUAUGGAAGAGUGGUUGACUUUUUCUGUACUUUAACGGUUGAAAUAGGAUAAGCACGGGCAUUUGUGAGGCUUAAUUGAUUUUGAAGCCUGAAAUUGCGUUUCUGUCAUUUUGUCAAAAAAAUGGCAGAUUCCAUACUCAUAUGUUUGGCCUGUGGCCAUGUACAGAUGCCAUUUAGUGACCAGUUUGUAACUGUCAAUCGUUGCGUUUUGACUCUGCCUCAACAACAUCUGCCAUUGACGGGUUUUCAUACUUGCAAAUCAAAUAGUCUUUCGUCCCAUCAGGAAUUUCGGUUUAAAUAUUAUUAAGCAUACGUUUGGCUGACAAUCAUUAUCCAGUUCAUGAUUUGGUUUCUUACCCUUAAUCAAUGGUUUCUAAGUGAAUAUAUGUAGAAGGAAAUCCGAAGUGUAGACAGUAGUAUCGAUAACUCUCAAUAUUCUCUAUAUAAUAGAAUAAACAGCGUCAUAGUGAUCGUCGCCUACAAGCAAGGUACAAAUACCAAAACGAGUGACUCACAUAGACAUCUCCCAACAAGAUGUAGUAGUGACUGACACAUGGACACAAUUAACUCGUAGAAAAGGAUAAGACCAUUGCACAGCAGCUCUUAUUUUACAUACUACUUAUGCUAACCAAAGUCAAUUAGUUGGGAUGGGUGGGAGAUGGAGGUUUGUGCGGUGGCUUGUGGGGCGGAGUUGAUGGCUUCUUUCCAGGAGCUUCUGGCUUUUUCAUCGGAGCUGAAGGAGGCUCAAUCUUAUGAGGCGGCUUGUAUGAGUCUUCUUUACUCUCGACAGGAGGGUGGCCAGGGUUGUGAUCAUAAUGUGGUGGCUUCUCUCCCUUAGGUGGCUUGCCAACUGGGGUUGGUGGCUUGUGUUCAGGAAGUGGUUUCUCUCCCAUGGGAGGUUUAGCAAUUGGGGUUGGUGGCUUGUGUUCUGGGAGUGGCUUCUCUCCCUUGGGAGGUUUAGUAGGUGACUUGUGUUCUGGAGGUGGCUUCUCCACCGGAGGCUUGUGCUCCGGUGGUGGCUUCUUGGUUGGAGGGGGCUUGGGGUAAUCAGCAAGAGAUGGGGUGGUGAGAACCACCAGUCCAAGGAACAACACUAGCAAGUAUGUGGGAGACAUUUUUGAGUUUGGGCUGAUCAGAUGAUGCAAAACUAAAGCAUUACGUGACCUUUUAUAGCAUGUAGCUCCCAAUACCCACUAAGUAUUGUGGGGUCCAUUUGUGCCCUACGGGGUUGAAAACUUAGACAAUUGGGCAAGGACCCACCUGACUAUGGAGGACUAGUGAGGUGUGAUCAUAGCUUUAGGAUUUUUCUUCCUCUGCAGCCGUCGUGCCGUUGGCAUGAUUUUCUUAAUCUUAAAUAAAGGCAUAGUUAUAGAGUUGUUUAAUCUCUAAAUGGGAUUUUAUAUAUAUCUUCAGAUAGCCAUUAAUAUAUUUGAUGAAGAAAGAAAGACAAGUGCAUACAACAUGUAUACGACUAGCUUUCAUGGAGUUCAUUUAUGAUCAGUUUUCCUGUACAUGUAAACCAGGAUCAUAUAUAUGUUUCUGUUCCACAACUAUUUUGGAAUCUUGUUUAUCAGUUUUUAUCAUUAUAAUGUCACAUAGGCUGCCAACUUGGGCGCUAAAAGAACCAGUUGGGCUAGUUCGUUUCAGAAUUUCAAUGUGGAUUCAGGAAUUGUUUUGUAAGAUAUGCGAAAUAGUAGAGGGAUGAAUAGUGUUUCAUUAAUAAAAGUGUCCUGUAAAUUAGAAGGUGUCAUAGAAACUAUAAUCAAUAAAUAACUUUUUUUCCCCACGGGUGGUGUUUCUUGUGGGGAUCAGUGACUGGUUUAGGUUCACCCAAAAUGAGUUCAGACUAAAAUUGGUUUGAGUCAAUGCCGUGUCUCUUUUUUCCAGAAAUCAACUAUUUUAUGCAUUGAAUAAAUCAUACAAAGAAAAUAUGAACGCCCGCAAAACCUAAACCCUGGUUGCUAACUUUCUAUGUUUCAGUUCUAUUCACGCAAGAAUAUUAGUUUAAGUUUGGGAAAAAUGGCAACUUACCUAGUGAUUACUUGGUUUUGGUUUGCGACUAUUUACGCAACCAACCAUGAGUUUGACUUUAACGUCAUGGGUUGAAGCCUCCUACAGGAAGGGAGAAAGCUCCACAGCUAGCUCCAAAAGAGAAUUAUCACAUUGAUAGCUCCAGAGAUUCCCAAGGGGACUGAAUCAAAGACAAGUUCCUCACUUUUUCUUCUUUUGAGGCCAAAUAUGAACCAAGGAUCACACAACCUCAUUCAACUUCAUAAGUUUGAUUUCAUGCAGUUGAACACUGGGUGAAGGCCAUGACAAGAAUUGAUUCAAAAAUUCUAUCACUCUUUUAAGUAAUGGAAGAUUAUUAUCUCUGAUUGGCAUCACAACAGCACAUGCUCCUAGAUCUUUCUAGACACUCCAUGCAAUGAAAGCACAAUGGAUCUUGUAACGAUAGAAACUAAGCCAUGCUACAGUACUAGAUGAUGAGGUAAAACUAGUAGACACGGGUGGCAGCCUAUAUGGGAGGGACACAAGUCUAAUUGAUUUGCAUUUCAGCAUUAUAGAUAGGUAUGUUUUGGAAGAUUUGUUCUGGAAAUACCGCACCAAGUAGGAUUCUUUUUCUCUUUAGUGGGUCCACUUGCAUGCCAAUUAACGAGUUGAAAAGUAUGAGCACCUACCUCGUGCUCGUGGAACCGAAGGUCAGUGAAGUGGGGCUCCUUUUGGCCUCGUGUAAACUUGAUUCAGAAGUGAAGUUAAUAGUCUUCCAUUCAGAUGGAUACAUGGGAAUUUUUCUCUUUUAUUUAUUUAUUUAUUUUUUUUUUGUGUGUGUAUGUCAAAGGAUAAUGAAUGAAGCGCGUUAGCUUGUUUUCUGACUGGAACCGCAGAUGUCCAAAUUGGAGUUCCUUCAUUUCUUACUUAGGAUUGUUACAUGUAUAAACAAGGUAUAAGAAAUAUGCCAACGUGUCUUGAGGAGUUAUUGAUUAGAAAUAACAAGUCACCCGACUGUAGAGUUCCAAGAUUUGAAUCUUCAGACCCUAUAGCAGCCUCUGGGGUACGUGGCAUCCUAUAGCAUAUUAAUGAAGGCUUUUUCGAUUUAGACUUCACAAUACCAAUUAAUAUGUAUGCACAAAAUGGAGAUGACCCCAAAAAAAACAGAAUCGCCAUAGUUUAUGAGGUUAAGGUGAUUCUCCACUUAAUAUCUACAUUAGCUAAUUAUGUAAAUCAAAUGAACUUCUAUUUUUCCUUUUUUUUUUUGGUUUAUGUCAAAUAGUAGCCCAUAAUUAACCCAACCAUUAGCCUGUUUGAAUUGAUUUCACAUGCACAAUGUUGUAGUAGUUCAUAUUUUGAAUUUUAUUUUUACAAAGGUAGUUAAGGAAAAUGAAGUAUAAUAAUUAUAAAAGCAGACUAUAUACACUACAAUAAUUGUUAGAAUGGUAUCUCAAAUUCUAAUUUAAAAUAUUAUUUUUUGUAAAAGAAAUAUUAUAUAGAAUAUUUCCUAAUUUUAUAAAUGAUUAUAAUUAGAUCUUUAUAAAAUAAGGAAAGUUGGUAAGAAUAUCUUUAUAAAUAUUUUAGGUCAUGAGAGAAAGAAAUGGGAUAAAAAUGUGAUGAAGAGGUGAAAUAAGAGAGUUGAUUAGGAUAUAGAUGUGAAGAAGAAAGGGAUUCAAUAUAUAUAUAUCUUUCAAUUACCACAUUAAAACCCUGUGAACCUUUUAUAUGGUUUACUUUAUUUUUAUAUUCCUCCUUUAAUAUAUUUACAUUAAUGCUUCCAUUGGCACAACAAUAACGAAUUACAAAUACAAGCAACAAGUCCCAUGUUUUAUUACCAAAAGCAGGUAAAAUCCACCUAAUAUAUUACAAUAUAUUCAUCCAAUAUUUUAGACCAAUUCUUCACCAUAAAUAUCAUAAUGUGGCUUUUGUUCUUUCUUAAAUUUAAAUUGAAUUGUCUUAUAUCAAUUUGUUUGUGAUUUUUUCAUUAACUUCACUUUCAUUUGGUUAUCUUUGGUUUUUGAAAAGUAUUAAGGAAUUAAUUAACAAAAUAAUGUUAAGAAAAAUAAUUUUCUCUCUUUUGAUUUUGAUUUUGUAGUAGAAAAAUAUAAUUAAAAUUAUUUAAAAAGUAUGUAAUUUUAAAUUAUUUAAUAUUUAGAUAAAAAAAAUAAGUCUAAUGAGUUUAAAAUAACAUAUAAAAAUAAUUUAUUUAUUUUAAAUUUAUUUUUUAUUUUCCAUUAUGUUCUCUUUCUCUUUUACUUUUUCAUAUUUUUUCUUACGAAGAAUCAAACACAACCUCAUAUUAUAUGUCAAGUGUUUGUCUAUAUUUGAGCAAUGUUAGAUACGGCCAUGGAUUCAUCAAACUAAACUGAUUUUAAUAGAUACUUCACAAAUUGAUUUAUACACUAAAUCAUUGGAUAGCAAUGAUGCAUUGGAAUUAAACGUAGGAUGAAGCUCGAAGAACACUGUUUGUGUAACAACAUAUUUAUGAAAUUAUGCAAAGGAUGAGCUUCGGGGUAGUAGUACAAGGUCAUUAAUGGAGAGCCGUGUUAAACCUUGAUUGUGAUUGGAUUCCGUUAUCAGCAACAGCAACCUUGUUUGUAACCUUGAAAGUCAUUCUGUCCACAUCGAAACUCCAAUUUGACGUUUGUAAUUACCAUUCCUGGAGUGUUCCUUGAUUGAAAUUUAAAUAAUAAUUGCGGCCCACAAGGAAUAUUUUCGAUUCUGUGGGAAUUUGACAAGGUUUGUUAGAGAAGACUGGUGACAUGUUGACUUCAAUGGUUCAAAUAGGAGACGUAUGUGGAUUUGGGGGGUUUAAUUGAAACUGAGUCCCUAUGGCUUUUUAAUAUUUGCAUUGAGCAGUCUCCAUGUGACUUCCUAAUUCCCACCAACCCUCCUGUCCAUGCUGUGAAACUAAAUUGUAAUUUAUCAGCCUUUGUCAAUGGUUUCUAAAUUAAAGAUAUAGACCAUGCAUGUACUUUAAUAAAAGCAAAUCUAAAGUGUAGAUAGCAGCAAUGGUGACACCCAAUAUUCUCCAUAAAAUAGAAUUAGAAUAAGCAGUGUUACAUUGUUCAUGAUCACCUACAAGCAUACAAGAACUUCCAUGAAUAACUCAUAGCAAUUGCCAACAGGGCGUCGUAGAGACUCAUACAUAGAACACUAUCCACCCAGAGGAAAGGACAAGACCAGUGCGCUGCAGCUCUUAUUUUUCACAUGUAUACCACCACUCGUAAUAACCAAAUUCACUCAGUUGGGAUAGGUGGGAGAUGGUGGUUUGUGGGGUGGCUUGUGGGGAGGAGUUGGAGGAGGCUUUAUUUUCUGAGGCGGCUUGUAUGAGUGUGCAGGAGGAUGCCCGGGAGUGUGACCAUAAUGUGGUGGCUUCUCUCCCGUAGGUGGUUUGCCAAAUGGGCUUGGUGGCUUCUCUCCCUUAGGAGGUUUACCAAUUGGGGUUGGUGGCUUGUGUUCUGGGAGUGGUUUCUCUCCCUUGGUAGGUUUGCCAAUUGGGGUUGGCGGCUUAUGUUCUGGGAGUGGCUUCUCUCCCUUGGGAGGUUUGCUAAUUGGGGUUGGCGGCUUAUGUUCUGGGGGCGGCUUCUCUCCCUUGGGAGGUUUGCCAAUUGGAGUUGGCGGCUUAUGUUCUGGGAGUGGCUUUUCUCCCUUGGGAGGCUUGCCAAUUGGGGUUGGCGGCUUAUGUUCUGGGGGUGGCUUCUCUCCUUUAGGAGGUUUGCCAAUUGGAGUCGGCGGCUUAUGUUCUGGAAGUGGCUUUUUUCCCUUGGGAGGUUUGCCAAUUGGGGUUGGCGGCUUAUGUUCUGGGGGUGGCUUCUCUCCCUUGGGAGGUUUGCCAAUUGGAGUCGGCGGCUUAUGUUCUGGGAGUGGCUUCUCUCCCUUGGGAGGUUUUGUUGGUGGCUUGUGUUCUGGAGAUGGCUUCUCCCCUGGAGGCUUGUGCUCCGGAGGUGGCUUCUGAAAUGGCGGGGGCUUGGGGUAAUGAGCAAGAGAUGGAGUACUGGUGAGAACCACCAUUCCAAGCAACAAUACUAGCAAGCAUGUGGGAGAC
rnacentral:lncRNA from 1 species